GUGCUAUCUGAAGUGUUACCUAGCGAUGGCCCCUUUUGUAAAUCUUCAUUUGUUGUAAGCUUUUAUGUGCCCAAAUUGAACCAAGCAAACCCACCACCUGCAAAGGGUCUUCAAGUUCAAAGAUGGAAAAAUGUGUAUGCAGCAGUUAGACAGUUUGACGGAUUUGUGAGUGACACAGAUGUUGGAAAAGAAGCUGCAGCUUUGAAGGAUAGUAUUGCUGCUACUAAGUGGUCUUCUUUUAUUGAUCAAAGCCGUAAAGCUGGUGGUCAUGCUUCUGUUUACUCUGUGGCUCAGUACAAUUCUCCUUUUGAAUUUGAUAAUAGAGUGAAUGAGAUAUGGUUCUUGUUUGAUUUGGAAAAUGGAUUGCAAGCUAUGUGAAAGCAAUAUGUUGAGUGCAGCUGGAUGUGUUAACAAGACACCUUUGAAUUGAUAAAUAAUGUGCAGCCUAUGAAGUGUUUCACAAGGUUGACUUUUUGGUUCAUUUGAUGAUAAUCAUGUUUAGUUGGCUACACUUGUUGCAAAAUAAAAUCAUUAGGAAAUGAUAUGGCUGUUGAAAUUACUGUGUUACUUUGUAGUAUUUUAAUAGAAAUAAUAUUAAUUUGUUUUUAAUGGAGACCUGUUGAAUUGUUUUCUGCAUUUGGUUCUAUUAGCUUUUGCAGUUUGUUGAUAGGUUCCUUGCAAUGAAUGUUUGAAGGUCAAGAAGUAUUACUGAAACUAGAAGGAGUUUCAAAUAGUUUUCACUACAAGUUUGAAUAAAGUCUAAAAUUAAGUAUGGUUAUGCAAAUUCAGUUCAAGUAUAUUUAUGCAAACCGAGUUAAAAUUACGUUAACCCAUUUGAAGUAUAUUUAUGUAAAUUCAGUUCACAUACUCCAUGUAGAUUAUGAAUUUUUAGGUUUUACAAAUUCAGUUCAGGUAUGGAUACGCAAACUUAGUUUAAGUAUAUUUACUAUGUUCAAGUACGAUUAUAAAAGAUUUGAAAAUUUGAUGAGUUAAGAAUAAUUUGAUCAAUUUGAACUUUUUAAAACAUGAUGGGUGUACCUAUGUUCGUACAUGUACGGAAACACCAAAUGGAUCUGAAUGGGGAAUCGUCCGAAGAGAAUGAGGUAAAGGCUUAGGAAGAUAUGAAUCAGAAGGCUGGGAAGACAACACAAAACUGGAGGAUCAUCCCCAAGAAGAAUGAUAGUGAUGAGAUGCAUAGUUAUCCACUCCAAUAUAAGACCAAAAUCAAUCAUGGUUUGCUUAAAGUUGUUGAUACUUUCAAAAAGUUUCUUUUGAUUCUUCCUCGUCUUCUUAAGAUUAUUUGUUGAAAAUCAUGGUUCAACCUAAUCAAAAGAGAAAUAUAAAAUUUGAAAUGAUAGUGUGAAGAAUUAUGAUACAAUUAGUGUCAGAUACACAUUUAUAUAAUAUCUCUAAAGUAACUUACACGACAAAUACUAAAUUUGACUAUAAAACUUAACCACCUAAAGAUGAAAACACCAAGAGAAAUGUCUAAUUACCAUAGAGUAGAAGAUCAAAGAAAAUUAUAAUUGUUUUACUACCAUAGAUAGAAGAAUAAAGAAAAUUAAGAAUAUUUAACUACCAUAUGGGAGGAACAUACAAAGUCAAUAAUGACUACGAUCAACAAAAUAAUAGAGAACCAAAACACCACACACUUUGUAUGUUUGACUUUUGCAGUAUCAUGAAGAACAAAUUCACAAACCCAAUCACCAUGUCUUAAUGUUACAAAGCACUUCAUUAAGAGAAUGGGAAAAUGAAUCUACCAAGAAAGUUGUGAAACAAAAAAAUUCACAAGGUAUAGAACCCUCUAACUCAUCAAUCAUUCCAUUAAAAAGUCUUCUUGUUUGUUGAGGAACAUGUAGACGGAACAUUGUUUAUUGGAGAAUUUCUUGAUAUAAGAGUUUCAAUCAAUAAUCAUAGCAACAUGAACAAGGGUAAAAAAGAAACUAGUUAGAAUCAACUAGAAUUUUAAUGGAAAAUCUCCAAAAUUUAAUAGAAAAUGGAAUUAUAAAAAUGAAUCAACGAAGUUUCAAUGAAAAUUUUAUUCAAGAAAAUAUUGAAAAAUAAUGUAGUGGAAUAAUUAUUGCUUUGAUAGCAUGUUGAGAAUUAUAGUUGAGUCUAAGAAAAAGAAAAAUACUUAAAAAGAAAUAUAAAACUUAAAAUGAUAGUGUAUAUAAUUAUAGUACAAUUAGUAUAAAAUAUACUUUUAUAUAAAAUAUCUAACUAAACCUAACAAAAUCUAACAUUCUUUCAUCCUCGCUUCCUUUACAUGUUUCCAUCCUCUUAUCAGUUACAAUAAUUGAUUGCUCUUUGAAUCCAAUUUUAUCAUUUGUGAUUUGAUUUUGAGAUCAAACUUCUCUCUCUUGAGUGGAGUUUAUUAUAUCAAUUUUUUUAUAUUAAAAUUUAAGUAAUAAUACUAUUUUAUGACAAGUGCUAAGAAUUUUUUAUUUAUUUUAAAAAUACAAUAAUAAUGAGUUGUCAAUUUAUAAAAGAUUGGUCAAAGAGUCAUAUAAUCUAUUUAGUAAAAUAGAUGAGAGUGAGAAUAGAAAAAAAAAUCAAUUUUACACCUUUGUCACUUUCACUUUCUUCCCAUUGUGUAUUUCUAUUAUUCUACUAUUUCUUUUAAAAAAUCACUAUAAUUAUAAUUAAUAGUUAAAGCAAUGUUUUUCUUGUCAAUGAAUUCUUCCCGUUUGAAUUCAAUUAAUCAUGUGUUGGUUUUCUUCUUUUUAAUGUUUAAGAGACAUAUCUUUAAUAGAAAAACAUUUAUUGUUACGAUAAAAUAUAUUAACGAAAUGCAAAUAAUUAUAUUUGUCAUUAUUUAAUUGAUUUGACUAUUUCAACUUACUAUAUAAAUACAUAGUUGAUUUCCCAACUUGACAUCUGACUUUCAUGAUUUAGUAAUGAAAAACCUAUCUUACUGUAUCACAUUGCUACUUUAAUAGUAUAAAAGUGGAUUUUAUAUAAAAAAAAGUAUAAAGGUGAAUUUACAAGUGUGUUUUGGGGCUAUACCUAGUGGCAUGCAUUCUUGCCGCUUAAUCUAAACUUAAAACCACAACGCUCGACGUUUAAUUCUGGUGUUAGUAAGUUGUUUUCCUUAGACGCAUGUUUAUAUCUCCCUAUCGAGCCAAGAUAAAACCAUAGUUUUACGCAAAAUCUAUAUAUACUGUAGAAAUAGAGUCUAACUCGAGGAUAAAACCACUAAAACAAUAAAUCUCUAUGAAAAAUAAAUUUUUGUAUUUAAUAAAAAUGUCUAAUUUUUUUUUAUUUAAUAAAAAGGCCUUAAAUUUUAAUAUUUUUAAAAUUAAAACAUAUAAGUUUUUACUAAAUUUAAUAUUAUCUCAACAAUAUCAAAUCAAUUGAAAAAGAAAUAUUACAUGACAUAAAUUAUAUUAAUUUAGUGAUGUCAAAUUAAAAUUUAAAAAAUUCACUUUAUUUCUUAUAUUAAAAUUCACUUUAGUUCUUAUAUUAAAAUUCGCUGUAGACCUCAAUAUAUAUAAUAAUAUAUAUAUGUUGGACCAACCAUGUAUAGAAGAUAAAUGUUCCAAGGUUGCAUACGAGUGUCAUCCAAGAGUUUUUAUUUAUUCCUUUAGAUGAGAGCAACCUUCACUGCAAUAGACCUAAAGUUGUAGUAUUUUAUAUCCAAAAAUGGUGUCAUAAGAACUAGGGAAAUGUUUUCAUUAGGAUGUAGAUAAUAGGGAUUGGAUGUGUUUGUUGUGAAAUAUUUGAAAUCCAUUGUUGCAUGUCAAAAAAAAAAAAAAGGGCAAAACCAAUAAGAAGAAAGGAAUAAAAAUAGAAAGAUUUUUGAAGGUGUUAGAAAACCACAUAUAUAGGGGUUGAAUUGUGUUUGACUAUUUUGAAAUUUAUUUUUUUAUAAACUAAAAUGUGUUCUUUAUCAAAACAUUAAACAUUGGUUAUAAAACAAUUUACAUAAAUUGAAGUUAAACCAUAGAGAACUAGUCAAAUUAAAGAGAUGAAGGAAGAGAGAGAAGACUCAAUAUUUUUAUACUAGUUCUUAAUAAACUGUUGUUACAGUUAGUCCUUCCUCUACGAAGAGAUUUUGUCUCAAUACAAUUGAAGACUUAAUCCACUAUAAUCCAAUAGCAAAUAAGUAUUCUUUACUCUGCCUCUUCAAGAUUAGAACAUUAUUCUUCUGCCUCUCCAGAUUUUACCACCAAAUUGUCGUUGAGGAUCCAACUAUUGUUAUACCUGUUUAGGUACCUCUUAUGAAUUAAAUAGUUGUUGUCACUAUUGAACUAAUUUACAUCAAUUUUAGUUUGUGUCUAAAUUGAAACAAAGUUUGUUUUAAAAUCUCUAACUCUCAUUGAGAGAAUAUUACAAUUAAUUCCUAUGUCUAGGGCUGGACAAAUGAGAUGGGCCCGCUUUUUACCGCCGACCCGCAACGGGUGAGGUAAAUUGGGCCGGUUGGAUUGGACCCAACGUGUCACAUGGGUAGAAUUGAAUGGUUCAAUAGGGUAGACUCGGGCGGGUUCGAGUCAUGGAUUUUGGUCCGGCGGUGAACGACCCGCCCGAUAACAGUUUAUAAUAUUUAUUAGUAAGUGUUGGAAUGGGUCUAUUAAAUCCAAUUUAAUUUGGCCCAUUAUUAUAACUCAACCCUAACCCUAAUUUCAAUCAGUCUCACAAUCCCACCCACAACCUAAUUUCAUUCUCUCAUCAUCAUCCUGUCACGAACCCUAGUUCUUCACACCAGCAAACCCUAAUUCCUUCAAUCCUCAACGGCGGCCAACGGCGGCCCACGACGGUUAGUGGCGGCCACAUCCAUUCCAGGUUAUCACUCUAUCUCUUAUUUCUCAACUCUCACCUUUUUCGUUCCAAACUUUUUAAUCUUGUUUUUCAAAACUAUCUUUUUUCGUCUUUGUUGUUUUAAAUCUGUUAGUUUCGUCUUUGCUAGUUUCGUUUAUGUUAGUUUUGUCUUAGUUUCAUUUUUGAUUGUUAGUUUCGUCUUUGUUGUUCUAAACAUUUUUCUCUUUGUGAGCAUUUUCAAUCUCGUGUUCAAAAAUAGCAUUUUUCAUCUUUGUUGUUUUAAACAUGUUAAUCUUUUUCUAAUUUAUUUUGCAUUGUGUUAUGGUUUUUAUUUCUUUUUAUUAUAAUUAGGGUUUUGAUUUAACUAUUGUUUUUGUUUUUGGAUUUUCUAGAGUUUGGUUUUUUUUGUUUUUGCAUGCUGUUUUAUAUAUUAGAUUUUUCAUUUUUCUUAAGUAUAAUGUGUUAUUAUGUAGUAAUCUGCCUCACCUUAACAUGCAGUUUGUCCUGUUCUUAACUCUGUUAUUUGUCCUACUAAUUGUUUGUCCUCAUCUUAAAUUAUUUGUUUUUUUUCUUAUGAAUAUGUCAGGUGAGUUGGUUUUGGUUUGUUUUAUUACUGUUAAGGCAAAGAAUCCAUUAUGUUCAAUUUUCCACAUUAAUUCUUACUUUUUAACUUUCUAUUUUGUUCUUAAUAUUGUUGAUGUCUUCAAUAUACAUCAUGAUAACAAAUUUUUUAAGGAUACUGUUUUGUUUUAUAUGGCAAGGUUAGAUUUUGAAAUUGAAAUUACUUUUUGCAUUGUUAGCAAAUAGAUUAAUCAAUUAAGAAAAAUUUAUUUUCGUUUGAGAUUAUAAGCUCUAAAUAGUUGCUGUUAAUUUGUAUCAGACUCUUUGUCUUCUUGUUUUAAAUUGAAGAAUGUGUCAUGUGCAUUUUCUUAGUUGUUUUAUUGUAUGCUAACCAUGAUUAGAAAGUAUAAACAUUUUCUGUUAGUUGAUACUUUCUGUUUCAAUCACUACCUUUAGACAUAUCUUAUUUGUAGUAUCAAAACUUUACUAGUAUAAUGCCAUGAUUCACUUGGUAAUUUUAUUAUUUAUAUACUCAUGACAAUACAAUUUGUUAAGUUAUUGUCCCCUAAUACUUCUCAUUUUAGUACAUCCAAUUUAAUUUUCCAUCACCUUGAAACCUUGCAGUUCCUCUAGGUAGAACAUUUGAUAUUUGAUAAUUUAUGCUCUUUCUGACCAACAUUUGAUAUUCAUACUCUUAUUAUUAUUAUUAUUAUUAUUAUUAUUAUUAUUAUUAUUAUUAUUAUUAUUAUUAUUAUUAUUAUUUUUUUGGUAUGAUGUAAAAAAACAAAGCUUUUUUUUAGUUAUUAGAUUUGUUGAUAUUAUUUCAUAUAACUAAUUUAUUUUUAUUCUUUUUGUUUCAUUUUCUCUGCUUAUCGGAUCUCAUAUCGUCAAGGUAAAUAUUCUUUUAUUUAUUUUUCUUUGAUUUUUUGCAUACUCUAGAGUUUCAAUAUUCUGAUUUUUGAAUUCAAACUCUAAUUUCCAACUCUAAUAAAUAUUUAUAUCUAGAAAACUCUAAUAUGCAUAUUCUGAUAUUUAAAUAUUCUUGUAUGAAUUCAAACUCUGAUGUCUAGAUAUGAAUAAUUAUUAGAUAUGAAUAUUCUGAUUUUUUCCCAAAAUACUUUCUAGAGUUUCAUUUUUUGAUUUUUUUUUGCAUAUUUUGGAAAAAAACAUACUUGAUGUUCUUGGCUUGUGGCUGGAAAAGAUGGAUCAACGAGCCAAUAACAGUAGCAAGCAAGGGGUGAUUAUAGAGCAAGAGCACUGUAAGUUUGUGCUUCUAUUUUUUCGUCUUCAGUUUGAUGCUUAUAUUGUUUCUAUUUCAUGUUUAUAAGUUUUUCAAAUGUAUACUAUAUUUUUAUGCCUAUAAAUGAAUGCUAUAUAUUUAAGUUGUAUAUUUCUUUUUAAGAUGUGUUUAAUUAAUAUGUGUUUAAAGUUUCUGGUUCUUUUUAUGAGUUCAAUUAACAUGUUAAAAAUGUGCUUUUUUUUUUUUUUAAGUGUAUCUUGUGCUUCUUUUUUACUAAAUGUAAUUAGUGCUUCAGUUUUUUUUUAAUGCGCGCUUCUGUUUAAUUGUAAUGCUUCAAUUUUUUUAAUGUAUGCGUAAUUUUUUUUAUGCACCCUUUUAAAUUUAUUUGAUUUUUUUAUUUAUAACUUGUAAUGUAUUUUAAUUUUUUUUUCUUAUACAUACUUUUAAAUGUAUUAUAUGCAUGCUUAAGUUUUUGUUGAUGCAUGUUUCUCUAAUAUAUACUUUUGUUUAUUAUAUGCUUUUUCUUUUUCUUAAUGGAUAUUUGUUUGAAUAUUAUUCUAAUAUUGUUUAAUGAGUACACUGUGCUAGUUACACACUAGAUACUGUAUUAUAGUUAACCUUCAAUGGGUUGAAUAAGUCUAGUGUGUGUGAAAUACACUGGACUCUUGAAUUAUAGUCACUUACAUAAGAAUUAAACUCCCUUAUAGGUUAAAUUAAAGUCUCUUAAAUAUUCAUAACUCCCCUUAAAUAUUUAAUUACAACCACUUAAAUAAUAGAGUAAUACAAUCCUUGGAUGUUAAAUUACAUUCAUUUAAAAGUUAAUACACCCCCAUAAAAUUUUAUUACAACCCUUUAAAAGUCAAUGAACUUACAAUAAAUAAUUCCAUAUGGUUGGUAUUUGGUUAUUAAUGCUCCUUCAUGAUUUCAGUGAUGAACCAACCUAGUCGAAAUUUACCAACUCCAAAUAUCAACACUACUGAAGCUGGUGCAGCAGCAACAACUAUAGUUGCUGGACCUGAAUUGGCUAACAAUCAAGUUAAAAAGAAGAGAAAAGCUAAUGUAAGUGGUCCUAGGCAAUCCUCUAAAUGUUGGGAACACUUUAACAAAAUUAAUUCUAGUGAAGAGGAGGUACAAUCUGCCGCAUGUAAAUAAAAUAUACUUGUGUGACUCUCGAACUCAUGGCACCUCUAACCUCAACUACCACCUUACUAGAUGUGCCAAAAAACCUUUGGUUGUAUAUGAUGACCCCAUCUAAGCUAUUCUUACAUUUCCUAAUGUAGAAGGAUCUGGUUUGGUUUCAACAAGUAGUAAAUUAAACCUUCAAGCUUGUCGUAGGGCAUUGUCUAUUUUUGUGAUUUUGGAUGAACAACAAUUCAAAACUGUGGAAGGUGAAGGAUUUAAGUAUAUGUUGAGAACAUUGCUGCCACAAUUUACAAUACUGUCUAGACGAACUGUAGCUAGGGAUAGUUUUCAGUUGUUUAUGGAGGAAAAAUAAGGUUGAAAGCUUUUUUUAAGUCUGAUUGCAAUAGGGUAGCUCUUACAAUAGAUUGUUGGACUUCAAUUCAAAACCUUAACUACUUGGCCCUUACGAAACACUUUGUUGAUAAUGAUUGGAAUUAUCAAAAAAGGAUUAUUAGUUUCACAGUAAUUCCAAACCAUAAGGGUGACACAAUUGGUAAGAAGAUUGAAGAGGUUUUAAAGGAUUGGGGGAUUCGAAAUGUGUCAACUAUAACCGUUGAUAAUGCAUCAUCCAAUGAUGUAGCUGUUGUUUUUUUGAAAAAAAAGAUAAAUAAUAUGGAUUGUUUGAUGGGGGAUGGGGAACACUUCCACAUGAGGUGUGCUGCUCAUAUUCUGAAUUUAGUUGUAACUGAUGGCUUGAAAGAAAUUUUUUUGGCAAUCUCUAGCAUUAGAAAUGCUGUUAGAUUUGUAAAAUCUUCACCUCAUAGGGCUGCCAAGUUUAGGGAAUGUGUCCAGUUAGCUGGAAUAUCUUGUAAAAAAUUGCUAUCUCUUGAUGUUUCAACUCGUUGGAAUUCAACCUACUUGAUGCUUGAGGCUACAAAGAAGUUUCAAGUAGCUCUUAGGAAGUUUGAGGUUGAGGAGUCAAGUUAUAAGGAUUUCUUUGGAGAAGCUGGUCCCCCAACUAGUUAUGAUUGGGAUACAGCUAGGGCGUUUGCAACAUUUUUAAAGUUAUUUUAUGAGGCAACUAGAGUGUUUUCCUCCUCACAACAUGAGAGUAUACAUGCAGCUUUUCACCAAUUGUCUACAAUCUAUUGUGCGCUGCAAAAUGCCUCUUUGAAUUUGAACACCAUUUUUGCAAGUGUGGCUGAGGAUAUGUUAGUAAAAUAUGAUAAGUAUUGGGGUAAUAUUGCAAACAUUAAUAAGUUGCUAUACUUUGGGGUAAUUUUUGAUCCACGAUAUAAAUUGAAAUGUGUCGAGUGGUGCUUUCAAGAUAUGUAUGCAACUAAAUCAGAGGUGGCUAUUGAAUUGAUCACAUUAAUUAAAGAAGAUCUAACUAAAAUGUUCAAAUGGUAUAAGAAAAUCCAUGACAAAAGAAAAUAAUUUACCACAACCAACUCCCAUGGCUGUUGACAGUGGUUCCCAUGAUGAAACCUCUGUUGUUGCUGCCCAUAAUUUACAAAUGGCCAGAGCACAAGCUUUUGAAGACACCAUUUGAAAGAGAAAGACUCAAUUGACCAACAAAAUGAGCUUGAAGGAUAUUAUUCUAGUAAGUGUGUGAAGAUGAGUGAAAAGUUUGAUAUUCUUGCUUGGUGGAAAUGUAACGCAACUCAGUACCCAAUCUUAUCUCUUAUAGUCAAAGAUAUUUUGGCUAUACCGGUGUCUACAAUUGCAUCUGAAAGUGCUUUUAGUACUGGUGGGAGAGUCAUUGAAACCUUUAGAAGCUCUUUAAAGCCAGAAAUGGAUGAAGCAUUAAUUUACACACAAAAUUGGCUAAAACCUUCACUCACUUGUUUCAAAGACUUAAAUCUUAGUGAAGAUGUUGAUCUUUCUGAAGAAAUUAUUAAAGGUAAAAUUAUUUAUGUAUCUUUUAACUUUUUGAACUGUCUCAUAUAUUUAUAUGUUCAUAAUAUAGUCUAAUGUUUAUUAUUUUGUUAGUUAUUUCAGAGUUUCAAGGAAUGUCAAUUGGAAAGGCAACUACUGCAGGUGGCUCAUCAUCACAACCACCUAGUUGUGGUUGAAUAAAAUUAUUGUAUGCAAUAUUCCUUUUUAUUGUUACUAAUUUGAAAUGAUUUUGUCAAUAUUGUGUUAGUACUAACUAAUUAUGCCAAACUUUUCAGAUUUAGACUUUUUUGAAUGUUUUGACCUCACACAAUCUUAAGUCAAAGACUAACUUGGCUCUAUGACAAUAUCAACACAAGCUUUUUGGGAUUUGUAUAAACUGUUGUUCUGCUUGGUAAGUUAUUAUUGUUAUAUCUUAUUGUUAUUUUAAUUGCCAAAAAUUGUUAGUAACCAAAAUUGUAAGUAGCUACAACUACAACUGUUACUCUCUUAGCAAUCUAAACUGCAUGUUAUAGAUAUAUGUUAGCAUAUAUUAGCAUAUUGUGUUAGUACUAACUAAUUAUGCCAAACUUUUCAGAUUUAGACUUUUUUGAAUGUUUUGACCUCACACAAUCUUAAGUCAAAGACUAACUUGGCUCUAUGACAAUAUCAACACAAGCUUUUUGGGAUUUGUAUAAACUGUUGUUCUGCUUGGUAAGUUAUUAUUGUUAUAUCUUAUUGUUAUUUUAAUUGCCAAAAAUUGUUAGUAACCAAAAUUGUAAGUAGCUACAACUACAACUGUUACUCUCUUAGCAAUCUAAACUGCAUGUUAUAGAUAUAUGUUAGCAUAUAUUAGCAUUUCUGUGAUAAGCAAGAACAUAAGAUUAAUUUGUUAUUCUUAUAUAAUUACCCUUUUAUUUCCCAACAGCUGGUGCAUUAGAUUAUGAGACUGAUUUUGUUGCAAGUCAUAGAAAAACAAGUGUUUGAUCAUAUGUAUGUUACCUUUUAUCUUAAGUCAAUUGUGAACUAUCAGAAUUUUAUUUUUAAUAAAAUUAAAGUACUGAGUAUAAUAUUGAUUAUGUAGGUUGCAGGAGUUCUUGCAGAUUGCUUGGUGUUAAAUCUUUAUUUAAUAUUAGCUAAGUUAGUAGCUGCAAUUUAUAUUAUUGUGAACAACAUAUAUAGGUAUGUCAACCUGAUUUCUUAGUUUGAUCUUAUUGUUGAUUCAAAAUGAAUGAUCUAAUAAUGUUGAUUGCAUUAUUUUUUAUUCAAACUAGGUUGCUAUACAUGAAACUAAGCUAAAGUAAAUUUGGCGUUAUCAAGUUUGGAAUUUUUUGAUGUUGAUUGCAAACAAGGUAUUGAAUUAUUUUUUCUAUGGUACACAUCAACAACAUAUUUUUACAAUGGUUAUUGGUUACUAAUUUUUGCUCUAAUUUUUUAGGUUCGCAAUGGGAACAAAUUGGAAAUAUAUAUUGAUAAUUGUAUUUUCAUAGAGUCAAUUAAAACUAUCAAUAUUUUCCAAGAAGUGUGUAUCAAUAUUAGACUUUAGUAUUAUGUGAAUGUAGUUGAAAAACUAAGCUGUUAUAAUCUGUUGUUGAAUAACUAGGCUGUGAUAAUCUGUUGUUGAAAACUAGGCUGUGAUAAUCUGUCGUUGAAAAAGUAAGCUGUUAUAAUCUGUUGCUGUGAAAAACUAAGCUGUUAUGUGAAUGUAUUAAUAUUACGUGAAUGUACUUGAGUUGUUGUUGAAAAACUAAGUUGUUAUAAUCUGUUGGACUUGAAAAAUAAGGAUUGUGUUAAACUUUUAGUUGUAAUCUGUUGGACUUGAAAAACAAGGAUUGUGGAAAACUUUUAGUUGUAAGCUGCUGUAUUUGUAUGUUAUGUGAAUUUAGUUGUAAACUGAGUUGUUGUAGUUGUAAGUUGUUGCAUUAUAGGAAUAUAAUUGUAUGUUAUGUGAAUGUUAGUAUCCCAAUUUUUUUUUAAAAAAGUACAAAUUUUGUCUUUAAAUGGCUCAAAAGUGGUCUUAUAUUUGAUAAUAAACUACUACUUUCCUAAGAAAUAACAAAAAAAAUAGUUAUUUUAAUAAACAUGUUAUUGGGUCAAAAAAAUUUGAAUGGCCCAAAAAAGUUUGAAUGGCCCAAACAAUGAUUCAACCCGGAUGUAACCACUCGAUUAACCCGCAACCCGGAUACCCGAUUUUUGUAUUGGGCAAAAAUGGGCUUGUAAUUUUCAAUCACAGAUUGAGCCGGUUGGUGUUUUUAGGCCCGAACCCGCCCUACCCAGCCUGUUGUCCAACCCUACCUAUAUCAACUCAAGUGUAUAAAAUAGCUUCAUUGUUUUGCAUCAAUAACAAAUAAAUCUCGUUGGAGAGAAUUUUUCAUUCAAUCUUUCUUUUGAUAUAUUCAAGGUAUUUUUAGAAUCAUUUUAAUUUGAACAUUGCUUUUUCUUUUGACACUAAUGAUAUCACUAAAGGUGGUGAUUUUCUUUUGAUUUUCAUGAUCUGUCAAUGAAUGAAGGUGGAUCAGACGAUCAUUGUUUAGAAACUUCUAGGUGUCUUCUUAUCGUGGAUGACUUUCUUGGAUCAUGGAUGAUGAACUAUUAGUCCUUUUCCAAUCAUCAUUGAUCAUUAUUCUUCUCCAUCAUGCAAAUUUACAAUUUUAAUUCCUUUAUUAUAAUAUCAAGAGAAAUGUAUCUAUUAGGAAUAGAGCCGUUGAACAUUUUGCCACGUUGUAGUAGUACAUUUUGCCGUUGAGAGAAAUGUGUUGUUCAUAAUAUUAUUAUAGGUUGUUUUUGUACAAUUUAGACAAUUAUAUUGUAUUAAUUAUAAGAUGUUGGUGAGACAUCAGUUGUAUUGAUUACAAAAGAAUGUUGAUAUUCUAGUGCCACGUCACUUGUACUUUUAGCUAGAGAAUCAAACUUCUAUCUCUAAUUAAUUUUGUAUCCAAACGAAUAAUGAUACUUCUUUGUUAACAUCGUCAUUCAUUGAUUGAUCAGAUGCAUUGACUUUAUCUAAAUAUAAACUGUAUUAGAAGACUAUGUGAUUUAAAUAUCAUUGUCUUUUUUUCCGGAGAAUCUUGCUUAGAAGAUCACCAAAAGUUUUAACUGAUUAUUGACUUUUGCCAGAGAGGUAUAUGAUCAUUGUAGUGCUUUUGCUUUGUGAUGAGAAGUGCAAAUGUUGACUCAAAGUGUAAGUUGUCAAAUGCUUGUUAUAAAGCUAGUUGGUCACAUUACUUUAGUGAAUUGUCUCUUGUGACUAAAUGAAGAUUUACUUUAUAAUGUUCUCAAAUACGUUCUUAAUUAAAAUAAUACAUUUAAUCUAGAAUGUCAUUUGCUUUGUUAAACAUUUCUUACACUUAUACGCUAUUUUGUUUAUUCAAUAGAACAACACAUGUAUUAUUAUUCCUAAUUUACUCAUAAUUUAUGUUACCUUAAAAUAAAUAGUCCUUAACAUAUAUUUUAGGGUUAUAUAUGCUUUUAUUGAAUGUGCAAAAAUACGAGAAAGGGGAGUUGAAUUGUAUUUUGCCUUAUUAACAACAUCUUUUCAAAAAUCUAGUUCAUGAUACUAGAACAAAUAUAACAGAACAGACACAUUAAUAAAACAAAGUAUCAGACAGAGAGAAAAACACAAGGAUUUAUACUGGUUCACUACCAACGUGGAAGCAACGUCCAGUCCCCUCACACAAAAGGAUUUAUCCGGUAAUUCAAAACCUAAACUACAUCAUCUGACCUUACAAUUCAGUCUUCUCAACUUCCAUCUUGAAACCUAGAUACCUUUGAGGCACUACAACACCUUGAUCCUACAAGCAUUUGACCAAAAGGAUUUAUCCAGUAAUUCAAAACCUAAACUGCAUUAUCUGACCUUACAAUUCAGUCUUCUCAAAUUUCAACUUGAAACCUACAUACCAGUGAGGCACUACAUCACCUUGAUCCUACAAGUCAAGUCUUCUCAACUUCCAACUUGAAAACCUACAAGUCAUUGAGGCAGAAUAACCACUAUUGGUUUGGGUUACAAAGGGGUGAAACUAAGUUCUAUUUUGCUUCUUAUAAGCGGAUUGAUGACAAUUAACUUUACACUAAAACAUAGAACUAAGCAAUUAUAAUAUAAAGUUGAACGAGUGUCUUCGAUAAAACUAGAACCUUGAAUUCUUAAUACUUAGAGACUUUUGAGUAAAUAAGGUUUUCUGAGUUGUUAUGUUGUUUUAUCUUCUUUAGAAUUAAUCCCUAUAUAUAGCAUAAAUUAGGAUUUCAAUACUGUCUCAAACAAAUUCUAAAUGUGUCUUCCUUGUGCAAGGUCAACAUAGAUCUUAAAAAAAAAGUAAACCUUGAUAGAUACAGUUUGAGACUAUGACCGUUGAAGUUUGAUUAAUUGCAAAUCAAAUCUUCAACUAAAUUUUCUAGAAUGAUUAUGUGCGAUAAUUUCUAAAUAAUGCUAGAAAACAAUUCUCCUUGAAUCUUCUGAGCGUAUCUUCACAAAAAAUUAAAUCUUGAUAGAUAUGAUUUGGGACUGGUAAAGCUUGAUUAAUUCCAAAGCGAAUAUUCAACCAAUUCUUCUAGAAUGAUUAUGUGUGAGAAUUUCCAUAUAAGGCUUGAAAAUAAUUUUUCUUGAAUCUUAUUUCAUAUGCUUGUUUAAGAGCAACAAGAACAUAUAAGAAUAUGUUCUUGGACCUUCAGAAUUAUGAAACAACUCAUUCACUAUCUGUAAGACCCAUAAUUUUAAAGUACACUUUAUGUAUUUUAUAUGUUUUGGAUUUUGGCUCGGAGGCUUUUUAGCCAAAGUUAAUAAUAUUAUGCAGUGUAUAGGAUCAAAAAGUUAUUUUGACCCCGUUUAGAAUUACUCGUCGAUAAAUAAAUUUAAAUUAAGUGCGGUAAAUCCUUUACGGAGAAUUUAAUGCGUUACGGGUAAAAUGGUAAUUUAACAAAUAUCUAGAUAUUUUGAGAUAUUUGUUAAGUUAUAUUUAAUAUAUAUAUAUAUAUAUAUAUAUAUAUAUAUAUAUAUGUUUGCUUGGAGAGAAUAGAAAGAAAGGAAAUUAGAAGGAAGGAAAAGGAAACGAAAAGGUUAUAUAAAGGAAAGAAGGAAAUAGAAAGGAAGGAAAAACAAAGAAAGGAAAAAGGAAGGAAGGAAAAUUCAGAAUUCCAUCUUCUUCCUCCCUACGCGUGACCCCCCAUUUUCCCUUCUCCUCCAUUUUCGUCUUUCGUUGCUUUCUUUCUUCAAGACUAGUAACCCAAGGUUGGGUGAGUGUUAGAACAAGGAUUUCGCAACUCCACUCUUCCUCUUUGAUUCGAAAACGAAGAAAAACGGUAUUUGAGAUUCAAACACAAACCCCUCCGUUUCUUCUAGAUCCAAGCUUCAUUUCGCGAAGAGUUAGAAGGGAAAGUUGCUCACUACCACGCCACGGUGCUAGGGGACCAAUUUGGAGGCGACGUUGCGAGCGGAGAUUUUUACCGGAUUUGCUCGCGGUACCAGAAACGCACGUUAGAGCUAACGCGAAGGUAAGGGCUCCUUCCAAACUUUUAGUUUGCAUCUAGGGCCUUAUAUGUGGUUGUGUGGAAACGAAUUUUGUUAGGAUGGGAGUAUUGUUUUGGGAAAAAUGAAUUUACCUCACGUAUGUAAGAUUUUGAGUAAAUGAAACUUGUGUGUUUUGAGUAGUGGAUUGUGUCGAUUUGUGUUCGUUGUUUUUGACAUGCUCUUAAUUGAUAUUGAUGAAAUUUGAUAUGUGUAUGGUUGGAUUUGUGAAUAAAUGAAUUGAUAUGUUUUGAUGUGAGAAUUUGUUGAGUUUGUGUUGUGUGAAAUUUGAAAACCAUUAAGUUAAAUGAGUAUUAAGAAUGGGGAAUCUCUUAAUGUCUCGUUUACUUAAUGUGCGUUUGUUUGUGAAAAAUCGUUUAAGUUAACUGGGCGUUAAGAAUGGGGAAUCUCUUAAUGUCUCGGUUACUUAACAUUUUGUUUUGAAAACCGUUUAAGUAAACUGGGCGUUAAGAAUGGGGAAUCUCUUAAUGUCUCGGUUACUUAAUAUUUGUUUUUGAAAAUCGUUUAAGUUAACUGGGCGUUAAGAAUGGGGAAUCUCUUAAUGUCUCGGUUACUUAAUAUUUGUUUUUGAAAAUCGUUUAAGUUAACUGGGCGUUAAGAAUGGGGAAUCUCUUAAUGUCUCGGUUACUUAAUAUUUUGUUUUAAAGAAAAAUCGUUUAAGUUAACUGGGCGUUAAGAAUGGGGAAUCUCUUAAUGUCUCGGUUACUUAAUAUUUUGUUUUAAAGAAAAAUCGUUUAAGUUAACUGGGCGUUAAGAAUGGGGAAUCUCUUAAUGUCUCGGUUACUUAAUAUUUUGUUUUGAAAACCGUUUAAGUAAACUGGGCGUUAAGAAUGGGGAAUCUCUUAAUGUCUCGGUUACUUAAUAUUUUGUUUUGAAAACCGUUUAAGUUAACUGGACGUUAAGGAGAGGGAAUCUCUUAAUGUCUCGGUUACUUAAUAUUUUGUUUUAAAGAAAAAUCGUUUAAGUUAACUGGGCGUUAAGAAUGGGGAAUCUCUUAAUGUCUCGGUUACUUAAUAUUUUGUUUUAAAGAAAAAUCGUUUAAGUUAACUGGGCGUUAAGAAUGGGGAAUCUCUUAAUGUCUCGGUUACUUAAUAUUUUGUUUUAAAGAAAAAUCGUUUAAGUUAACUGGGCGUUAAGAAUGGGGAAUCUCUUAAUGUCUCGGUUACUUAAUAUUUUGUUUUAAAGAAAAAUCGUUUAAGUUAACUGGGCGUUAAGAAUGGGGAAUCUCUUAAUGUCUCGGUUACUUAAUAUUUUGUUUUGAAAACCGUUUAAGUAAACUGGGCGUUAAGAAUGGGGAAUCUCUUAAUGUCUCGGUUACUUAAUAUUUUGUUUUGAAAACCGUUUAAGUAAACUGGGCGUUAAGAAUGGGGAAUCUCUUAAUGUCUCGGUUACUUAAUAUUUUGUUUUAAAGAAAAAUCGUUUAAGUUAACUGGGCGUUAAGAACGGGGAAUCUCUUAAUGUCUCGNNNNNNNNNNNNNNNNNNNNNNNNNNNNNNNNNNNNNNNNNNNNNNNNNNNNNNNNNNNNNNNNNNNNNNNNNNNNNNNNNNNNNNNNNNNNNNNNNNNNNNNNNNNNNNNNNNNNNNNNNNNNNNNNNNNNNNNNNNNNNNNNNNNNNNNNNNNNNNNNNNNNNNNNNNNNNNNNNNNNNNNNNNNNNNNNNNNNNNNNNNNNNNNNNNNNNNNNNNNNNNNNNNNNNNNNNNNNNNNNNNNNNNNNNNNNNNNNNNNNNNNNNNNNNNNNNNNNNNNNNNNNNNNNNNNNNNNNNNNNNNNNNNNNNNNNNNNNNNNNNNNNNNNNNNNNNNNNNNNNNNNNNNNNNNNNNNNNNNNNNNNNNNNNNNNNNNNNNNNNNNNNNNNNNNNNNNNNNNNNNNNNNNNNNNNNNNNNNNNNNNNNNNNNNNNNNNNNNNNNNNNNNNNNNNNNNNNNNNNNNNNNNNNNNNNNNNNNNNNNNNNNNNNNNNNNNNNNNNNNNNNNNNNNNNNNNNNNNNNNNNNNNNNNNNNNNNNNNNNNNNNNNNNNNNNNNNNNNNNNNNNNNNNNNNNNNNNNNNNNNNNNNNNNNNNNNNNNNNNNNNNNNNNNNNNNNNNNNNNNNNNNNNNNNNNNNNNNNNNNNNNNNNNNNNNNNNNNNNNNNNNNNNNNNNNNNNNNNNNNNNNNNNNNNNNNNNNNNNNNNNNNNNNNNNNNNNNNNNNNNNNNNNNNNNNNNNNNNNNNNNNNNNNNNNNNNNNNNNNNNNNNNNNNNNNNNNNNNNNNNNNNNNNNNNNNNNNNNNNNNNNNNNNNNNNNNNNNNNNNNNNNNNNNNNNNNNNNNNNNNNNNNNNNNNNNNNNNNNNNNNNNNNNNNNNNNNNNNNNNNNNNNNNNNNNNNNNNNNNNNNNNNNNNNNNNNNNNNNNNNNNNNNNNNNNNNNNNNNNNNNNNNNNNNNNNNNNNNNNNNNNNNNNNNNNNNNNNNNNNNNNNNNNNNNNNNNNNNNNNNNNNNNNNNNNNNNNNNNNNNNNNNNNNNNNNNNNNNNNNNNNNNNNNNNNNNNNNNNNNNNNNNNNNNNNNNNNNNNNNNNNNNNNNNNNNNNNNNNNNNNNNNNNNNNNNNNNNNNNNNNNNNNNNNNNNNNNNNNNNNNNNNNNNNNNNNNNNNNNNNNNNNNNNNNNNNNNNNNNNNNNNNNNNNNNNNNNNNNNNNNNNNNNNNNNNNNNNNNNNNNNNNNNNNNNNNNNNNNNNNNNNNNNNNNNNNNNNNNNNNNNNNNNNNNNNNNNNNNNNNNNNNNNNNNNNNNNNNNNNNNNNNNNNNNNNNNNNNNNNNNNNNNNNNNNNNNNNNNNNNNNNNNNNNNNNNNNNNNNNNNNNNNNNNNNNNNNNNNNNNNNNNNNNNNNNNNNNNNNNNNNNNNNNNNNNNNNNNNNNNNNNNNNNNNNNNNNNNNNNNNNNNNNNNNNNNNNNNNNNNNNNNNNNNNNNNNNNNNNNNNNNNNNNNNNNNNNNNNNNNNNNNNNNNNNNNNNNNNNNNNNNNNNNNNNNNNNNNNNNNNNNNNNNNNNNNNNNNNNNNNNNNNNNNNNNNNNNNNNNNNNNNNNNNNNNNNNNNNNNNNNNNNNNNNNNNNNNNNNNNNNNNNNNNNNNNNNNNNNNNNNNNNNNNNNNNNNNNNNNNNNNNNNNNNNNNNNNNNNNNNNNNNNNNNNNNNNNNNNNNNNNNNNNNNNNNNNNNNNNNNNNNNNNNNNUUUUGAAUUCAUGGAUUGAGAACUUUUUCCGCUGCUUGAAAAUUAUAAUGACUUAAUUACUUAUCCAAAGGUGUUACCUUGUUUAUUUCUCUGUUUUAUUUUAAUUUCUUUUAAAAAAAAAAUACACGCUCGCUUUGAAAAACAGGGUGUUUCAUUGUGGUAUCAGAGCUUUGGUUUGGUUUUCUUUGGGGGCUGUGGAACCUCUAGUUCUAGAUUGUAGGUUAGGAGUUGUUGUCUGAUCAUGUGUCGGUUUAGGUGGUUUGAGUUGUCAAGUUCAUAACAAUUAUUAUGUGCGGUUGUGGUCGGAAGUUAUUCUUAGAAUUAUUGAAGUAGUGUUAAGACUCUACUUGAUGAUGGUUUUAUAGGAGAACCAUGCUGCCAAGGAGGAAUGACGUUCCGAGAGCCAAUGUCAAUAGGGAUGAUCGAAUGGCGGAGGCUAUGAAUAACCUGGCUGCUUCUGUUGCUGCACAGACUGCUGCCAAGACUCAACGUGAUCUCGAAAAGAGGGGAAGAGAGAUCCGUGCUGCAGAGUCAAGAGGAUUAAAGGACUUUCGUCGUUACAAUCCUCCCAAGUUUGAGGGGGCUGAGGAUUCAGAGAAAGCGGAUCAAUGGAUCCAAGAAGUGGAGAAGAUCUUCGACAUGAUCAACUGUCAGGCGGGAGUGAGGGUCAACUAUGCCACUUAUAUGCUACUAGGAGAUGCUGAGUACUGGUGGAGGAGUACAAGGUUGUUGAUGAGAUCAGCUCACGAGGAGGUGAACUGGGAAUCUUUCAAAGGGAAGUUUUUCGACAAAUACUUCCCGAUGAGUACCAGGACUAGACUGGGUGAUGAUUUCCUGAAACUACAUCAGGGGAACAUGACCGUGGACGAAUAUGCUGCUAAGUUUGAAUCACUAUCAAGGCAUUUCAGAUUUUUCCGUGAAGAGAUUGACGAGCCGUUCUUGUGUCAUCGUUUCCAAGACGGGCUAAAGUGUGAGAUUCAAGACUUUGUCUUACCCUUGGGAAUUUAACGUUUCCAAUUUCUUGUGGGAAAAUGUAGAGAAGUUGAGGAUAUGAAGAAUAAAAGAGCUAGCCGAGGAGGGAAUUUUAACUCAGGAGGACCUAGUCGGGUGAAGUAUCAGAACAAGGGAAAACGAGUUGUCAAACAUGAUAAUCGACCACGUGAUAACAACGGGGGGCUAAAUAACCCAGGGAACCAAGACUUUGGGAGGCAAAUGGGACAAGGUAUACGAUGUUUCCGAUGUGGAGAAGAAGGACAUUAUGCUUAUGCUUGUACCUUUGACAGUACUACUUGCUACAAUUGCCAUAAACCAGGGCACUUUGCAAGGAAUUGCGAGGCUCCGAAGGUGGAACCAAUGGUGGAUGUAGCUAGGAUUACUCUUCCUACUGCUAGAGGACAGGUGUAUUGCGUCGGCGCUGAUUUAUCUAGCGAUCUGAUUCAAUAUGACUGUGCGAUUACAGGUAACCUCCUAACUACACUUUCUGAUUCAGGGGCAACCCAUUCCUUCAUUGCUAUGGAUUAUGUAAAUUGUUUGAAGUUGUCCGUGUCUACUUUACUGCUAAGACUUUGACAGUAAAUUAUGCAUGUUUACUUUGUCAAAUAACCAUUCAGAAUAGGGACUUCUCGAUUAAUUUGAUUGUUUACCUCUACAAUAACCCAAGAUCAUUCUUGGUAUGGAUGGGAAGCCCUAUCAUUAGGUAAUGAUACAUUGUACUCAAUGGGUCGGUGUCAUACUUAGUGUUUAGAUUUGGUACUAGUUGGAUGUUCCGUACAAGGUGGAACAUCAGCGACCUGCUGGGGUGUUGCGACCUUUAGAGAUUACACGGAGUACCAUCGAGUAUUGUAUCAUACAGACUGUUGUAUUCGAAUACAGACAUGCUGUUUUUGCCACUGACUUACUGUGUAGUCGAAUACAGACUGCUGUAUUCGAAUACAUUUUGCUACUGACUUGCUGUGUAGUCGAAUACAGACUGUUGUAUUCGAAUACAGACAUGCUGUUUUUGCCACUGACUUACUGUGUAGUCGAAUACAGACUGCUGUAUUCGAAUACAUUUUGCUACUGACUUGCUGUGUAGUCGAAUACAGACUGUUGUAUUCGAAUACAGACAUGCUGUUUUUGCCACUGACUUACUGUGUAGUCGAAUACAGACUGCUGUAUUCGAAUACAUUUUGCUACUGACUUGCUGUGUAGUCGAAUACAGACUGUUGUAUUCGAAUACAGACAUGCUGUUUUUGCCACUGACUUACUGUGUAGUCGAAUACAGACUGCUGUAUUCGAAUACAUUUUGCUACUGACUUGCUGUGUAGUCGAAUACAGACUGUUGUAUUCGAAUACAGACAUGCUGUUUUUGCCACUGACUUACUGUGUAGUCGAAUACAGACUGCUGUAUUCGAAUACAUUUUGCUACUGACUUGCUGUGUAGUCGAAUACAGACUGUUGUAUUCGAAUACAGACAUGCUGUUUUUGCCACUGACUUACUGUGUAGUCGAAUACAGACUGCUGUAUUCGAAUACAUUUUGCUACUGACUUGCUGUGUAGUCGAAUACAGACUGUUGUAUUCGAAUACAGACAUGCUGUUUUUGCCACUGACUUACUGUGUAGUCGAAUACAGACUGCUGUAUUCGAAUACAUUUUGCUACUGACUUGCUGUGUAGUCGAAUACAGACUGUUGUAUUCGAAUACAGACAUGCUGUUUUUGCCACUGACUUACUGUGUAGUCGAAUACAGACUGCUGUAUUCGAAUACAUUUUGCUACUGACUUGCUGUGUAGUCGAAUACAGACUGUUGUAUUCGAAUACAGACAUGCUGUUUUUGCCACUGACUUACUGUGUAGUCGAAUACAGACUGCUGUAUUCGAAUACAUUUUGCUACUGACUUGCUGUGUAGUCGAAUACAGACUGUUGUAUUCGAAUACAGACAUGCUGUUUUUGCCACUGACUUACUGUGUAGUCGAAUACAGACUGCUGUAUUCGAAUACAUUUUGCUACUGACUUGCUGUGUAGUCGAAUACAGACUGUUGUAUUCGAAUACAGACAUGCUGUUUUUGCCACUGACUUACUGUGUAGUCGAAUACAGACUGCUGUAUUCGAAUACAUUUUGCUACUGACUUGCUGUGUAGUCGAAUACAGACUGUUGUAUUCGAAUACAGACAUGCUGUUUUUGCCACUGACUUACUGUGUAGUCGAAUACAGACUGCUGUAUUCGAAUACAUUUUGCUACUGACUUGCUGUGUAGUCGAAUACAGACUGUUGUAUUCGAAUACAGACAUGCUGUUUUUGCCACUGACUUACUGUGUAGUCGAAUACAGACUGCUGUAUUCGAAUACAUUUUGCUACUGACUUGCUGUGUAGUCGAAUACAGACUGUUGUAUUCGAAUACAGACAUGCUGUUUUUGCCACUGACUUACUGUGUAGUCGAAUACAGACUGCUGUAUUCGAAUACAUUUUGCUACUGACUUGCUGUGUAGUCGAAUACAGACUGUUGUAUUCGAAUACAGACAUGCUGUUUUUGCCACUGACUUACUGUGUAGUCGAAUACAGACUGCUGUAUUCGAAUACAUUUUGCUACUGACUUGCUGUGUAGUCGAAUACAGACUGUUGUAUUCGAAUACAGACAUGCUGUUUUUGCCACUGACUUACUGUGUAGUCGAAUACAGACUGCUGUAUUCGAAUACAUUUUGCUACUGACUUGCUGUGUAGUCGAAUACAGACUGUUGUAUUCGAAUACAGACAUGCUGUUUUUGCCACUGACUUACUGUGUAGUCGAAUACAGACUGCUGUAUUCGAAUACAUUUUGCUACUGACUUGCUGUGUAGUCGAAUACAGACUGUUGUAUUCGAAUACAGACAUGCUGUUUUUGCCACUGACUUACUGUGUAGUCGAAUACAGACUGCUGUAUUCGAAUACAUUUUGCUACUGACUUGCUGUGUAGUCGAAUACAGACUGUUGUAUUCGAAUACAGACAUGCUGUUUUUGCCACUGACUUACUGUGUAGUCGAAUACAGACUGCUGUAUUCGAAUACAUUUUGCUACUGACUUGCUGUGUAGUCGAAUACAGACUGUUGUAUUCGAAUACAGACAUGCUGUUUUUGCCACUGACUUACUGUGUAGUCGAAUACAGACUGCUGUAUUCGAAUACAUUUUGCUACUGACUUGCUGUGUAGUCGAAUACAGACUGUUGUAUUCGAAUACAGACAUGCUGUUUUUGCCACUGACUUACUGUGUAGUCGAAUACAGACUGCUGUAUUCGAAUACAUUUUGCUACUGACUUGCUGUGUAGUCGAAUACAGACUGUUGUAUUCGAAUACAGACAUGCUGUUUUUGCCACUGACUUACUGUGUAGUCGAAUACAGACUGCUGUAUUCGAAUACAUUUUGCUACUGACUUGCUGUGUAGUCGAAUACAGACUGUUGUAUUCGAAUACAGACAUGCUGUUUUUGCCACUGACUUACUGUGUAGUCGAAUACAGACUGCUGUAUUCGAAUACAUUUUGCUACUGACUUGCUGUGUAGUCGAAUACAGACUGUUGUAUUCGAAUACAGACAUGCUGUUUUUGCCACUGACUUACUGUGUAGUCGAAUACAGACUGCUGUAUUCGAAUACAUUUUGCUACUGACUUGCUGUGUAGUCGAAUACAGACUGUUGUAUUCGAAUACAGACAUGCUGUUUUUGCCACUGACUUACUGUGUAGUCGAAUACAGACUGCUGUAUUCGAAUACAUUUUGCUACUGACUUGCUGUGUAGUCGAAUACAGACUGUUGUAUUCGAAUACAGACAUGCUGUUUUUGCCACUGACUUACUGUGUAGUCGAAUACAGACUGCUGUAUUCGAAUACAUUUUGCUACUGACUUGCUGUGUAGUCGAAUACAGACUGUUGUAUUCGAAUACAGACAUGCUGUUUUUGCCACUGACUUACUGUGUAGUCGAAUACAGACUGCUGUAUUCGAAUACAUUUUGCUACUGACUUGCUGUGUAGUCGAAUACAGACUGUUGUAUUCGAAUACAGACAUGCUGUUUUUGCCACUGACUUACUGUGUAGUCGAAUACAGACUGCUGUAUUCGAAUACAUUUUGCUACUGACUUGCUGUGUAGUCGAAUACAGACUGUUGUAUUCGAAUACAGACAUGCUGUUUUUGCCACUGACUUACUGUGUAGUCGAAUACAGACUGCUGUAUUCGAAUACAUUUUGCUACUGACUUGCUGUGUAGUCGAAUACAGACUGUUGUAUUCGAAUACAGACAUGCUGUUUUUGCCACUGACUUACUGUGUAGUCGAAUACAGACUGCUGUAUUCGAAUACAUUUUGCUACUGACUUGCUGUGUAGUCGAAUACAGACUGUUGUAUUCGAAUACAGACAUGCUGUUUUUGCCACUGACUUACUGUGUAGUCGAAUACAGACUGCUGUAUUCGAAUACAUUUUGCUACUGACUUGCUGUGUAGUCGAAUACAGACUGUUGUAUUCGAAUACAGACAUGCUGUUUUUGCCACUGACUUACUGUGUAGUCGAAUACAGACUGCUGUAUUCGAAUACAUUUUGCUACUGACUUGCUGUGUAGUCGAAUACAGACUGUUGUAUUCGAAUACAGACAUGCUGUUUUUUUUGCUGAAUGCUGAAACAGCCUUGUAUUCGAAUACAGAGAUGCUGUAUUCGAAUACAACAAUGUUGUUUUGUUAAAAACUUCAUUUCUCAACCUUGUUUAUGCAUGUUUGGCAUAUGGAAACCCUUUUAAGGUGCAUGCUUAGUUGAAAGGUUAUUUUGAGCAUUUAAAAUCUUAAUUGCUAUGUGUUAACUGUUAUUUUUUUUGGUUGGUGACCCUUUACAAUUAUUGUGGAAAUCUGGGCUUUGCCCUCAGAUGAGAGUCAGGACGAUCCUACCGGUUCGUACCCUACGGACGGGAAUGGAGAUGGGAACGCUUGACUGCAGCUACGUUAGGAGGAUCUCACGGGGCGCGUGGAGAUCACUCAGGGUGUUUAGUUGUUUUGUAAAAUGAUCAGACUAGGUUGUCACAGAGGGAACGGAUGUCUUUCUUUUGGGGUUGCGUUUAUUUUAAACCGGAAGACUGUACUGUUACUAUUAUUGUCAGUACGACACCUUAGUUGAAUGGGUUCCUUGUAUCUUCUAGUUGUUGCUUAAAUACUUUGGAUGUAUGUAUUUGAGAAACUUUUUCCGCUGCUUGUAAAUUUUAAUGACUCAAUUAUUUAUCCAAAGGCAUUUCCUGAUUUAAUUCUCUGUUUUAUUUUAAUUCCUUUUGAAAAAAAAAUACACCCUCGCUUUGAAAAACGGGGUGUUACACUAUCAGAACAUUGACUUUCCAUUAGAGUCGUUGACUUUCGCCAUCAGAACAUAACUUGAUCAUUAGAUUCAUAUAUUGUGUUGCUUGGUUCAGGUAGUUAGAGGCAAAACUGCAUGAUUUAGAAUUAGUGGCAUGAGUAAUGUCAUCUUGUUGCAUCUUUAGAGCAAACGACAACAACAUCUUGGAACAAGAUGCAGUCUUCAGAACAAGCGAAACACGAGCUUCAGAUGCAACUCAAAUAGAAACUUAAGAUUUAUUAUAGUGGGCGCUUAAGAUGCAUGCUAAAUAGAGACAUGCUCCAGUCUUCACAUACAUACGCACAAAAGCUUCAUCGAGGCAGAUGUGCACACACAACAACGCAUGUAAUAACCAAAGUCUGAACGUUGCGUUUACUUCCUUUGACUUCACUUGACUUUGAUGUUUUUGUUUCCUCUGACAUUUUCGUUUCCUCUGAUGUCUUAAUUUCCUCUGACAUCUUUACUUUUGAUAUCUUCCUCUGACAUCGUUUCUUUCGUUUCCUGAUUCUAUUUACUACACACUCAAUGAAAUCAUUAGUGCAAUAAAUUAUUAUCACAAAGUAUAUUUGUUAUCAUCAAAACAUGACGAAGGAAUUGUUCCUAGAAUCAACAUGGUUCCAACAUUUAGUCUUUAUAAAAUUUCAACAUAUCAAAUUUAGUCCUUGUAAAAUAAAAAUACACUUUUUAUUCCCUACAAAAUUAUCAUUUAUGCAGUUUUAGUCUCUACUAUUAACACAUAUUUUUGAAAGAAUUUUUCCAUGCAUGUUCACAACAUCAUAAAAAGUACCUCCAUAAAAAAUGAGCUAAAAAUUCGAUUUGUAGGUCCAUAUUUUGUCCUUUUUAUCUGCAGCUUUUUCACAUUUAAAAAAUUUAUAUUUUAUUCAACCUAAGUUAAAAAAUUCUAAAUAUUUGAAUCUUUUAUAAUGUUCUAAACCUUCUAGAAAAAGAUCAUUCAAAAUUUCUAUGUUGAAGGACAAUUAAACACAUUUUAUUUCAACAGUAACUAGAAUAGUUUGUUGGAUAGUUUUGUAAAAACUAAAAAUUAUAUUUUUAUUUUAUAGGAACUAAAAUUAGAAUGUUAAAAUUUUAUAGAGACUAAAAAUAUACUUAUUUCUAUAUUUUAUCUUCUAACUUAAUCUACUCACUCAUGAAACAUAGAUCAUCGAUAACUAUUAUAUUGUUUUUUUAUUAUCAAAACAUUAAUCAAAGUACGGUAAUUUUGAAGAAAUCCGGUUCUUACGGUUCUCAUCUAAUUGAAAUCUCAUAGCACGUUCAUGUGAUAAUAACACAAGAAUUAUUCUGGAUAUGUAUCAUCUCACUCAUGAUCAAAAGGUAAAAUUACAAUAUACAAAGAUUAAAAGAUAAUAUAGUUCUCUUAUAUGAGAAAGAGAAACAUCUUAAAAGCACAACAAACCUAUAACAAACUCUAACUAAUUAACUAACUAGAAACAACUGAAAACAUAAAAUAAGCUUAAGUAGGUAGUCUAAUAUAUGUGUUUAUUUGAAUGACUAGCCUCCUUCUUCAUAUGAUUAAAAAACACCUUUACCAUUUGCUAAUAAUAUUUUCCGUUGUUUAUUUCAAACGUAUCUUUUGAAUAUAAUUAACUUAUUUCUUUGUUGAACUCUAAAUUUGUAAGACAAAAAAAAAGAAUUUUUGCAUCUUGAAAGAUGAAUGCACGUUAUUUAAGGUGUAAUAAAUCAUGCGUUUUCUAAACACAUUAAAAUCAUGUUUGGAUUGCAUUAUUGUAUGAUUACAUUGUGGUUUUUCUAUUUAUUUAUUUUAUUUUAUUUUAUUUUAUUUUAUUUUAUUAUAUUAUCAAAGUUUUACUAUUAUCUAAAUGCAUACUAAGUAUGUGUUUGGUAGCAAUGAAAAGUAUGAGAAGAGAAAUGACAUCAUGAAACCCACAACAAUAUAUCAUGCACCAAACACCGUCUUUAUCAUCACCACCACAUCUAUAUAAAUAUACAGAUAUACUGACUCAAUACUACGUUCCUUUAGUGUCAACAAUACCAACUAUCGUUAAUCCGACAUAGAGUGAAAUUUUCUAUAAUUUGUUUAGUAUUCAUUGCACAACUCCUGAGUCGGCUUAUGCUGUUUUUGAUUCCAUGUAUAACGUUGAAACUCAAAACUAUACGAAAACAGGUGGUAGUGGUUCUAAUCCACAGACAGAUUAUAACGAGAAUAAUGAUCAAAUUGAGAAUCAACCACAACAAUCUCAAACCGUACAAAGGACUAGACGAGUUCGACGACCGCAUAUAUGUGGAUCUGGAGGCCAUUUAGAUGGAAAUAAUUAAUUUAAUUUUGAUGUAUUUUUUUUCUUCAAUUUGUGGUAUUUUUUCUUUAAUUUAAUGUAUUUUUUCUUUUAAUUUAAUAUAUUUUUAUUUUAUUUUAUUUUAUUAAUAUAAUUUUAUUUUUAUUAUUAAAAUUAUUAUUCUUAUUAUUAAAAUUAAUAAUAUUAUUAAAGUUAUUAUUAUUAUUAUUAUUACUAUUAUUAUUUAUUAAUAGUAUUUUGAAUUUUUAAAUAUUUUAAUCAUUUAUAAUUUAUUAAAUAAUAAUUAACGGUAUUAAUAAAAUGGAAAAAAAAUAUAUACCAGAUCUAUUAAGGAUAAAAAAAAUUUAUUUCACAUCGUCGAAUCUUCAGAUUUGCGAUCAACAACUGAGCUUAAAAAGUAGGACAUUUCUAUAUUAUCUUUUGACAUACAUUUUGAUCAAAGAAAAAAAGAGAAUAUUAAAAAAAAAGUCUUAGUUUGAAUAUGUAUUCAUAUAAAAUUUUGAGUCAUUAACUACACAGAUUGCUAUUAAAAUCAUAAUAUGUUAAAUGAAGAUAAAAUAUAAUUUAAGCAAAAUUAGUUAUUUCAUAAUAUAAUAGUAAAAAAAAUUAAUUAAUUUUGAAACAUAAAUUCAAUAAUAAUAUAGUAUAUUAUUGUCUUUCUUUUACCAUAAAAAACAUACUUUCUUUUUCCAUCAAAGAUGCAGUUAAUAAAAUUAACUAAAAAAAAACUAUGAUCUCAAUUAUAAGAGAGAAAAUCAAAACACAUCAAAAUUAAUCAACUAAUUUAUUAUUUUAACUUUUUGAGUGAUUUUCAAUAUAUAUACCUUUACGACUCAUUGAAUAUGUCUAUUAAUAUUGAAAAGAUAAAUAUCAUAAAUAAAGAUAAAAAGUACUAACUUAAACAAUAGAAAUACAUUAAAAUUUGAAUCUUUUCAUUAUACAUAAUAUAAUCUUUUUUAUUUAUUUAAAAAUAUUAUAAAUAAGAUGAGAUAUUACAUUUUUUUUAUCAAUUCGACUCUCUCCUCUUGUGUAGAAUUGAAUUGACACAAGUUUGGACAUGGGUGUUACAACAACAAUGAAGAUUUCACUAUUUUUGAGUGUCUUUGCAGUUUCAAUAUUGGGAAUAUAUUCAGAAGUUAACUUUCCAGCACCAUGCAAGCAAUUUGAGUGUCCGGUAUAUGACGUCAUCGAAGAUGGAAAAGACUAUCAAAUCCGACGCUACAAUUCAUCUGUUUGGGUUUCCACUCCUCCCAUUCAACAAAUUUCUAUUGUUACAGCUACAACAACUGGUUUCACGAGGUAACUUUUUAAAUCGUAAAUUAUAUAAUCAUUUUCUACUUAAGUAAUCGAAUUAUUAUACUCUCUCAAUAUUUUGUGUUUGUUUUUUACAAUGUUGUGUUUUUUUUAGUAAAAGACUUCAAAUAUAUGAUUGUUUUGUCGGUAAGUAUGUGUUUUUUAUUUUAGUUCGUAAGUUUUUAUUUAUUUAUUUAUAGAUUUUUGUCUUUUUAAAUAAUUUUUUAUUUAAUCUUUAUUAUAUUGUUUUAGUAUUAAAACAAAAGAACAUUGACAGAAAAUAUACAAAAGAGGCAAAAAGUAAACAAAGUAUAUUUAUAAGGACAAAAAAGAUUAAAAAAAUAUGUGAUUAUAUUGAUGGAUCGUAUAUUUCAUUAUUUUUAAAUAUUUUUUUUUUGUUUUACAAAAUUUUGCAGUGAGUAAUUCGAUUAGUAUAUUCGAAAGAAAUUAUUUUUUGGUAUGUUAUUUGAAAGAUUUUAUAUAUCUAUAAAUAUACAAUAUAAAAUUAUGAAGCGUGUGUUUAGAUUCUUAGUCAGGAAUAUUAAAUUAGACCUGCUUUAAAUUAUUGGAUUGUACGAGUAAAUUUAAUAAUUAGAGUUUGACUUUAUAUCAUUAGGAGAUGAAGGUCAAAUGUCUCUUAUGUGAUGGUUAUAAAAUGAUCAUGAAUGUCAUUGUAAUAAAUAAAAAAAUUCUCAUUCACCAAUAAUAACGUCUCACAUUUAAAAACUAAAAUGGAAGUUUCAUCCUAACUAAACUUGAGCUAUCUUUUACUUUUUUUCUCAGCCUAUUUAAUUAUAAAAAAGGUAAUAACGACUACAAGCAGAAAAUAGAGAUGACAGCACCAGUGCUCUCGGAAGUGUUACCUAGUGAUGGUCCCUUUAUUAAAUCUUCAUUUAUUGUAAGCUUUAAUAUACCUAAAAAGAACCAAGCAAAUCCACCACCUGCAAAGGGUCUUCAAGUUCAAAAAUGGAAAAAUGUGUAUGCAGCAGUUAGACAAUUUGGUGGAUAUGUGAAUGACAAAAAUGUUGUAGAACAAGCUGCAGCAUUGAAGGAUAGUAUCAAUGAUACUAAAUGGCUAUCUGCUAUUCAAAAAAGCCAUAAAGCUUCUAAUUUCUCUGUGGCACAGUACAAUAACCCUUUUCAAUUAUUUAAUAGAGUGAAUGAGAUAUGGAUCUUGUUUAAUUUGGAAAAUUAAUGAUAUGUCAAAUAUAAUAGACACUAAAAUCAUUAUGAAAUAAUAUGGCUGUCGAAAUAAGAUGGAUUCUUGUAGUUUUUGCUUUGCACCGAUUCUUUACUUGUAUGUUGGUGUUGGAGGAAGGGUUGUGCAUGAUUGGUUUUAAAAAAAAAAUAUAAACUAUAUCUAUUUUAAAACCAUUAUAUGAAUUUAAAUUAAUAACCAAAUCCAUUAUUUGGAUUAAAAUCGGUUAUCAAACCAAUUGUAAAAUUGGUUAUGGUUAAAUAACCGGUUUCGAAUUAAACAAUCGAUUUUGAAAAAUUCAAUUUUAAAAUCCAUUUUUUCUCAAAAGCGGAUAAAAUUUGAUUAUUUUUUAAUAUUAAUUUUUUUAAAAAUCAUUUAUUCAUAGUUUAGAAACCACUUAUUUAAAAAAAAAUCGAUUAUUCAUAUUUAAAAAUCGACUAUAUUUACAAAAUGAAAGCUCAAUAAAAAACAUACAUGAAUCAUACAAUUGCUUUCUCUUGUGAUUAAAAUUGAACAUGUUCAAUUGCUUAUAAUAAUUUGUGAUUAAAAUUGAUUUAUUACUAACUUCAUUAAGACCACCGAUUCUGAUUCGUACUAGUUCAAUAAAUUGCUUAUUACUAAAACCGUAUAAAAUACAAAUACUUGAAAGUUUAUUCAAUCAAAUUUAACAAUUACUGCACCAUAAUAAAACCGUAGAAAAUACAAAUACUUGAAAUUUUGUUUCCAACACCGAGAUGGACACCAUCACCACAAGAUUUAGUAAAUUUAAAAUAUCUAAUGGAUUUAAUAUAUUAAUUUUUGUCUUGAGCAUUUAUAAUUAAGAUAUGUCUGAGCAACACCAAAAUCUCAAUAUCAUUUUCAACCUAACAUAUUAAUAUAACAUUUUGAAAAAAUUCAUCCUUUAAAAAGUAAUUUAAGAAAUUUUACUUAAAAUAUUUAUUCUAUCAAAUUUUAGUCUUCUGGCCUCAAUAAAUAUUAAAUAUCUUAAUUCAUUAACUAGUUAUCAUAUGUAACACCCCGAUUUUCAAAGCGAGGGUGUAUUUUUUUUUUCAAAAGAGAUUAAAAUAACACAGAGAAAAACAAUUAAGGAAAUACCUUUGGAUAAAUAAUUGAGUCAUUAUAAUUUACAAGCAGCGGAAAAGUUUCUCAAAAUAUGAAUCCAAAAUAUUUACACAUCAAAAGUUGGUACAUGUAACCCAUCGAAAAUAACAUGUCAAGCUGACAAUAUUAGUAUAGGUACAGUUUUCCAUUUUAAAACAAAUACAAAUCAAAAGAAAGACGUAUGAUCCCUCUAUGUCAACCUAAUCUGAUCAUUCUCCAAAACAAACUAAACACUCUGGGUGAUCUCCACGCGCCCCGUAAGAUCCUCCUAACAUAGCUCCAGUCAGGCAUUCCCCUCUACAUUCCCAUCCACAGGGUACGAACCGGUAGGAUCGCCCUGGCUCUCAUCUGAGGGCAAAGCCCAGAUUUCCACAAUAGUUGUAAAGGGUCACCAACCGAAAUUAACAGUUAACACAUAACAUUUAAGUUUUUAAAUGCACAAAAUAACCUUUCAACUAAGCAUGCACCUUAAAAGGAUUUUCAUACGCUUAAAAGUUCAUAUAACACUUGCCAAAUAAAAAUGAAGUCAAGAUAAAGUUCUCAAUCAAUCAAGUAAUACAUAACUGACCAAGACUUUGAUAAAUCAAUUGAGAAAUCUGUUAUCUAACUCAAAAUAAGAAUUUCUACUAAGCCAAUCGAUUUCCAAAUCGAUUUCCUGAAGAAUUUUAGUGAAAUUUGAACUCUGGGCUCAAUUCAAUCGAUUGGGAAAUCGAUUGAAUGAAUAACUGAGCCCCUGUNNNNNNNNNNNNNNNNNNNNNNNNNNNNNNNNNNNNNNNNNNNNNNNNNNNNNNNNNNNNNNNNNNNNNNNNNNNNNNNNNNNNNNNNNNNNNNNNNNNNNNNNNNNNNNNNNNNNNNNNNNNNNNNNNNNNNNNNNNNNNNNNNNNNNNNNNNNNNNNNNNNNNNNNNNNNNNNNNNNNNNNNNNNNNNNNNNNNNNNNNNNNNNNNNNNNNNNNNNNNNNNNNNNNNNNNNNNNNNNNNNNNNNNNNNNNNNNNNNNNNNNNNNNNNNNNNNNNNNNNNNNNNNNNNNNNNNNNNNNNNNNNNNNNNNNNNNNNNNNNNNNNNNNNNNNNNNNNNNNNNNNNNNNNNNNNNNNNNNNNNNNNNNNNNNNNNNNNNNNNNNNNNNNNNNNNNNNNNNNNNNNNNNNNNNNNNNNNNNNNNNNNNNNNNNNNNNNNNNNNNNNNNNNNNNNNNNNNNNNNNNNNNNNNNNNNNNNNNNNNNNNNNNNNNNNNNNNNNNNNNNNNNNNNNNNNNNNNNNNNNNNNNNNNNNNNNNNNNNNNNNNNNNNNNNNNNNNNNNNNNNNNNNNNNNNNNNNNNNNNNNNNNNNNNNNNNNNNNNNNNNNNNNNNNNNNNNNNNNNNNNNNNNNNNNNNNNNNNNNNNNNNNNNNNNNNNNNNNNNNNNNNNNNNNNNNNNNNNNNNNNNNNNNNNNNNNNNNNNNNNNNNNNNNNNNNNNNNNNNNNNNNNNNNNNNNNNNNNNNNNNNNNNNNNNNNNNNNNNNNNNNNNNNNNNNNNNNNNNNNNNNNNNNNNNNNNNNNNNNNNNNNNNNNNNNNNNNNNNNNNNNNNNNNNNNNNNNNNNNNNNNNNNNNNNNNNNNNNNNNNNNNNNNNNNNNNNNNNNNNNNNNNNNNNNNNNNNNNNNNNNNNNNNNNNNNNNNNNNNNNNNNNNNNNNNNNNNNNNNNNNNNNNNNNNNNNNNNNNNNNNNNNNNNNNNNNNNNNNNNNNNNNNNNNNNNNNNNNNNNNNNNNNNNNNNNNNNNNNNNNNNNNNNNNNNNNNNNNNNNNNNNNNNNNNNNNNNNNNNNNNNNNNNNNNNNNNNNNNNNNNNNNNNNNNNNNNNNNNNNNNNNNNNNNNNNNNNNNNNNNNNNNNNNNNNNNNNNNNNNNNNNNNNNNNNNNNNNNNNNNNNNNNNNNNNNNNNNNNNNNNNNNNNNNNNNNNNNNNNNNNNNNNNNNNNNNNNNNNNNNNNNNNNNNNNNNNNNNNNNNNNNNNNNNNNNNNNNNNNNNNNNNNNNNNNNNNNNNNNNNNNNNNNNNNNNNNNNNNNNNNNNNNNNNNNNNNNNNNNNNNNNNNNNNNNNNNNNNNNNNNNNNNNNNNNNNNNNNNNNNNNNNNNNNNNNNNNNNNNNNNNNNNNNNNNNNNNNNNNNNNNNNNNNNNNNNNNNNNNNNNNNNNNNNNNNNNNNNNNNNNNNNNNNNNNNNNNNNNNNNNNNNNNNNNNNNNNNNNNNNNNNNNNNNNNNNNNNNNNNNNNNNNNNNNNNNNNNNNNNNNNNNNNNNNNNNNNNNNNNNNNNNNNNNNNNNNNNNNNNNNNNNNNNNNNNNNNNNNNNNNNNNNNNNNNNNNNNNNNNNNNNNNNNNNNNNNNNNNNNNNNNNNNNNNNNNNNNNNNNNNNNNNNNNNNNNNNNNNNNNNNNNNNNNNNNNNNNNNNNNNNNNNNNNNNNNNNNNNNNNNNNNNNNNNNNNNNNNNNNNNNNNNNNNNNNNNNNNNNNNNNNNNNNNNNNNNNNNNNNNNNNNNNNNNNNNNNNNNNNNNNNNNNNNNNNNNNNNNNNNNNNNNNNNNNNNNNNNNNNNNNNNNNNNNNNNNNNNNNNNNNNNNNNNNNNNNNNNNNNNNNNNNNNNNNNNNNNNNNNNNNNNNNNNNNNNNNNNNNNNNNNNNNNNNNNNNNNNNNNNNNNNNNNNNNNNNNNNNNNNNNNNNNNNNNNNNNNNNNNNNNNNNNNNNNNNNNNNNNNNNNNNNNNNNNNNNNNNNNNNNNNNNNNNNNNNNNNNNNNNNNNNNNNNNNNNNNNNNNNNNNNNNNNNNNNNNNNNNNNNNNNNNNNNNNNNNNNNNNNNNNNNNNNNNNNNNNNNNNNNNNUGAGAUUGUGACCAAAUCGACUCCGUGGUUUUAUACAUCGACUCUGAAGUUUGGCAAAUCGAUUGAGUAAUCGAUUGAAAUUAGUUUUAUUAAAACAGUUUCCCAGAAAUCGAUUAGGCAAUCGAUUUAUACAGGUCUGGACAUGUUUUACUGAAAAGUGUUGUUUUAAAGAAUCGAUUGGUAAAUCGAUUAGCUUGUAUAGUUUCAAGAUUAAAGAAAACCAAGAUCGCGAUAAUCGAUUGGCAAAUCGAUUUAGCUCAUUUUAUAACUUUACAAAAUCGAUUGGGAAAUCGAUUUCGUAGUUGGUUUUUCAGAAACUAUAUAAGAUGUCUUUCAAUCUUUAUUCUCAUAACUUCUAAGAACUUUUACAUAACUUUUUCAUAGCUUUCAUAAUUUCUCUUAUGCUCUCAAAAACGGUUCAUGGCAACAAACUAACAACUUCAUAAUUGUGAUUACAGAUCUCAAUACAGUUUGUUGACAAUCUAAGAGAAAUGAUAAUGUGCUCAUGAACAAUCCUUGAAUAUCCAGAUUUGUGAGGAGCAACAUUCAUAAAGAUUGAAGACUCUUUUGUUUUACAUCUUUUAUUCAUUCUGUAAUAAAUCUUUGAAAGGAAUAGGACGCAAGAAAAGCCAGCUUGAAACUGGUGGCUACUUUCUUGGUUGAGAGGGCUCAACAAGAAAGAGUCGUACUUUGAUUCUGUGAUAGGCUGCUGAGUGUCUACAAGGAUCAGAGGGUAUUCAAUAGGAAAGAUAUAAUUAGAGAUUGAUAGGUUUCAGGGAGGAAACUGGACAAUCUGUAAUUGAUUCUUUCUAUUGAAGGAGAAGAAAAUCUGAAAUCCGAUUGGAUUUUCAGGACUGGACGUAGGUUGUUGUUGACAACCGAACCAGGAUAAAUCUCUGUGUUUUCUUCUCUAACUCUCUCUCUUUAAUUUUCUAUAUUGCUAACUUUGCAUGCCUCAAAAUUUAAAUUCCGCUGUGCGCUUGAUACUGAUUAAUUUGGUAACGAAAACUGAUAUAUUUUCUGUUAUUUCGAGGUCAAGAUACCAACAGUUUAUCUCUAAUGGUUUUCAAAUUCCACACAAAACAACUAAAACUUAUUAUCAGAUCCAAUCCACAACUCAUACCAAAACACAUAGAUUCAUUCUCCACAGAAUCCAACCCUACACACAACAAAUUUCAUCAGUAUUAAUUAAGAAAACGUCAAAUACGACGAACACAAAUCAACACAAUCCACCACUCAAACACAACAAGUUUCAUUUACUCAAAAUCAUACAUAAAUGAGUUUAAAUUCAUUUUCCACGAAACAUUCAUCAAUAUAACCAAAACCUAACUCUAAGAUUUUACCCAUAAAGCCUUAGAUUCAUUUUCCCCCAAAUCAACACUCUAACCCUAACCAAAAACCUUUCCACACAACCACAGAUAAGUCCCUAAAUGCAAACUAAAAGUUUGGAAGGAGCCCUUACCUUCACGUUAGCUUUAACGUUCGGUUACGGUACCGCGAGUAAAUCCGGUAAAAUCUCCGCUCGCAACGUCGCUUCCAAAGUUGGUUCCCUAGCACCGUAGCGUGGUAGUGAGCAACUUUCCCUUCUAUCUCUUCGCGAAACGAAGCUUAGAUCUAGAUGAAACGGGGAGGUUUGUGUUUGACGGUUUUGAAAUCCCUAAUACCGUUUUUCUUCGUUUUCGAAACAACGAGGAAGUAUGAAGCUGAGAAGUCCUUGAUUUCUUACCCACUAAUCCUUGGAUUUCUAUUUUUGAAGUCAAAGAAAGAAAAAAGAAGCAAAACCAAUGAAAGAAGAAAAGAGGAGAUGGAGGUGUUCGCGCGGUCAGAGGAAGAAGAAUGAGUUUAGAUUUCUUUCUUUCCUUCCCUUUUCCUUUCUUUCUUUUUCCUUCCUUUCUAUUUCCUUUCUUUCUAUUUCCUUCCUUCCUUUUUAUAUCCUUUUCUUUUCUCUCCAAACAAAUAUAUACAUAUAGAUAUAUAUUUUAAUUACUUUUAACAAAUAUCUCAACAUAUCUAGAUAUUUGUUAAAUUACCAUUUCACCCAUAACGCAUUAAAUUAUUUGUAAAAGAUUCACCGCAGCUAAUUUAAUUUAUUCAUCGAUGAGUAAUUCUAAUCGGCAUCAAAAUAUCUUUUUGAUCAUAUAAACUCCAAAAUAUUAAUAACUUUGACUAAAAAAAAACCUCCGAGCCGAGCCAAUAUCCAAAUUACACAAAAAUACAUAAAGUAUACUUUAAAAUUAUGGGUCUUACAUCAUACAAUAUGAUUGAUUAGUAAUAGUAUUGGCCCCAAUCCACAUGUUAGAGGAGUCAAAUAUUUCAUAAUUAAAAAGCCCCCCUAAAAAGGAAGCUCGCGACACUAAAAAAACCCUUAAAGUUUUGUGGGCUAAGUGGACUUUUUAAAAAUAAAAAAAUCGAUACUUUUUCAAAAAAAUUUUGACAUUUUUUUAGUUUUUUAAUUCGAGAAAAAAAUCGAUUUAAAUUUUUUUUGAGAAAAAAAAAAGUUUAAUGAUUUUUUUCGAGAUCUUUUUUCAAAAUUAACAAAAUAUUGGAGAGCUAUGAGUUCCCUCCCUUAAUAUUAAGGGAUUAGUAAAAGAAAAAUUAAAGGAUGCUUUGGUGUUUGGGUUUUUUGUUGUUGUUGACAAUUCUAGUAAUAAACAAUUGAUUAAAUGAAAUUAGUAAUAUAUCAAUGAAGUUAAUAAUAUAUUAUUGGAAAACGCAAAAGUUGGAAGGUCGGUUGGGUGAUGGCAAAAUUAGAAUCAUUUUAGAGUUUUGGGAAUUUAGGAUUUUUAGUAGUUGAGUGGAUAAAAACCAAAUCCAAAUAUAAAACAUAAGUGGAUAUUUGUAACACCCUUUUUUUUAAUUAAUUAAUUUAAAAUCAUUAGUUUUGUUUAUCCUUGUAUUAAUUUAGUGUGACGAUAGUAAGAUAAUUAUUCUUUGAAUGUUUAAUUAUUUGAUAAAGUAUUUUCAUAUUAAAUAAUUUAUUAUUUGGAUUUUUAUUAUUGACUAAUUAAAACUCGUAGAAAUAUUUGUCUUAGAGUGAACAAUGACCAAGCCAAUUUUGACUAAGUCAAAAUUUAAUCACUCACACUACUAUUUUUAUAACUAUAUUUUAUAAAAUUUAGUUUAUAUUGUGUCCAUUCAAAUGAGUAACUAGCAAGAAUAAAUACAUGAAUGCCAAUUAAUUCUUAACGGUUGGUCAUUGAAUGGCAUUAUUCCAAUUUAAUUCCCUAUUCAUGUGUGCAAUUAAACUCAAUGAAGAUAAUUAUUCAUUCUCUCUGAUAAGCUUUAUGCCUCCUUUAUUAGUCACAUACGCCUCUCCUUCUUAGGACACAAUUAAACUUACAGUAGAGGAAAAUAAGUCAUAAUCACUCACACGCAUUACCAACACCACAUUUAUCUAAAAUAUUUUCUAAGCCACUCAAACAACCAUCCUUACAUUCCCUAGCUUUUUGAUCGAAGCUAUAGACUUUUAUUCAUCUUGGUGAGAUUUUCGAGGGCUAUAUAGUGGUACGGGGAAGGAAAGCGUCCAAGGUAAGGGCUUUUUCCCCAUGCAGAUUUAGGUUAGAUAUUAAAUUAGCAAUUCGUAAGAUAUUGAUAUGAUGUCUGGAUGUAUUAAAAGAAAAAUGUCGAUUUUAUUUUCGUCGUAAAGAAAUUAACUAUCAUGCUUUGAUGGUUUCUUUUGAGUAAUAUCUCUAUUUUGAUGAAUUAAUUAUAUAAUUAUAUUUUAUUACCAUACCUUCAUCUAUAUGUUUGUUGUGAAAACGUUCAAUGCCAUACAUGUUUUAGAGUACUUAAUUAUAAAGUUAUAAUUUUUAUAAUGAUGUAGUCAUUAACAUGUUUAUUACGAUGUAUUUAAUUUUAAUCCUUGAUUCUUGAGUAUUUAAAUUUUAAAACUUGACUUUUAUGAACAAUAUAUGUGUCUUGAUGAAAUUGAUGAGAAUUUUAUUUUUCAUUUAACAAUAUGAGGAAAUUGAUUUUUGGAAUGCAUUAAUGAAUAGUUUUCUGUGUGGUUGCCUAAGUGGCUGGUUAUUUGUGUAUGAUUUUUCUUUGUGGUUGCCUAAGUGGCUAGUGAUUUGUACAUUUCGAACAUCAUUAUCAUUGUCAUGACAUACCAUAUGCAUCUUUGUGGACGCCUUAGUGGCUGGUUUAAUUUUUCCCCAUUGGUAUGGGUGACUUCUAUGUGGACGCCUUAUGGCUGGCUAUAUUUUGCUACUGACUUGCUGUGUAGUCGAAUACAGACUGUUGUAUUCGAAUACAGACAUGCUGUUUUUGCCACUGACUUACUGUGUAGUCGAAUACAGACUGCUGUAUUCGAAUACAUUUUGCUACUGACUUGCUGUGUAGUCGAAUACAGACUGUUGUAUUCGAAUACAGACAUGCUGUUUUUGCCACUGACUUACUGUGUAGUCGAAUACAGACUGCUGUAUUCGAAUACAUUUUGCUACUGACUUGCUGUGUAGUCGAAUACAGACUGUUGUAUUCGAAUACAGACAUGCUGUUUUUGCCACUGACUUACUGUGUAGUCGAAUACAGACUGCUGUAUUCGAAUACAUUUUGCUACUGACUUGCUGUGUAGUCGAAUACAGACUGUUGUAUUCGAAUACAGACAUGCUGUUUUUGCCACUGACUUACUGUGUAGUCGAAUACAGACUGCUGUAUUCGAAUACAUUUUGCUACUGACUUGCUGUGUAGUCGAAUACAGACUGUUGUAUUCGAAUACAGACAUGCUGUUUUUGCCACUGACUUACUGUGUAGUCGAAUACAGACUGCUGUAUUCGAAUACAUUUUGCUACUGACUUGCUGUGUAGUCGAAUACAGACUGUUGUAUUCGAAUACAGACAUGCUGUUUUUGCCACUGACUUACUGUGUAGUCGAAUACAGACUGCUGUAUUCGAAUACAUUUUGCUACUGACUUGCUGUGUAGUCGAAUACAGACUGUUGUAUUCGAAUACAGACAUGCUGUUUUUGCCACUGACUUACUGUGUAGUCGAAUACAGACUGCUGUAUUCGAAUACAUUUUGCUACUGACUUGCUGUGUAGUCGAAUACAGACUGUUGUAUUCGAAUACAGACAUGCUGUUUUUGCCACUGACUUACUGUGUAGUCGAAUACAGACUGCUGUAUUCGAAUACAUUUUGCUACUGACUUGCUGUGUAGUCGAAUACAGACUGUUGUAUUCGAAUACAGACAUGCUGUUUUUGCCACUGACUUACUGUGUAGUCGAAUACAGACUGCUGUAUUCGAAUACAUUUUGCUACUGACUUGCUGUGUAGUCGAAUACAGACUGUUGUAUUCGAAUACAGACAUGCUGUUUUUGCCACUGACUUACUGUGUAGUCGAAUACAGACUGCUGUAUUCGAAUACAUUUUGCUACUGACUUGCUGUGUAGUCGAAUACAGACUGUUGUAUUCGAAUACAGACAUGCUGUUUUUGCCACUGACUUACUGUGUAGUCGAAUACAGACUGCUGUAUUCGAAUACAUUUUGCUACUGACUUGCUGUGUAGUCGAAUACAGACUGUUGUAUUCGAAUACAGACAUGCUGUUUUUGCCACUGACUUACUGUGUAGUCGAAUACAGACUGCUGUAUUCGAAUACAUUUUGCUACUGACUUGCUGUGUAGUCGAAUACAGACUGUUGUAUUCGAAUACAGACAUGCUGUUUUUGCCACUGACUUACUGUGUAGUCGAAUACAGACUGCUGUAUUCGAAUACAUUUUGCUACUGACUUGCUGUGUAGUCGAAUACAGACUGUUGUAUUCGAAUACAGACAUGCUGUUUUUGCCACUGACUUACUGUGUAGUCGAAUACAGACUGCUGUAUUCGAAUACAUUUUGCUACUGACUUGCUGUGUAGUCGAAUACAGACUGUUGUAUUCGAAUACAGACAUGCUGUUUUUGCCACUGACUUACUGUGUAGUCGAAUACAGACUGCUGUAUUCGAAUACAUUUUGCUACUGACUUGCUGUGUAGUCGAAUACAGACUGUUGUAUUCGAAUACAGACAUGCUGUUUUUGCCACUGACUUACUGUGUAGUCGAAUACAGACUGCUGUAUUCGAAUACAUUUUGCUACUGACUUGCUGUGUAGUCGAAUACAGACUGUUGUAUUCGAAUACAGACAUGCUGUUUUUGCCACUGACUUACUGUGUAGUCGAAUACAGACUGCUGUAUUCGAAUACAUUUUGCUACUGACUUGCUGUGUAGUCGAAUACAGACUGUUGUAUUCGAAUACAGACAUGCUGUUUUUGCCACUGACUUACUGUGUAGUCGAAUACAGACUGCUGUAUUCGAAUACAUUUUGCUACUGACUUGCUGUGUAGUCGAAUACAGACUGUUGUAUUCGAAUACAGACAUGCUGUUUUUGCCACUGACUUACUGUGUAGUCGAAUACAGACUGCUGUAUUCGAAUACAUUUUGCUACUGACUUGCUGUGUAGUCGAAUACAGACUGUUGUAUUCGAAUACAGACAUGCUGUUUUUGCCACUGACUUACUGUGUAGUCGAAUACAGACUGCUGUAUUCGAAUACAUUUUGCUACUGACUUGCUGUGUAGUCGAAUACAGACUGUUGUAUUCGAAUACAGACAUGCUGUUUUUGCCACUGACUUACUGUGUAGUCGAAUACAGACUGCUGUAUUCGAAUACAUUUUGCUACUGACUUGCUGUGUAGUCGAAUACAGACUGUUGUAUUCGAAUACAGACAUGCUGUUUUUGCCACUGACUUACUGUGUAGUCGAAUACAGACUGCUGUAUUCGAAUACAUUUUGCUACUGACUUGCUGUGUAGUCGAAUACAGACUGUUGUAUUCGAAUACAGACAUGCUGUUUUUGCCACUGACUUACUGUGUAGUCGAAUACAGACUGCUGUAUUCGAAUACAUUUUGCUACUGACUUGCUGUGUAGUCGAAUACAGACUGUUGUAUUCGAAUACAGACAUGCUGUUUUUUUUGCUGAAUGCUGAAACAGCCUUGUAUUCGAAUACAGAGAUGCUGUAUUCGAAUACAACAAUGUUGUUUUGUUAAAAACUUCAUUUCUCAACCUUGUUUAUGCAUGUUUGGCAUAUGGAAACCCUUUUAAGGUGCAUGCUUAGUUGAAAAGUUAUUUUGGGCAUUUAAAAACUUAAUUGUUAUGUGUUAACUGUUAUUUUUUUUGGUUGGUGACCCUUUACAAUUAUUGUGGAAAUCUGGGCUUUGCCCUCAGAUGAGAGUCAGGACGGUCCUACCGGUUCGUACCCUACGGACGGGAAUGGAGAUGGGAACGCUUGACUGUAGUUACGUUAGGAGGAUCUCACGGGGCGCGUGGAGAUCACUCAGGGUGUAUAGCUUUUUGGUAGGAUGAUCAGAUUAGGAUGAUGUAUAGGGACUAGGUGUCCUUCUUUUUGGAUUGGAGUAUUUUUAGUUUGGAAAACUGUACUUAUACUAAUAUUGUCAGUUUGACAUCUUCUUUGAAUGGGUUCCAUGUACCAUUUAAUGUUGUGUAAAUGUUUUGGAUUUAUAAUUGGAGAAACUUUUUUCGCUGCUUGUAAAUUAUAAUGAAUCAAUUAUUUAUCCAAAGGCAUUUCCUGAUUUAAUUCUUUGUUCGUUUUUAAUUACUUUAAAAAAAAAAAAUAUACCCUCGCUUUGAAAAACGGGGUGUUACAUUACGAGUUAUAAAAAUCAAUUUCUCAAAAUCUUUUAUUACAAAAAGAUUUUAUAUUUAUAUUUUAUGGUUGUUAACUUAUUAUUUGGUCUAAUUUUGCCGUGGGAUGAAUUGACCCCUUACACCAACAUUUAGGUACUAACGAUAUUGAAGGGUUGCAUGAAUGACGUUUGCUUGGCGCGCACGCGUGGGAAAAAUGGGUACUUUAAUAAAAUAAUAAUAAUAAUGUUUGUAGUGAUAAAACCGUUGUGAUACAAUUUUUAAGUUUAUUUAUUUUUCAUCGUUGAUUUUUAAUAGAAAUGCGGAGGCGAGGUCCUUCUGCUAGGAAAAACUUGAAUUAUUCUAUUUUUAAGCGAACAUUUUCUACAAUUAGUAAAUUGUCUUUACAAAUAAUAAUAUCCGAUAAAUCGCAUUAUGAUAUUUUUUAAAAUAAAAUCAAACUAUUUACUAGAGAAAUUUUAUUUAUUAUAUGAUGAACUACUUAAAAAAAAAAAAUAAGUCGUUUUUGAAAGAAAAUAAAUAUUUUUAAGUAAUGUCUGGGAUCAAAAUCCGGGGCGUUACAUUGUAAUAUCAGAGCACUAUUUCUCGGACCUUGGUGGGAUGGGAGGCUUGGUGUAUGUUGCAUGUUUUUUUCUUGUGAUAUGUUAUUCAUGUCAAUUGUAUAAUUUCUAAUUAUUUGAGUUUACUAAUUAUUUAAAUGUCUAUUAUGUGUCAUUAACUAUGUAACCUUCUUGAAAUUGAAUUUUAUUAAUUACUUAAACUUUUAUUAAGUUAUUAAUCGUGUAACUUUCUUGAAUUUGAAUUUUUAAGAAUUACUUAAAUUCUUAUUAAGUGCCAUUAAAUAUGUUAACUGAUUGAUUUUCUAAUUAUUAAAUUUUACUUAAAUUUCUAUUAUGUGUCAUCAAUUGUAUAACCUCCAUGAUUUUUGUCAUUAAAUAUAUGUUUUAAAUAUUUGGUUUAAUACUGUUAUUUAAAAUUUUCAAACCUGAAAUCUCUAUAACUACUUGAAUGCUUUUAUUGGCAUUGUCUUUUAUAUUUUAUUUAAGUUGUUACAUUUUAUAAUCUUUAUGAUUUUUACUUAUUCAUCGUAUGAUUGUUUUAUUUUAUUAAUUUUAAACUCUCUACUUCUUUUGUACUAAGGGCUUGAUUUUCUAACUAUUUUAUGUCAUUAAUGACUUAAAUUUCAAUUAUGUGAAUUUAAUUGUCUAAUUUCUUUGAAUAAUUAUGAUGAAAAAUAUGUUUUAAAUUCUUGAUCCUACGAUUAGAAAUAAUUUUAAUCAAGCAAUAAACAUUUAUGGUUGUAUGAUAUUGUGAAUUAUGAGUUUAUUACCACGAUUUAAAAUUAUUUCAAUCUAAAUUACAAAGUAACUGUUGAGCUUUCAUCAUGUGAUCUAAAUGUAUUUAAUUAAAGACAAUAUUCUAAACCCUAUAUUAUGUAUAGUUGUAUGAUCCCCAAAAUAGAAGGGAAGGAUAAUACAAAAAGGUUGUAUUGGAGGGAUUCUGGCUAAGGAAAGACUUGGUUAUUAAGUGGUCCAUUGACCCACCUCUCUUUCCUGGGAACCCCUCCAAAGAACGACUUGCUGUAUAACCCGAACCUACUAUAUAGUGCUCAAUAAAAGACUUCCGUACUACCCAAAAGUUAAAAUUACGUUAUAAUAUUUUACUAAUUAGAUAAUUUUAGGAAGCGUUAUGGCUCGUCGCACAAACCGAUCGGUUCCCCAAGGAAGAAACGACAUGACUGAAGCAAUCCAAGCCAUGAAUGCUAUGGCCGCAGCAAUGGCCCAACAAGCUGCGAUCCAGGCUCAACGAGAUGCACAGAGGGAUCAGAGGGAUGAAGCAGCCAGUGCAGCAAGAGCAUUGAAUGAAUUUCGUCGACAAGAUCCGCCUAAAUUCAAAGGGGAACAUGACCCCGACAAGGCUGAUCUUUGGCUGCAAGAAAUCGAGAAGAUCUUCGAGAUCUUACACUGCUCUGACAAUGCGAAAGUAGAGUAUGCAACCUAUUUGAUGAUUGGUGAAGCUGAAUACUGGUGGCGAGGUGCGAAGAAAAUGAUGGAGACAAAUCAUGAAGAGCUAACCUGGGAGGCUUUCAAGAAUAAGUUCCUAGAAAAAUACUUCCCGAAAAGUGCUAGGGCUGAGAAGGAGGCCCAAUUUCUGAAGUUGUAUCAAGGGAAUCUCACGAUAGCGGAAUAUGCGGCAAAGUUCGAGUCCCUAGCAAAGCACUUCCGCUAUUUCCUAAAUCAGAUAGAUGAAGAAUACAUGUGCGAGAGGUUUGAAAGUGGGCUUAGGUAUGAAAUUAAGGAGUUAGUGGGGCCCUUGGAGAUACGCCAAUAUCAAGUACUAGUGGAGAAAUGCAAGAAAGUGGAGCAGAUGAAACAGAGCCGUCUGAAUAGGGGUGUUGUAGGUGGACCCAUCAGACCUCAGGUAGAGAUUUAAAUCCAUCCAUAUCAUUAGAGUCAUAAGUUUGGCCUCUAAAUGUGAAUAUCUACCUCUAAAUGUUAAUAUUUGAAAACAGGGGCAUAACGACCAACAUAAUAGGGGCAAGCAGCAUCAACAAUACAAGCCAUAUGCCCGACCACUGGGGAAUGCUAGAGAUCAACCUCGACCUCAAAACGGGGAAGGUCAAGGGCCAAAAGUUCCAAGUCAGAACCAGGCGUACCCUGUUAAGUGUUUUCGCUGCAACAGAGAAGGACACAAGAUAUCUGAGUGUCCAAUCAGACCAAGGGUUUGUUACAUUUGUCAGAAACCAGACCACUUUGCAAAUGAAUGCCCUGAUCGGAAGGACGAUAGAGCUGUCAACCGCAACAAUGUCAACGACAAUGCUGUACGCCCUACUGCCAAGGGACGUGUCUACCACAUCAAUGGAGAGGAAACUCCAUCUUCCUCUGAGCUUAUCCAAGGUGAGUGUUUAAUUGCUGGAAAAUCACUUAAUGUAAUUUAUGAUUCGGGGGCAACACACUCAUUCAUUUCAUUGGAUUGGGUGGAUUCGCUCCAACUUACUAUUACUACUUUGCCGUUUGAUUUGGUGGUUACCCUACCUUCUACCGAAUCAGUGAAAUGUAAUACGGCUUGCUUGCAAUGCCCGUUGAUUGUGUUCGAUAUGAGAUUCAACGUUGAUUUGAUUUGUAUUCCCCUCAAGCAUGUGGGAGUGAUCCUUGGAAGGGAUUGGUUUUCAAGCCAUUAUGUUCUAUUGGAUUGUGCUCGUAAGUCUGUGAUAUUCCCAAACCCAGGUGUUUCUCGAUUCCUCGAUACCAAUAAAUUGAACUUCUCUUUGAAAGAGGGAGUUCGGAAGUGUGUUUCCCUCAACUCAGUCAGUACGAAGCUAGAGGUGGAGGUAGACAAGAUACUUGUGGUCGAAGAUUUUCCAGAGGUAUUUCCGCCGGAUGUACCAGGAUUGCCCCCAGUUCGUGAUAUUGAAUUCUCAAUUGAUGUGACUCCGGGUACAGGACCUAUAUCUCUUGCACCAUAUAGAAUGUCUCCAUUGGAAUUGUCAGAGUUGAAAAGUCAGUUGGAGGACCUUUUAUCUAAACAGUUCAUACGACCGAGUGUCUCACCUUGGGGAGCACAAGUACUCCUAGUGAAGAAGAAGGAUGGAAAGUCUAGACUCUGUGUCGAUUACCGUCAGCUUAACAAAGUCACCAUCAAAAACAGGUAUCCAUUGCCACGCAUUGAUGAUUUGAUGGACCAACUCAAAUAUAUCUAUUGCACCAUAUAGAAUGUCUCCAUCGGAAUUGUCAGAGUUGAAAAAUCAGUUGGAGGACCUUUUAUCUAAACAGUUCAUACGACCGAGUGUCUCACCUUGGGGAGCACCAGUACUCCUAGUGAAGAAGAAGGAUGGAAAGUCUAGACUCUGUGUCGAUUACCGUCAACUUAACAAAGUCACCAUCAAAAAUAGGUAUCCCUUGCCACGCAUUGAUGACUUGAUGGACCAACUCAAAGGAGCAAUGAUAUUUUCUAAGAUUGAUUUGAAGUCGGGGUAUCAUCAGAUUCGGGUGAAGGAAGAAGACAUUCCUAAAACUGCAUUCAGGACUCGCUAUGGACACUUUGAGUAUUUGGUGAUGCCUUUUGGUGUCACCAAUGCACCAGCUAUUUUCAUGGACUACAUGAAUCGUAUAUUUCACCCCUUCUUAGACAAAUUUGUAGUGGUCUUCAUUGAUGACAUAUUGAUUUAUUCUAAGAGCCUGGAGGAACAUGAAGUUCACCUACGUCAAGUUUUGCAAGUCUUGAAGGACAAGAGAUUGUAUGCUAAUUUGGGGAAAUGUGAAUUCUGGUUGGAGGAGGUGAAAUUCUUGGGACACGUUAUUUCAAAGGAAGGUAUCGCUGUCGACCCAACUAAAGUAGAGGCUGUGGUGGCAUGGAAACAACCACAGACCGUCACAGAGAUUAGAAGUUUCUUGGGCUUGGCUGGAUAUUAUAGAAGAUUCAUUGAGGAUUUUGCCAAGAUUGCAGCGCCGUUGACACAACUCACAAGGAAGAAUCAUAUUUACGCAUGGACGGAGGAAUGUGAAAGGAGUUUUCAGAUGAUGAAAGAGAAGCUAACUACAUCACCGGUGUUGGUGUUACCACAACCAGAAGAACCAUAUGAAGUUUAUUGUGAUGCUUCUUUACAAGGGUUGGGUUGUGUACUUAUGCAGAACAAACAGGUGGUAGCAUAUGCUUCAAGACAGUUGAAGGUGCAUGAGAAACAUUAUCCCACGCAUGACAUGGAGUUGGCUGCAAUAGUUUUUGCACUAAAAAUUUGGAGGCACUAUCUGUAUGGGUGCAAUUUUGAUGUAUACAGUGACCAUAAAAGUUUGAAAUACUUGUUCGACCAGAAGGAGCUUAAUAUCCGACAGCGGAGAUGGAUGGAGUUCAUCAAGGAUUAUGAGUUCACGUUGCACUAUCACCCAGGAAAAGCCAAUGUGGUGGCUGAUGCCUUGAGUAGGAAGCGGGCCCAUUUGUCAUCCAUAACAAUGAAAGGAUUAGAGUUGUUAGAGAAUUUUCGCGACUUGGAUCUUAAUAUGGAUUAUUUGUCGGGAAAAGUACAAUGUGGAAUGAUCAUUGUAGAUAAUAAACUAAUGAAUGAGAUAAAAGCCCUUCAAGCGACCGAUGAGGCUAUUCAGGGGAGACGAAAAUUGGUUGAGACCGACAAGGCUCCCGAAAUUCAAAUGGAUCCAGAUAACAUUUUGUGGUGUAAUAAACGUAUUUGUGUGCCGGAUAAUGCAGAGUUGAGAAAAAACAUUUUGGAUGAGGCCCACAAGAGCAAACUGAGUAUUCACCCUGGUACUACAAAGAUGUAUAAAGACUUGAAGCAAAGAUUUUGGUGGCCAGGAAUGAAGAAACAAGUGGCGGAAUAUGUGGCGUCUUGCCUGACUUGCCAAAAGGCUAAGGUUGAACACCAAAAACCUGUUGGAUUGUUGCAGUCAUUAGAUGUACCAAUGUGGAAAUGGGAUAGUAUAUCUAUGGACUUUGUGGUGGCAUUACCUAAGACUCAGAAGAAAUUUGACUCCAUUUGGGUGAUUAUUGACAGGCUCACAAAAUCCGCACAUUUCAUACCUGUAAGGACUACUUACAAUGUAUCUAAGCUUGCAGAGAUUUACGUUGCGGAAAUUGUUAGAUUACACGGGAUACCAUCUAGCAUUGUGUCAGAUAGAGAUCCAAAGUUCACUUCUCGUUUGUGGGGAGCAUUUCAUGAGGCAUUGGGUACUAAAUUGAGAUUGAGUUCCGCUUACCACCCUCAAACCGAUGGCCAAACUGAAAGGAUUAUUCAGACCUUAGAAGAUUUGCUAAGAGCUUGUACAUUAGAUAACAAAGGAAGUUGGGAUGAUCUAUUGCCUCUUGUCGAAUUUACCUAUAAUAAUAGCUAUCAUGCAAGCAUCGGUAUGUCCCCGUAUGAGGCUUUGUAUGGACGAAAACUUAAUUGUAGGGCCAGAGCUGGUGCAACAGACUACAGAGAAGGUGCGUAUUGAGAUUGAGUUCUGCUUACCACCCUCAAACCGAUGGCCAAACUGAAAGGACUAUUCAGACCUUAGAAGAUUUGCUAAGAGCUUGUACAUUAGAUAACAGAGGAAGUUGGGAUGAUCUAUUGCCUCUUGUCGAAUUUACCUAUAAUAAUAGCUAUCAUGCAAGCAUCGGUAUGGCCCCGUACGAGGCUUUGUAUGGGCGCAAGUGUCAAACUCCCUUGUGUUGGUAUCAGGAUGGCGAAAACUUAAUCGUAGGGCCAGAGCUGGUGCAACAGACUACAGAGAAGGUGCGUCAGAUCCAAGAGCGGAUGAGAACAGCACAUCGCAGGCAGAAGAGUUAUGCUGAUCGACAUAGGAGACCCUUGGAGUUUCAGGAGGACGAACAUGUAUUCUUGAGAGUGACGUCUACUACUGGAGUUGGUAGGGCAUUGAAGUCUAAAAAGCUUACUCCGAAGUUUAUUGGACCAUAUCAAAUUCUUCGACGUGUGGGUCCAGUGGCGUAUCAAAUUGCUUUACCACCGAAUUUAGCUAAUUUACAUGAUGUGUUCCAUGUAUCACAAUUGAAGAAGUACAUGGCAGAUCCAUCCCAUAUUAUUGCGCCAGAUGAUAUUCAAUUGAAGGAGAAUUUUACCUUCGAGGUCCCACCGAUAAGCAUCGCCGACAGAACUACCAAACAUUUGAGGGGAAAGGAAAUUCCAUUGGUUAAGGUGAUUUGAAACCAUACGACUCGGGAUGCUACUUGGGAGUUGGAAGAUAAGAUAAGAGAGCUUUACCCAGACCUUUUAGAGACCUCUUAGUUUCGAGGACGAAACUAUUUUAAGGGGGUAAGUAUUGCAGCACCCUUUUUUUUAAUUAAUUAAUUUAAAAUCAUUAGUUUUGUUUAUCCUUUUAUUAAUUUAGUGUGACGAUAGUAAGAUAAUUAUUCUUUGAAUGUUUAAUUAUUUGAUAAAGUAUUUUCAUAUUAAAUAAUUUAUUAUUUGGAUUUUUAUUAUUGACUAAGUAAAAUUCGUAGAAAUAUUUGUCUUAGAGUGAACAAUGACCAAGCCAAUUUUGACUAAGUCAAAAUUGAAUCACCCACACUACUAUUUUUAUAACUAUAUUUUAUAAAAUUUAGUUUAUAUUGUGUCCAUUCAAAUGUGUAACUAGCAAGAAUAAAUACAUGAAUGCCAAUUAAUUCUUAACGGUUGGUCAUUGAAUGGAAUUAUUCCAAUUUAAUUCACUAUUCAUGUGUGCAAUUAAACUCAAUGAAGAGAAUUAUUCAUUCUCUCUGAUCAGCUUUAUGCCUCCUUUAUUAGUCACAUACACCUCUCCUUCUUAGGACACGAUUAAACUUACAGUAGAGGAAAAUAAGUCAUAAUCACUCACACGCAUUACCAACACCACAUUUAUCACAAAUAUUUUCUAAGCCACUCAAACAACCAUCGUUACAUUCCCUAGCUUUUUGAUCGAAGCUAUAAACUUUUAUUCAUCUUGGUGAGAUUUUCGAGGGCUAUAUAGUGGUACGUGGAAGGAAAGCGUCCAAGUUAAGGGCUUUUUCCCCAUGCAGAGUUAGGUUAGAUAUUAAAUUAGCGAUUCGUAUGAUAUUGAUAUGAUGUCUGGAUGUAUUAAAAGAAAAAUGUCGAUUUUAUUUUUGUCGUAAAGAAAUUAACUAUCAUGCUUUGAUGGUUUCUUUUGAGUAAUAUCUCUAUUUUGAUGAAAUUAAUUAUAUAAUUAUAUUUUAUUACCAUACCUUCAUCAAUAUGUUUGUUGUGAAAACGUUCAAUGUCAUACAUGUUUUAGAGUACUUAAUUAUAAAGUUAUAAUUUUUAUAAUGAUGUAGUCAUUAACAUGUUUAUUACGAUGUAUUUAAUUUUAAUCCUUGAUUCUUGAGUAUUUAAAUUUUAAAACUUGACUUUUAUGAACAAUAUAUGUGUCUUGAUGAAAUUGAUGAAAAGUUUAUUUUUCAUUUACCAAUAUGAGGAAAUUGAUUUUUGAAUGCAUUAAUGAAUAGUUUUCUUUGUGGUUGCCUAAGUGGCUGGUUAUUUGUGUAUGAUUUUUCUUUGUGGUUGCCUAAGUGGCUGGUUAUUUGUGUAUGAUUUUUCUUUGUGGUUGCCUAAGUGGCUAGUGAUUUGUACAUUUCGAACAUCAUUAUCAUUGUCAUGACAUACCAUAUGCAUCUUUGUGGACGCCUUAGUGGCUGGGUUAAUUUUCUCCAUUGGUAUGGGUGACUUCUAUGUGGACGCCUUAGUGGCUGGCUAUAUCCGGAUCAUAUAUGUUGAGGACAUGCAUAAAUUGCAUAUAUUUUAUUGUCAUUGUUAUUUUUAUAUAAUUAUUUUUUCUAAGGUGAGUUAUUACUUGUUAUUUAGAGACAUCUCAUAAUUUUUGAUACACCUUAUGAGUUAUAAAAAUCAAUUUCUCUAAAUCUUUUAUUACAAAAAGAUUUUAUAUUUAUAUUUUAUGGUUGUUAACUUAUUAUUUGGUCUAAUUUUGCCGUGGGAUGAACUGACCCCUUACACCAACAUUUAAGUACUAACGAUCUUGAAGGGUUGCAUGAAUGACGUUUGCUUGGCGCACACGCGUGGGAAAAAUGGGUACUUUAAUAAAAUAAUAAUAAUAAUAAUAAUGUUUGUAGUGAUAAAACCGUUGUGAUACAAUUUUUAAGUUUAUUUAUUUUUCAUCGUUGAUUUUUAAUAGAAAUGCGGAGGCGGGGUCCUUCUGCUAGAAAAAACUUGAAUUAUUUUAUUUUUAAGCGAACAUUUUCUACAAUUAGUAAAUUGUCUUUACAAAUAAUAAUAUCCGAUAAAUCGCAUUGUGGUAUUUUUUAAAAUAAAAUCAAACUAUUUACUAGAAAAUUUUAUUUAUUAUAUGAUGAACUACUUAAAAAAAAAAUUAAGUCGUUUUUGAAAGAAAAUAAAUAUUUUUAAGUAAUAUCUGGGAUCAAAAUCCAGGGCGUUACAAUAUUCAACCGAUUCAUAAAUAAACUGAGUUAUAACCAUAUGAUUUUAACUAGAUAUUUAAAAUGAAUUUGGAUCUGAUUUUAGAUUUGGGCCUCAUAACCAGAUUUUUUGCACAACCCUAGUUGGAGGUUUGGAGGAUUUGAGGAAGUUUUUUACUUGCGCUGAGGUGAUUCAAUUGCAAACAAAUUGUUGUUGAAAAUGUCACUAAUAAGUGAAGUUAAGAAUGGCUCCCUCUUUUUCUCAAAUAUUGUCUAAUUCCUUUCAACUCCUAACACCAAUAGUUUUGCAUUGCUCUUUACUCUUAUGUGCUUGGUGACACGUUACGAUGUCUUAUUGAUGAAAUCUAGUUAACUAAUCUCGAUUAUAUUAUAAAUAGGAGAAUAAAUUUAAAUCAAAUAGUAAAUACAAAAAAGAUACCUCAUAUAUAUAUAAUAAGUUUAUACAUAUAAGUGUUUGUGACUUCAUACGAAUGUCACAUGAACAUGUGAACUCAAAACAACAAUGUAGAUUAAAAUAAGACCACCUACUUGCGACCAUUAAGAAAAUAAUGUACUCACCACUAGUCAAAUUACAAAAACGAUGUAUGUAACAAAACAAGUUUGUCGGUUGCCACUUUCACCUGAAAUGAAAAACUCUAGAAAAAAAUGGGGAUGAUAAAAAGAAACUUUUGACUACUUAGAAUGAGGUUGAUCUCUCUAGGCCGAGACAUUACCCCAUGAUCGUGUUUCCCAUGUGGUACUUAUAUUAGUAGUUUUGCUUAGAAUUUGGGGACUUCUAGAAAUCCUCUCUAAUAAUAGGUUUUUAAGGUAAAGUUUUUAGUUAGAUAUUUGUGCUUUUGUUCGUCACGGUUUCCUUGGGUUAUGUCCUAGUCCUAAACUUUUUAUUUUUUUUUAAAUAUAUUUUUAAUAGAGUUAUGUCCUAGUCCUAAAUCUUUUUAAUUUCUAUUAUUUUUAUUUUUCUUUAUUUUCUCUUUUUUUUUUUCUUCCAAAUUUCUUUUGUAAAUCCAAAGAUCAUAAAUGAUUUUUCUAUAUAUUAUUAAAUGUCUCGGUGAAAUGUAUUUAAAUAUCAAAUAAAAUAAUAUUAUAAGUCCCUAAUUACAUACAUUUAUUGAAAAAUUUACUUGUCUCUAAAUAUAAAUCUUUGUACAAAUUACUGUUGAGGCAAAAACCUUUUUGAUGCAUGUUUUAAUGACAAUAAACUUUAUUUAAUAAAUGAUUAAGUUUUAUGAAUGUUGAUCUACUAAUGAGUGCACUAGAGUUUUAUUUAAGGAAAAUGAAUUUCAUAAUCAAACAAGCAAAGAUCAUUUGAAAGAAGCAAUAUCAAAUUUGAGAAAACAGAAAAAGAGAAUAUUCAGGUCAUUAAACAUAAAAUCGAAGAACAUUCUUGACAGCAGUCUGAAAAAAGAAGAUCAUUCUGGACAACAGUCUGAAAAACGAAGAUGUUAUGGUUUGAUAGCAUUAAUCCAGUAACAUUAUGCUUUACAAAGAACAAAGUCUUCUUUAAUUCAAGAUCGAUUUGGGAUACGAAAAUACAACAAUCUACAUUGCAAAUCACAAGUAUUCAUUUCAAAGGAACAUAAUUAUAUACUCAAGAUAACUUCAGACAUAUUCUUUCCAUGAGAUCUGUUGAAUAUGUGAAAAUGAGAGACAUAUGGUGAAACCGUGUGUCUGAACUACACAACGGAGUCUGUUUUAUAUAGGCUCAAGACAAUAAAUACAAAAAUAAAUAUGGGAGAUAUUAUCCUUAUUUACAUGAUAUGUAAUAAAUAUAAAUAUAUUUUCAACACCCCCCUCAAGCUGGAGCAUAUAAAUCAUAUGCACCAAGCUUGUUACAUAUAUAACUGAUUUCGAGGACCUCUCAAGGACUUAGUGAAUACAUCUGCUAAUUGAUCAUUGGAAUUAACAAAGCUAGUGGUGAUGUCGCCUGAUUCGAUCUUCUCCCUUACAAAGUGACAAUCUAUCUCAAUAUGCUUGAUCCUCUCAUGAAAAACCAAAUUAGAGGCAAUGCGCAAUGCUGCUUGAUUAUCAUAUAUUAAUGUCAUUUGUGUUGCCUCUUCAAAUUGAAGCUCUUUGAGUAGCAGUUUCAACCAAAUGAGCUCACAAGUCACUAAUGCCAUAGCCUUGUAUUCAACUUCAACGCUAGAUCUUGCAACUACACUUUGUUUCUUACUCUUCCAAGAUAUUAAGUUUUCUCCAACAAGUACACUGCCCAGAAGUGGAUCGCAUAUCAAUGGGUGAGUCUGCCCAAUCGACAUCUAAAUAACCAGCUAUCUGAGCAUGUCCUCUGUUUUCAUAAAUUAGACAUUUUCUUGGAGCACCUUUAAUGUAUUUCAAGAUUAGUAUCACAACAUCACAAUGUUCUUGACAAGGAGAGUUUAAGAAUUGGCUUACCACAAUGAUUGCAAAAGAAAUGUCUGAACGAGUGACUGUGAGGUAGUUUAAUUUACCAGUCAAUCUUCUGUAUCUCCCUGAAUCUGAAAAUGGCUCCCCAUGAUUAGGUAGAAGUUUGACAUUUGGAUCCAUAGGAGUGUCAACCGACCUGACAUUCAAUAAACCUGUCUCUUCAAGAAUAUCCAUGACAUAUUUCCUUUGUGAAAUUUAUAAGGCGUCCUUAGAUUAGGCUACCUCAAUACCGAAGAAGUAGCGGAGCUUGCCAAGAUCUUUAGUUUGAAACUGAUGAGAUAAAUGUUGUAUCAACUGGAGUAUGCCCUACUGAUCACUACCAGUUAUGAAAAUAUCAUCUACAUAGACAAUCAAGUAAAUGCACCAUUGGAUUGAGUGGCGAUAGAAAAAAGAAUGAUCAACUUCACUUCGAAUCAUGCCAAAUUUUUGCAAUAUUGUGCUAAAUCUACCAAACCAAACUCGAGGAGACUAUUUAAGACCAUAGAGAGACCUCUAAAUUCGACAAACCAUGGUAGAGGACUCCCCCUGAGCAACAAACCCAUGUGGUUGCUCAAGUUGGUGCAAAGACCAGUGUCUAAUGGCUGCAAUAUAGAGGAGUAGUUUAAUAGAGACUAUCUUAGCCACAGUGGAGGAAGUAUCACUGUAAUCGAGGCCAAAAAUUUGAGUGUACCCUUUUUCCACCAAACAACCUUUAAAACGAUCAAUCUUACCAUUAAAUCCAACUUUCAUCGUAUAAAGCCAACAACAUCCUACUAAAAACUUUCCAGAUGGUAAAAGAACCAAUUUCUAUGUACCACUACUCUUAAGUGCACACAUCUCGUCAACCAUUGCUUGUCUCCAUUCUAGGUGAGAUAAAACUUCACCUGGACAUUUAGGAAUAAAAAUAGAAGACAAGGAAUACAAACAAGUAUAAUGCAAAGGAGAAAGAUGAUGAUAACUCAAACCAAUGUUAUGAGGGGAUGGGUUACGAGUAGGACGUAUACCUUUACGAAUAGCUAUAGGAAUAUCAAGGGUCAGAUCCGAUAAAGAAGGAGGUGGUGGUGAAGGAGCAUCUGGAAUGACCUCGAUAUCAAGAACGAGUGUAGGGACAUGUACAACCGAUGGUGGUUAACGAUGACAAUAUGUCUGAAGAGGUUGUACAGUUGGAGGAUCAACAAGAUGAGUCUUAAGUGGGACAAUGGGAGGGGCCACCAAAGGUUUCUCAGGUGGGGCAUACAUAAUAGGCUCUAGUGGUAAAAGAGAAGGUGAAAUAGACUUUGGUAGGUCUAGAGGAAUAGUUGUAGACAAAGGAUCAGGAAGCGACUCAUAGUAUGUAACAAACUCAAAAAAUGUGACAUAAGCCGAUAUGAGAUAUCGUCGAAGAUUAGGAGAAUAACAACGAUAACUUUUUGGAACCACUGAUAACCAAGAAAAACACAUUUUUGUGAUCGAGUUGAAAGUUUGUCAAGACCAGGAGUGAGAUUGUGGACAAAACAUGUAGAUCUAAACACCUAAGGAGGAAGUGAGUGAAGAGGGGUACCAGGGAAGAGGAUCGAGUGAGGGACUUUGUUAUCAAGAGCAGACGAAGGCAUGUGAUUUAUAAGAUACCACGCCAUUAGAACAACAUUACCCCAAAAGCAAGAUGGUACAUUAUCAUGAAGAAGGAGAGUACGAGUGGUUUCAAUAAGGUGCCGACUUUUGGGUAUGGCUACCCUAUUUUGUUGAGGUGUUUGAGCACAAGAUGUUUGAUGAAGAAUGCCGUUAGAGGUCAUAAGAUUUUGAAAUUGAUGGGACAAAUAUUCACGGGCAUUAUCAUUGCGCAAAGUGUGAAUGGAUACACGAAAUUGACUUUUAAUUUCCUUAUAAAAUUGUUCAAAAAUAGAAAAUAAUUCAGACCUAUUUUUCAUUAAAAAUAACCACGUACAACGGGAAAAAUCAUCGAUAAAGAUAACAAAAUAUCUAGACUCAAGAGUGAAAAUAUUACGAGAGGGACCCCAAACAUCUAAGUGAACUAAAACAAAUAGGGAUGAAGCUCGUUUGUUAGCUCGAUUAGGGAAAAGACUACGAGUGUAUUUCCCUAACUGACACGACUCACAAUUUAUGCUAGAUAUUUGGCUAGAUUAGGUACUAAUUGUUGAAGUUUGGGAAGACUCAGAUGACCUAACUGAGCAUGUAUAGUAAGAGGAGAGUAUGUGGUAGGGCAUGCUGUUGAUGGGUUUGAAAGAUAAUAAAGGCCAUUAGACUCUCAUCCGACACCAAAUUGUCGUUCUGAUAUUCGAUCUUGCAAAGUAACAUUGCAAUUAGUAGAUGUGACAACAUAAUCAUGAGAAUGAGUCAAUUGACUGAUAGAAAUUAAAUUAAAUGGACAUCCAGACACGUAAAGGACAUAUGUAACUAAUAGAGUAGGGAGAAUUUAGAGACCGUGUUUGAGAACCAUUGGCUAAGAUUAUCCUAGGUAAAUAACGAGAUGUUGUGAGAGAGGAGAAAAUAGUCUUAUUACCAGUAAUGUAAUCAGAUGCACCAGAAUCGAGAAUCCAUGGGCUAUGAGAAGGUGAAAUGCAAACAGGUGAAUUACCACAUUGUACUGCCGAAACAGCGGAACUCGAGUUCUGAAAAUACUCUACCCACCGAAGAAAAUCUUCAUAAGUAGCCAUAAUCAAUAAACAAUUACCUAAAACCAACAACGAAACAGUGGUGGAAGAGGCUUUUUUUCUUUUUUUUUUUUGCGAUGAACAGUGGACUUAUUUGCUGAAAAAAUGAAUGAAAAGUGACAAAGAAAGGGUAAACCAGAAUUGGGACACGAUUUACCGAAAAAAAUCUCACCAAUGAACAAUGGGUCCCUGGGUAAUCACGAUAUAGGGUUAUCUCUCUUAAUAGAAUAAGAUAUAGGGUUAUCUCUUUUAAUAGAAUAAGAUAUAGGGUUAUCUCUCUUAACAGAUACUAUGUUGAAUAAGAGAAAAUGAGAGAAUAUGGUGAAAUUGUGUGUCUGAACUACACAAUGGAGUUUGUUUUGUAUAGGCUCAAGGCGAUAAAUACAAAAAUAAAUAUGAGAGAUAUAUUAUCCUUAUUUACAUGAAAUGUAAUAAAUACAAAUAUAUAUUCAACAAGAUCAACAAAAAGCAAAGCAAUGCGUCAAGAUUAAAAAACAAGACUAAUCUCCAAAGUUGAUGGCUAAAGUAAGCAAGUACAAACUAAACAUAAAAGAUAAAGUCACUGCAUCACUGACACACAAACAAAAUAGAAAAGUGGGGAACGCAACAGUUGUCAGAAUUGUUAAAAUCCAACAAUCACUCAAAACAGAAACAAAGAACGUUACAUGUUUUCACAUCUUUAGUCCAACAAUAUUUUGGUUACAAAGAGAAAAAUCUAUUGUAAUUUAAGAUCGAUUUGAGCUUUGAAAUUACAUCUAUCUACACUAAAAAACAUCAGUAUUCAUUACAAAAGAAUUUAAUAAUCUACACAAGAUUGAUUUAGAUAGAUUCGAUCAUAGAGGAUCCACAAAGGCAAAGCAAAACAUCAAGAUCAAUCUCCAAAUUGAUGAGCUAUGACCAAGGACAUCCAUGACAACAAGGACACACAUACCAAAUCCAACAAUCACUCAAAACAGAAAUAAAGAACGUUCUCCGUUUUCACAACUUUAAUCCAAGAAUAUUCUGGUUACAAAUCAAAAAAUCUAUUGUAAUUUAAGAUCGAUCUGAGCUUUGAAAGUACAUGUAUCUACACUAAAAAACAUCAGUAUUCAUUACAAAGGAAUUUAAUAAUCUACGCAAGAUUGUUUUAGAUAGAUUCAAUCAUAAAGGAUCAACAAAGGCAAAGCAAAACAUCAAGAUAAAUCUCCAAAUUGAUGAGCUAUGAGCAAGGACAACCAUGACAACAAUGACACUACUGCUGCUUUAGUAGAAAGCACAUCAUGUUUAUGAGAUAAAGGACUGACACGUAACAUCUGUCAAAGUUCAACACUCAUACAAAAUAGAAACGAAGAAUGUUCUUGUUUUUUCAAAUGAACAUUGUGGUUUUAAUUCUCUUUUAAAGACAUAAUUAAAAUAUAUAAUUUUCAAGACCAAAGCCCAACGGUUGAAAGCAGCCUCAAGAUUGAUCUCCAAAUUGAUGAGUUGUGAGCAAGGACACAAGUAAACUGUACUUACAAUAUUCAGCAGAAAGUUCUGCUUAAAUCUGACUCAAAAUAGUGUCAACUGACAUGUGACAAUUCAUUCACUCGCUUUUUCACGUUUUCCAUGAGACCCAAAAGCAAGAAUGUUCUUCGUUUGUCACGGACGAUCUGGACUAUAAUAUAAACACAUGUUUAAUUGCUUUAAAAUAUAUCUGACACUUGGGGAAAGUGUGCCCAACGACUAUAUUCAUUUUGAAAUGAAUAUUCAAAGCUUUUUAUUAUCUAUAAAUUGAUGUUCAAUUGGAAGAUGAAGGCAAUAGUUCAAUUUACAAAUCUACCAAGACUUGUUCAAGUAACAAGUCAAAAAACUCUUCAAGCAAACUCCAGCUCUCUUCACUAUAUAUUUGGAUCAUUAUUUACUGUGUUUGGCUUUCAUUUAUCUCAAACAAGUGUUGAGAAGUAUCAAGAUCCCAAAUAUUUUAUCAUACACAUCAUUUGUAACUCAAGUCUAUCUUUUAUAUUAGAUUGAAUGUGUUUGUAAAAAUCUUUUCAAGGCUGAAAGGUGAAGAUUGUAACACUUAGUGAAAAAUCUCACAGUUGUGAGAACUUGAAGUUACCCGGGUUGGAUGAACCAUAAUAUUUCUCUGUGUGAUAUCUCUCCAUUAUCUCUAUUUAUUUUUAGUCUUUUGAUUAUCAAAUCAAAAUAGAUAAGUUAAAUUGUGUGUUUUUCGCUAACCAAGAACAUUCUUCGUUUUCCAUUUUCAUAACCAAGACUAAUCUUGAGUUAAAUUCUUUAAGUUUUUACAAAAUAUUUUAAAAAGGUGAAAUCACAAUUCAAACCCCUCUUUCUUGUGAUUGAUAUUGCUACUUCAAUUGGCAUCAGAGCACAACCUCUUAAUUUGAGAACCUAACAAGUGUUAGAGGAAAUACUAAUAAUUGCACUUGAGUUUUGUUUAAGGAACAUGAAUUGCAUAAGUGAACAAGUAAGAAGCCAUUCACUUCAUCAAAGUGCAUAAGCAUCCACUUAAUAAUGAAAUAAUCUCAAAAGGAAUGUAUCAUAUAUCAACCAUUCAAGAGAAUGGUUAUUACAUCUUCAAGAUAGUAUCUUCGUGAAAAAGAUAAUCAAAUAUAUUCAUACAUCAAUCAAUGAUCACACUAUCACUACGCCAAAAACAACAUUUACCAGUGCACUUUUUUCAGAGCGCUUGUUAACUAAAAGCGCUGUUGUAGGAUCAUAUAGGGUAUUAAUGUCUACAUCGCUUUUGAUGAAAGCGCUGUUGUAUGGUCACAUAGUGUGACACCCUAAACCCCAAAAUAAUAUAUAUAAUAAUUUAUAUUAUAUUUCUAUAAAAUUUGCAGCAGAUAAAUAAAAAUAUGUUUCCAAGAAAAUAAAAACUUUUAUUUUUAACUUAUGAUAUGACAUUUCUUAAAAAUCAAAAGGAACACUUUAAACUUAUUUUCUCCAUUAAAAUAGUGUAAUCUCAAUAAGCUUGAAAUAAGCUUGAUAUAAGUAUUAAAAACUUAUUAGUACUUCUAAGAUUUUCAUACAAAAAUUGGUUUCAAAUUAAAUAAGUAAAAUACAAUUUAAGCCCUUAUUCCAAGUAUCACCUAUCAGAGCGUGAUUCCUUCCAAACUUGAACUUCAAGAUUCAUUAAACUGUAAUAACUGCAAUUUUGCAAACGCAGGGCCAAGCCAGUCAAACACAAACUACGAAGGAGGUGAGUUUCGAAAUCACGAUGACAAUAUAAUACAAGUAAGAAGUGUUGGACUUUAGUCCUUGAAUCCUAAUUUUGACACAAUUAACAAACAUACAAUGUUCAUACAUCAUAUGAUAAAUCUAACAUUUUAAUUGAGCAAGAUUUCAGGAACAACAAUACAAUCCUACACACUUGAUACAAAUUGCUUGGAACACAAGAAAUCAACAAAAGUUGAUCAUUGACUGAGUAAAUCGAUUGGGAAAUCGAUUUCAUAACAAGGGUGUAAGGAAACAUAACUGUUUGUGAUUGUAUAAUCGAUUAAGCAAUCGACUGACACUAUUAAAAAUGAAAAUUGCACAAGUCAGUGGCACCCUGUUUUACAGGCUAAUCGAUUGGCAAAUCGAUUGUACAUAUCACAAAGUAAAACUGAUUGAAACCAAUCGACUGGCAAAUCGAUUGAUCAAGUCACAGUGAGAAUCCAAUUUCUAGGGUAAUCGAUUGGCAAAUCGAUUAGACCUGUUUUAUAACUUUAAUGAAUCGAUUGGCAAAUCAAUUUAUUAGUUUUUUUUUCAGAAACUAUAUAAACUGUUAUUCAAUCUUUCUCUCAUUUUUUAAAAAAAAAACAAUUCAUGGAAAGUGAUAAACACUCAUAAACUCUCAUUAACACAAUACAACACGUUGUUAACAUUUUGAUAUUGCUUUUUCAGAUCAAAAGCCAAAAAGAUUAUCCAUAAUCAUUGAGAGAGCUGAAAAAGUAUUCUUGAGAGAAAAGACAAUGUUCUCAUAAUCCAUCAUUGAAUAACCAGAUUCGUGAGAAGACACAUUGUUCAAGAUUGAAGACUUCUUUUACUACUUCUUUUAUUCUAUUUGAAAUAAAUACUUUGUAAAGAAAACGACUGCUAGAAAUCCAGCUAGAAACUGGUGGCGAUCUUCUUGGGUGAGAGGCCUCAUCAAGAAGGAGUCGUACUUUGAUUUUGUGUGAGUCUGCUGAUUGACUACAAGGAUCAAGGGGUGAGCAAUAGGAAAGAGAUUGCGAGAGAUAGAUAGGUUUCGAGGAAACUGGACAAUCUGUAAACAAUUCACAAUUCUUUCUAUUGGAGAAAAAGCUGAAAUCCAGUUGGAUUGUUAGGACUGAAUGUAGGUUGUCUCGUUGACAACUGAACCAGGAUAAAUCUUGGUGCAUUCUAUCCUUUAUCUUUUUACUUUUAAUUGCUAAUAGUGUAUGCUGCAUUAUAAUUCCGCUGUGUAUGUAAUAUUACUUUAAUUUGAUUAAAGACUGAUAUAUUCUGAUUAUUUCGAGGUCAUAAUAAUCAACAAGAAGAACACGCAAACAAUAAUAAUAUUACUGUAUCAUUACACAAACAUUCCAUCAAGAAAAUAUCACAUUAAAAAGUCAAAAUCACUCAAGGAAAAUCAAUAAAUUUCAAAAUAACAUCAAAUCGUCUAAGAGAAACUAUCACCACUCAUGAUACAUAUUAAUCACAACAAAACAAUCACAAUAAAAUGCAAUGCUAUGCAUGAGCUUAGACUCUACUUCACAAUGUGGUACCAUUCUAACUCUGAAGUACUUGGUUAGGAGGCUUGAUACUAUGCCACCAUUCCGGUGGACGGGCAAUUCAAAUUGGCCCUGUCCUCAUAGAUUCCCUCAACUCAACCCGAGACACAUAUACGUGACAGUCGAGGUAAACGUGUGUUGCGUGGUAGCUCCCGACAUUUGGAGUGCUACCUCCAAGUCACCUAGGAAUUCCCCACCAGAAUACCUCCAAGGUCUAACAAUCUUUCCUUAAGGCUUGACAACAGACCGCCACAAUCAGGCUCAUUCAGUUGUACUUCCCCGGAAUCACUAGGCUUGUCAGACCCUACCUAUAUAAUGACAAAAUAGUCUUCACUUCGCAAAUUCUCAAUAUUUAUUUUCUCCCCUCGUUGGCCUAUGAUACUCUAUUAAGACCGUCAUCUCAAACACAAAUUGGAAUCACAAAUAUUUCAUCAACUAUGGGGUUACUUCAAUAUUCUUAUCACAAAUUCACAACAUUACUAUAAUUAAUUAUAUCUCAUCACAUAAACUCAUCACAAAUUUAUAGCAUCACUAUCAUCAAUCAUACAUCAUCACAUAUGCUUAUCACAAAUUUUAUCAUCAUUAUUAUUAUUAAUUAUACAUCAUCAUAAUCACAUAAACUUAUUAAAAUGAAUUCACUUUUUAUUAUCACAUCACAUAAACACGUCUAAUCAAACGUAUACAUAAAAUUCAUUCGACAUCCAAUAUCACAAUAAUAUCAAAUAUCUCACAUUUAAUAAAGAUAAAUCAAACAUCACAAUAAUAUCAAAUAUCUCACAUUUAAUAAAAACAAAUCAAACAUCACAAUAAUAUCAAAUACCACAUAUUUAACGAAGUUUAAUAAAUCAACACCUUAUAAAUAUUUCUAUUCCAUAUUUUAAUAUCACAAUUCCCAUAUUUUUACAUUAAUCGAUUUAUCACUCAAAGGGCUACUGCCGCACGUUGCAAGCCCCGAAUGAAUCGUUGGGAAAUACAGUUUUCCCGUUCAUCUCACAUUAUAUUAGACUCAUGAAUUCAAACACUCUCUCACCCUUUACCUUAUUUCGACGCUUUCAAACACGAGUACGAUUCCACAAACAAACAAACUUUGUUUUUUGACUUUUUUCCUUCAAUCGAUCUAACUCGACAGUUUAUGGGUAAACGUCAAAAAUAAAUUAUGAGAAAAUACUCUAAAAAAUAAAUUUCAAAAUUUCGUCAAGGAAAAUUACCAUAAAUCAGAAAACCAAUCAUUGGGUAAUAUAGCCACUUUUCACACGGUCGUUUUGGCGUUGACUUUACUCAAAUCGGGCUUACGGUGAAGGAGAACUGUGCAAAAUAACGAAUUCUACAAACAGAGAAGUCGGGGAGUUUAGAGAUAAAUUGGGGUUGUUCAAAAUCUGGAAAAUUAUGUUUAAUUGACGAGUUAAAUGAAUGAAAUAACAUACUCAAAUUUGAGCGAAAAUGGAGAAAGUUUUCUGGAAUAGUUAUCGAUUACCGAUGUCAAACGAUAAGUUAUUGUUGUGUUUUCUCUUUGGUUUUAUGGCUGCCCUUCCAACUCCCUUCCCCUUUUUUGUUUGUUUUAUUUUAUUAACAAUUAGGGUUCAUACAUGAAUCAAACCCAUUGGUUUUAUUUAUGUUUUUGUUUUACUAUUAUUAUUUUUAUUUUGCUAAAACAAAAUUAAUAAUUAUUUAAUCUCCUUUUUAAUAUUCUUCCAAAUACAGUUUUUCAAAUAUUACUAAUAUUUUAUAAAUUAGAGUAAUUAAAAUAAUCAAUAUAAAAAAACAUAUUACUAAUAAUUGAAACUGUCACAUUCAAAAUAAUCUCUACAAUUAUACUUAUUUAUCAAAAUACACACAUUAUAAUAAUACCAGCAUGUUAGAAAAUAGUCAAAAUUAUAAAGUAAAUAAAUAUAACAUCAAUGUUUUAUAUUAAUUACUAAAUCACAAUAAAUAUAUAUAAAAUCACAAUGUCAUAACAAGUACAUAAAAAUAAACGAAAUAAAACACAAUAUCAAUUUUAUCUCAAAAUAAUUAUUUAUAAAAAAAUAACUAAAAAUAGAAAAUAGUUAUAAAUAAUUGAAAUAUAUCAGUCAAACACACAUAAAAGUAUUACAUUAAUUGGGUACACGUAUAUACACGUUAAAUCGCAUAAAAUAUUUUUCUUUAAAAUAUAUAUUACACUAGAAUACUAUUAUUUUUUAAAAAAAAUAUAUCAAAUAAUAAAAUAUAAUAUAUUAUUUGUAUAACUCAUGUAAUCUAGUAUUUAUAAAACUAUCACAUCAUAGAAAUCACCUAUAUAACAAAAAUUAGUCAGAAAAUUUAUCAUCAUAUAUUCUAAAAUAAUUUUAACUUUAAAAUUGACAACAAUAGUAAAAGUGAUCCUUUAUAAAUUGAGAAAAAUGUCAGGGAUGAGUUUCACUUCGAAUCCAACCUUGGCGUCUAAUUUGAUCCUAGUCAUUGAAUUCCUUUAUUGAAUUAUUACCAAAUUCUCUUUAUUAUUCUUGCCCUAAUGUCUUAGUGACAGAACCUUUAAUUCCAAAGUAACCACUAAUUCCUUAGUAGAUUUAAGAUUAGAAUUAAGCAUUAUCGUAUAGAAAUUCUCUUGUAAAUUAUUGCUUUGCAACUAAUUUAAUUGGUUUCAUGACCUGCACCUAUGUCUAGACUAUAAAUUCAUGAAUUUCUCAUCUCAAGCAUUCGUAAAGUCCAUUUCCGUUUUAAAAUACAAAUCGUAGAACAUUUUAAUGUUGAUCAAGCAAUAAAAAGCAUUAAGCACAUAAACGACAAAAAUAAUUCAAUAAACUCAUUCAUAUAACUAGAAAUCAAAUCAUAAAAAUAAGGGUUUCAUCUUGUUACACUCAUCCCUAACAAAUAGGAUUUAGUUACUCAUGACACAAAUAAAAGAGAUAGAGAUUAGAGAAGAAUUACAAGAAGGAUUCAUGAAUGAUUCUUGAUAAAACUGCUCCAAUGAUGUUAGAAACGACCUUCUUUGAGUUUCUAUGCUAGGGCACAAGUCUCCCAACUUCCCAAGAGUCAAAAACAUCCAUAAAACAGUGAAAAAUUGCAUUUUUAUGAAUGUUGAUGCGCGUCGCGCGCCCCAUGCGCAGAAAACACGCUCCAGGCGCGCCUGGACAGGGUUACUGGUCCAAAAAUGCGCCCCAGGCGCAGAAAACGUGCUUCAGGCGCGCCUGGACAGUGCUGAACGGCUGGAAACGCGCCUCAGGCGCGUCUUGUGCGCUUCAAGCGGACAACAUCUGCUGUCCGACAUAUAUUGUAAUUUUCUCCUCUUUAGAUUCUGAAUUUGCUUCCGGUGUCUUCAUGAAAGAUGUAGCUAUGGAUCAUAGCUUUCAUUUGAACUUGGGUUGACUCCAAUUGGACAUCUACAACUCCAGAUAUGACUGAAAUACUCUACAUAGAUCAUGUUGAUUUCUCACCAAAAUUCAGCACUGCACUAAAACAAAACGCAAUGUAAAAUUACGAAAAAUUUCUACUUAAUCAAUGAAAUAAAAACAUAAAACAUUUUCUUAACUCAAAGAACAAAAAUCAACAAAAUAUAUCAAAUAAAUCCUUAAUUUAACUAAUGAUUGAAGAUAAAUAAGACUAAAACAGUGGGAAAAUAUGCAUAUUUUGAAGACUCAUCACAACCCCAAACUUAAUCUAUUGCUUGUCCCCAAGCAAUAAUUAAUUUCAGAUUUGGUACAGUUAAAAGAACACUUAAAUUCAAUGUCUCAAAUCAAAUCAAACUCAAUUCUCAAAGUUCUUGCUACUGCAGAAUAUUCAUCAUGCUCUAUGGUUGUUUUCAAAAAAACAAGAUUUGUACACCUUAGCAUUCAUUCAUCAAAUUCAACUCUCUUUUCACACAAUCUCACCAAAAUUUCUCUCACGUGUUUAAAAGGGUUAUGAAUUUAUCGCUUAAAUCCUAGAACAUGCAUCAUGCUACCAUAAGCUUGAAAAAAUUCUAGUUUGCAAUCAAAAUGCAGUAAACACAUACAUUUUUGGAUGACUUUCAGGUUGUAAUGCAACUUAGGUAAGGGUAGGAAAUUUUAGGAUAGUAGGUUUUACUACUUGGAGUUAGGCAUACAUUUCCAACUUAUUCUACCAUUUUUGUUUUCUUCACCUUUUUAUUCUGGAAAUUCUCAAACAUUGGCAAAAGAACCAAGAAGAUAUUAUUUACCAAAGUAUAUAGACUGAUUUUUUUUUCAAUUCUUUUUGUGAGAAUCACCACCCCAAACUUAAAAUGUUGCUAUCCCAUGAACAACCCCAAACUUAUAACUUUAUCAAGACAAUUUUUUUUUCUCUACCUAACUCCAAGUAAGGUGAUUUAAUUAAAUUCAAGUAUUUGACUUGUAAUGUGGCUAGUAACCGAAAUAAAAAGACAAGGCUCAAAAGGGCUAGCAAAGGGUAAAAUUUUCAUAGGGUAGUUAGAAAGGCUCAAACGACCAAACAAAAUUGCCUCGAUGUAUGCAUAAAUUACAAGGGAUGCAAGUCAGAAUUAGUGCAAGUUCUAGAGGGAAAACACAUGUCUGGAUAAUCACACAACAAAGAAUUUAAGUGUUUAGACUCAAAAGCUCACAACUAGGGUAAUAAGAGAGAGUAUGAACAAUCAAAAUAAUGCCAAACAUGCUUUUAAAAAGUUAAAAUUGUAUUUUUGAAAAAUUGAUGGCAUAUUAUCCUUCUACAACCAUUUAGUAAUCAAGAAUGUAUGCAUUAGGAAGGCUUGUCGGCUUGAGCAAUAAUAUAAUCUAAGAAAUGAAAUUUAACUUUCGAAAUCCCAAACAGAAACUUUAAGAUCAAGUGCAAGUCAUUACAACUGUUUCAUCAUAGUACAUAUUUAGUGAAAGGAAAAAAAAUAUAAAGAAAAGAAAAUCAAAAUAGACUAACAUAAAACAAAGAAAACGAGAAAAAGAAAAGAAACAGAACAAACAACAGAAAAAAAAAAGGAAAGAAAACUUCUUUCAGUUUAGUAAUUCAAGGAUUCUCAUUUAGAUCAUCCGCUCCUGUUCCGCUAUGGUCGCGAGUAUACUGGUGAGGCGCAAAUAGAUCAACAUAAAACAUGCCUCCUGGUGUCUGUUGAGAAGAAGCGAAGGCUCGAUAUAGAUUGGUCAUCCCCAGUUCUAUUCUGGCUUGUCCAUCUCGCUGAUCAAUCAUCAAUCGUUCCAUCAUAGUUUCCAGUCUGCCACAUCUUUCCUCGGUGGAGAGCUGUGAUGGAUGUGGAGGGUGGUGAUGUUGCUCAGUGUUUUCCUCUACUGGUGGGGCAUCAGGGUCGUCUACCAGAAUCAUGGAGUGUUUUUCUAUCCACUUAGCAGUGAUUGAAGUAGCAGGUUUCACCAUUUCCUCACCAUGUUUAGGUAACACUCUCACCUACUCACAUAGUUUGCUUAUCAGAGAAGCAUGAUGGAAGUAGCCUAUUGAAGGAUCAAGAGUUGCUGUCCUCCAAAGAUCAUCAGCUAGUAGUGCACCAACGUUGAUUCUGUCGCCUUUUAUGAUGGAAAGUAGUAAGCAUGCUCUAUGAAAUGUUAUAUCUGACACAUUGGAACAUGGUAGUAGCGUGUGAUGAACAAAGGUGCUCCAUGCUUUUGCAAUUGGGUUGAGAUCUAUUGAACGCAGUUUCCUAACCGAGCCAUCCCUAUUUCGAAACCAAUUUGUGCCUGAUCUGCAUAAAAUGCGUAGGAUCUCCUGAGUGUCUACUUUUCUGCUGUGGUCCACCAUAUCUUGAAAAUGGCAGUCCUGAUAAUUCGGCAGACCAAAAAUUGCAUUGAUGACUUGGGGCGUGAAGGGUACCAUUUUCCCCCUCACAUAACUCACAAAUUGAUCGUGUGGAACUGGGUCGUCACACUUCAGAUCAAAGGCAUUGGAGAAGAAUUCCACUGCUAAUGACUUGCUUGUUGUGGUGACGAAUGUGGUUAGCUUCUCCCAUCCUCUUGCCACAAUCAUCGCUUGGAUGUCAACAAAUUCAUCUGCUUCCAACUGAAAGUUUUUCUCACUCACAAACUUCUUGACUGUAGGGAGUUUGACAUGAAACUCUUGUGUUGCCAUGGUCUUGAAUAAGAAUGUAUUGUGCGGUUGAGAGGAGGAUGUAAUUGUGACCUUAGUUCGUUUUGCUUUUUGUUGGGUUGCCAUUAGGUCCUGCAAAACAAGUAUUCACACCCAGGGUUCAAAAUAUUCCAAGUUAGAUAUAAUUAAUUUAAGCAUGGUCCCCCUUGGAAAAAUAACAACUUAAAUCGCCCUGGGUUUUUCCAACAAAAUUCUAAAUGAUAAUAGUGCAUAUACAUUGGAUGUCAUUUUAACAAACAGUUGGAGUGUAAUUGUGACCUUAGUUCGUUUUGCUUUUUGUUGGGUUGCCAUUAGGUCCUGCAAAACAAGUAUUCACACCCAGGGUUCAAAAUAUUCCAAGUUAGAUAUAAUUAAUUUAAGCAUGGUCCCCCUUGGAAAAAUAACAACUUAAAUCGCCCUGGGUUUUUCCAACAAAAUUCUAAAUGAUAAUAGUGCAUAUACAUUGGAUGUCAUUUUAACAAACAGUUGGAGUGCAAUAUAUAUUUUGUGGUACUUAAGGUGCAUAAGUGGUUGUGUCAUUUUAACAAACAGUUGGAAUGCAGUAUAUAUUUUGUGGUACUUAAGGUGGAAAAGUAAACUCUUAAAUGGCCCUGGGUUUAUCCAACAAAAUUCUAAAUGAUAAUAGUGCAUAUACAUUGGAUGUCAUUUUAACAAACAGUUGGAGUGCAAUAUAUAUUUUGUGGUACUUAAGGUGCAGAAGUGGUUGUGUAAUUUUAACAAACAGUUGGAAUGCAAUAUAUAUUUUGUGGUACUUAAGGUGGAAAAGUGAUUGUGUCAUUUUAACAAACAGUUGGAGUGCAGUCAUAAGAUACAUGAACAAACCACAUACAUGCAACAUUAACACACAUUCAAUCUCAGAAAACAAACAUGCAUGUAUGAACAAUUUUAAAUACUAGCACAAAUUCGAAUUUAAAGAACCCACAUGCAUCAAUGAACAAGAAAGAGUUGAUAUUAGAAAUUAGGGGAAACUUACUUGAGGAUGAAAGAAUGUAGGAUAGAAGAGGAAAACUUACUUGAGAUUGUAUGAAGAAAGGAAAACUGACCUUUGAUGAUAAUGGAGGAUGGUUUGGAGAGUGAUAAUGAAGGAUGAGAGUUUUUUUGUGAGAAUAUGGAGGUUUUAAAACCCAACACCGUGAAAAGCGCUUUAGGCGCUCAGGACGCGCUUCAGGCACGCGUUCACAGUGACAAUUACUGUGAAAAGCGCUUCAGGUGCUCAGGGCACGCUUCAGGCGCGCGUUCACAGUGACAUACCAUGCGAAAAGUGCUUCAAGCGCUGUGGGCGCGCUUCAGGCGCAUGCUUACAGAAGCAUCAGUGUGAAAUGCGCUUCAAGCGCUCUAGGGGCACCUCACACGCGCAUUCUGUCAUUUUGAACUGUAAAAUCGCUUCUCAACACAUCUUUUUGAUUCCUUGCUCAUACCAAACAUCAAGAACUAAUAGAACUAGCAAUUAGAGACUAAAAUUGGAACUAAAUGGAGUAAAAUGAAUCUGAAAUGCAAUAAAUAAAUACGGUGCAAAGUGUAAGACCCAUAGUUUUAAAUUCUAAUUUAUGUAUUUUAGUGUAUUUUGGUAUUAAACUCUAAGGCUUUUUAGCCAAGUUAUUGAUAUUUUGUGAGUUUAAUGCCCAAAAAUUGAAAAGAAUGAAAAGGAAAGGAAAGAAAGUAGAAGAAAGGAAAAACAAAGGAAAAGGAAAAGGAAAUAAAAGGAAAAAGGAAAGAAAAUGUUUCCUCUCCCUGUUGCUCGCAAACCCAUUUUUGUUCAUUAUUCUUCUUCAUCUUCUUUGCUUCAGCCAAGUUAUUGAUAUUUUGUGAGUUUAAUGCCCAAAAAUAUCUUUUGAUGCCCCGAUUAAAAUUAUCCGUCGAUAAAUAAAUUAGAUUAAGUACGGUGAAUCUUUUGUCGAAAGAUAAUUUAUUUAUGUUACGAAGAAUUUAAUUCUGGGCAGUUUUGUUAAAAAUAUCUCGGGUUGUUGAAAAUUGUAUCUGUCAAUUGCCAAGGCUUGGUGGGUUAGAAAACAAAGAUUUCUCAGCUUCAUUCUUCUUGUUUGAUUCGAAAAUGAAGAAAAAUGGUGUUAGGGGUUUCAAAACCGUCAAACACAAACCCUCACAUUUCUUCUAGAUCUAAGCUUUGUUUCGCGAAGAGAUAGAAGGGAAAGCUGCUCACCUCUCCGCUACGGUGCUAGAGAGUCAACUUUGUAAGCGACGACGUGAACGAAGUUUUUACCGGAAUAAAUCGCGGUAACGUAAUUGCUCGUUAAAGCUAUCAUUAAGGUAAGGGCUCCUUCCAAACUUUUAGCUUGCAUUUAGGGACUUAUUUGUGGUUGUGUGGAAAAUAAAUUUGUUGGGUUUGAAGUGUAGAUUUGGGGAAAAUAAAUUUAUUGCUUUUAUGGGUGAAAGUUUGGAGUUGGGUUUUUUGUGAAAUUGAUGAGUGUUUUCGUGAAAAAGGAAUUUGAUUCAUCUAUGUGUGUUUUGAGGAAAUGAAAUUUGAUGUGUUUGAGUGGUGGGUUGUGAUGUUUUGUNNNNNNNNNNNNNNNNNNNNNNNNNNNNNNNNNNNNNNNNNNNNNNNNNNNNNNNNNNNNNNNNNNNNNNNNNNNNNNNNNNNNNNNNNNNNNNNNNNNNNNNNNNNNNNNNNNNNNNNNNNNNNNNNNNNNNNNNNNNNNNNNNNNNNNNNNNNNNNNNNNNNNNNNNNNNNNNNNNNNNNNNNNNNNNNNNNNNNNNNNNNNNNNNNNNNNNNNNNNNNNNNNNNNNNNNNNNNNNNNNNNNNNNNNNNNNNNNNNNNNNNNNNNNNNNNNNNNNNNNNNNNNNNNNNNNNNNNNNNNNNNNNNNNNNNNNNNNNNNNNNNNNNNNNNNNNNNNNNNNNNNNNNNNNNNNNNNNNNNNNNNNNNNNNNNNNNNNNNNNNNNNNNNNNNNNNNNNNNNNNNNNNNNNNNNNNNNNNNNNNNNNNNNNNNNNNNNNNNNNNNNNNNNNNNNNNNNNNNNNNNNNNNNNNNNNNNNNNNNNNNNNNNNNNNNNNNNNNNNNNNNNNNNNNNNNNNNNNNNNNNNNNNNNNNNNNNNNNNNNNNNNNNNNNNNNNNNNNNNNNNNNNNNNNNNNNNNNNNNNNNNNNNNNNNNNNNNNNNNNNNNNNNNNNNNNNNNNNNNNNNNNNNNNNNNNNNNNNNNNNNNNNNNNNNNNNNNNNNNNNNNNNNNNNNNNNNNNNNNNNNNNNNNNNNNNNNNNNNNNNNNNNNNNNNNNNNNNNNNNNNNNNNNNNNNNNNNNNNNNNNNNNNNNNNNNNNNNNNNNNNNNNNNNNNNNNNNNNNNNNNNNNNNNNNNNNNNNNNNNNNNNNNNNNNNNNNNNNNNNNNNNNNNNNNNNNNNNNNNNACAACUAUCUGAUUGUAUCCCGAAUAGCCAUCUAGGAAGUAGUAAUAUUCAUGUCCGGCUAGCUGCUCCAACAUUUGAUCAAUGAAAGGGAGUGGGAAAUUGAUCUUUCCAGUAGCGUUGUUCAACCUUCUAUAGUCAAUACACACUCUCCAUCCUGUAACCGUUCGUGUAGGAAUUAGCUCGUUCUUUUCAUUUGUGAUGACGGUCGUUCCACCCUUUUUUGGUACAACUUGGAAGGGACUCACCCAAGGGUUGUCUGAAAUGGGGUAAAUGAGACUGGCUUCUAGGAGCUUUACCACUUCUUUCCUAAUCACUUCUUUCAUUUCCAGAUUCAAUCUCCUUUGGGGUUGUACUACCGGUUUGUGAUUGUCCUCCAUUAGGAUUUUGUGCAUACAAAAAGUCGGACUUAUUCCCUUCAAGUCCUCAAUGGACCAACCGACAGCACCCUUAUGCUUCCGCAGAAUUCUCAACAACUUUACUUCUUGUAACUCACUCAAGCUUGCACUAAUUAUGAAUGGAUUCUUAUCUUCUUCACCUAGGAAUACAUAUUUCAAAUGAAGAGGCAACUGCUUGAGUUCAAUCAGUGGUGUCUUUUUCUCUGAGGGCUUAUCUUCAUUCCCUUUCAACUCCUCCCAUCUUGUAGGAAAACGGGGGGAAUAGGAUGGUGAUGCUUCCAACAUGGCCAGCCAAAACCUCUUUCAUCUUUGGAUCUUCACUUUCUUUGACAACAUCUGGGGGUAGGCAUAACACUUUUUCUAACAGCAAACUGGGUGUUUGAUGCUCUAUUUCUUCGUUGACUAUUUCAUCUAAGAUCUCGAUUCGAUCGCACCCUUCUCUUUCUUUUGAGUGUUCCAUGGCUUUCAGAAUGUUAAAAGUGACUGUUUCCUCGUUUACUUUUAAGGUUAAGGUGCCAUCUGCUACAUCAAUCAUAGCUCGCCCUGUUGCUAAGAAUGGUCUCCCCAAAAUCAAAGGAAUGUCAUUGUCUUCCUCCAUGUCUAGUACCACGAAAUCCACUGGAAAAAUUAACUUGUCCACUUUAACCAACACAUCUUCCACUACUCCAUAGGGGUGUUUCAUUGAGCUGUGUGUCUUUGACUUUUCCAAUGCCCAAUUUUUUGUAUAUGGAAAAGGGCAUAAGACUCACACUAGCCCCAAGAUCACACAACGCCUUCCCAAAAUUUCUAUUUCCAAUGGCGCAUGGGAUUGAGAAGCUUCCAGGAUCCUUGAGUUUCAGCGGCAGUUUUCUCUGUAGUAUAACACUACAUUCUUCGGUAAGCAUCACUGUUUCACCGCCGAUUUUUCUUUUCUUCGAUAGGAUCUCCUUCAUGAACUUGGCAUAUGUUGGCAUCUGUUCUAGUGCCUCUGCAAAAGGAAUGUUAAUCUGUAAUUUUUUAAAAACAUAAGGAACUUACCGAAUUGUUUUUCUGUUUCUUCCUUUUUUAAUCUUUGAGGAAACGAAAGUCGAAUUUCUGGUUUUGGCAGUGAUUCCCCUUUUUGUACCACAGGUUCGUCCUCUUUUUCAAGAGUGAUGUGCUCCUCUACUAAGGUCGGUGUGACUGUUUCCUCUAAGUGGGUUGAAAUUGAAGUACUUACACUUUGUUUGGCUUUAAGCGGUACUUGUUCACUUACCUUGCCAUUCCUUGUUGUCACGACAUUGACAUUAUUUCGCGGAUUCGGAACCGUGUCACUAGGCAAAUUUCCAGUCGUUCUUUGUGCCAUUUGUUGAGCAAGUUGACCCACUUGAGUUUCCAGAUUCUUUAUGGACGCAUAGUGAUUUUUCUAGAUGGCUCUUGACUCUUCAGUGAAAGAACUUGUGGUUGUCACUAAUUUCUCCAUAGCACUCUCCCAAGCAGCCUUUCUAGGUGGGAAUUGGUUUGUUUGAGCUCCUUGUUGACCCUAAGAACCACCUUGCUGAUCUCUCCAAGAAAAAUUUGGAUGAUUUCUGCAACCAGGGUUGUACGUACUAGAGUAGGGGUUAUUCUGCCUCCCGUUAUUACUAACAAAAUUCACCUGUUCUAGUUCUUCUAACUCAUUGUCAUCCAAAGUUUCACAAGCUCCAGUUUUAUGUGCUCCUCCACAAAGGUUACAGGUAGUCUGCUUUAGUAAUUUGAUAGGAGCAACUUGGGGUUGUAUAUUUAGAGUUGCUAUCCCCUUCUUUAUCUCAGUGGCGAUAACCUCUUCUAUCUAUUUUGAGAAUAACCUGCCUGGGGCCAAUCCAUCCAUAACAUUCAACUCCAAUACACCACUUGUUGAUCCACCACCUCUGUCAUACAACAUCAUUUGUUCAUUUCAUGCCAUGAUCUCAAUAAUCUUUCGUGCUUCUGUUGCUGUCUUGUAAUUGAAAGAACCACCUACUGUGGCAUCCAACAUAAUUUUAGUGCUCGGCUCAAACCAUUGCAGAAUAUUUGCAUUUGGGCAGUGUCGUCAUAAGCAUGAUUAGGACAUCCUGCUAGUAAGUUUCUAAAUCUCCUGUAAGUGUCACAGAGAGAUUUUCCCUCUUUCUGUUUGUAACUAGAAAUAUCUAUUCCAAGAACUUAUCUUCAAGAUCAUCCCAUGGGGUGAUGCUGUCGGCAGGAAAGGAAUUAAGCCACUCCUUAGCAUCUUCUGUCAAUGAAAAUGGAAACAGUUUCAUUCUCUUGCCUUCCUCAGACAAACCAUCCACCUUCACUGUUUCACAUAAUUCAAAGAAAUUUGUGAGAUGUCUAUUGGCAUCUUCGUUAUGUCUACCGGCAAAAUGAAUCCCCUUCAACUCUCGAUAUAGAGUGGGACUUAAUUCAAACUUGUUGACUGUAACCGGUUGGUUAUGGAUGGGCAAUCGAUCACGAUUUCUAUUUCGAAUCCCAUAUUCGCCGAGAGUACGUUCUGGUAGUGGUGGAUCGGCCAUCUCAGUAAUUAUGAUGGAAUCACCCAAAACCUCUUCUUCCAUUACUAAGUGUCUUUCCCUUUGUCUCCUUUCUCGAGCCGCCUUUCGAUGUGCUUUCACUGUUUUUUCGAUUUAUGGAUCAAAGAUAAGUUCAGCUGAGGACUGGCCUCACAUACAAGGUUAAACAAAUUAUGAGUAAUGAACAAUUAAAGAAAGAUAAAAAACUUGGUUAAAAUUAAAGAGUUUUAAACUAGAAUUUUUUUUAAUUUUUUUUCUUAUUAGAAAUAAAAUAAAACAAGAAAUUUUAUUGCAGAGCAAAAAAUUUCAAUUCAAUAAAUAAAUUAAAUUCAAUAGUGAUAUGGCAAUCCCCGGCAACAGCGACAAAAACUUGAUAGCGUUUCAGCAAGUGUACUGAAUCAUUGCAAGUAAUAAUAAAACGGUAGUACCGAGUGUCAAACUCAAGGAUUGUGUUUUACUAUUGAAUUAUAUUUAGUUACUAAAAUUGAAUAAAAAUGUCAGGGAUGAGUUUCACUUCGAAUCCAACCUUGGCGUCUAAUUUGAUCCUAAUUAUUGAAUUCCUUUAUUGAAUUAUUACAGAAUUCUCUUUAUUAUUGUUGCCCUAAUGUCUUAGUCACAUAAUCUUUAAUUCCAAAGUAACCCAUAAUUCCUUAGUAGAUUUAAGAUUAGAAUUAUGCAUUACCGUAUAGAAAUUCUGUUGUAAAUUAUUGCUUUGCAACAAGUUUAAUUGGUUUCAUGACCUGCACCUAUGUCUAGACUACAAAUUCAUGAAUUUCUCAUCUCAAGCAUCCGUAAAGUCCACUUCCGUUUCAAAAUACAAAUCGUAGAACAUUUUAAUGUUGAUCAAGCAAUAAAAAGCAUUAAGCACAGAGAUGAAAAAAAUAAUUCAAUAAACUCAUUCAUAUAACUAGAAAUCAAAUCAUAAAAAUAAGGGUUUCAUCUUGUUACACUCAUCCCUAACAAAUACGGUUUAGUUACUCAUGACAGAGAUACAAGAGAUAGAGAUUAGAGAAGAAUUACAAGAAGGAUUCAUGAAUGAUUCUUGAUAAAACUGCUCCAAUGAUGUUAGAAAUGACCGUCUUUGAGUUUCUAUGCUAGGGCACAAGUCUCCCAACUUCCCAAGAGUCAAAAACAUCCAUAAAACAGUGAAAAAUUGCAUUUUUAUGAAUGUUGAUGCGCGUCGCGCGCCCCAUGGUCAUGUUGAUUUCUCACCAAAAUUCAGCACUGCACUAAAACAAAAUGCAAUGUAAAAUUACGAAAAAUUCCUACUUAAUCAAUGAAAUAAAAACAAAGAACAUUUUCUUAACUCAAAUAACAAAAAUCAACAAAAUAUAUCAAAUAAAUCCUUAAUUUAACUAAUGAUUGAAGAUAAAUAAGACUAAAACAGUGGGAAAAUAUGCUUAUGAUGAAGAGUCAUCAUACACAUAACGCUUUCACAUAAUGUUUACAGCGCUUUUCGAGCGCUUUGGAUAUAAACUCUGUAAAAUAUAGCGUUCUCACAUAAUGUUUACAGUGUUUCUUAGAGUUCGUUGUAUACAAGCGUUGUAAAAUAUAGCACUUCCAAAUUAAGUUUACAGCGCUUUGUAUAUAAGCGCUGUAAAAUAUAGCGCUUUCACAUAAUUACAGGGUCUUUUAGAGCGCUUUAUUUAUAAGCCCUAUAAAAUGGUGCAUAUUUGAUAAAAAUGAUUCCCUUUAAAUAAAUAAAAACAUAUUUAAUACGUUUUCUCCCUAACCCUACAAUCCUCUUCUACUGUGCGAACCCUCCUAUACUGUGCGUCGUCUUCUCGCUGAACCCUCCUUUACUACUCCUCUAUUGUGUGCCCAUUUCUACUGAGUGAUUGUUGUCUCAGGUACUAUAUUUAUUAAUUUGUUGUUGUUAGUAAAAUUGAUAAAUUGUUACCUGAUAAAUCAUAUAAAAUGUUACCUGAUAGUAGAUGACAUAACCUUGAUAAAUCAUAUAAAUUAUUACCUGAUAAAUCAGAUAAAUUGUUACCUGAUAAGUCAAAUAAAUUAAUACUUUAUAAGUCAUAUAAAAUCUAUUCUUUUUUGAAAUCUGUUUGAUCUGUUCUGUUUUGAAAUCAGACUUGUAUGCAUAACCUUGGACCUUGGUUUCCAUUUUCCAAUAUUAGACUAUAUAUACUAUAGAUUGGUAUAGUGUUAUCAAUAGCUUAUCAUUUGUGUAACACUGCAUUCAGAUUGGUUAUAUAAAAUGGACCGAAAAUGAAUGUCUGCCAAUCGAUUGUCAAAAGAGUAUGAAAAUGUAGUGAAUGAGUUUGUUGAGUUUGCAGUGAAGAACGCAAAAGACCCAAAUCGAAUCAUUUGUCCUUGUUUAAAAUAUUGUUUUGGAAAAUGUGUUAAAGCAGAUCAAUUGGAAGGACAUUUAGUAUGGCAAGAAAUUGAUCAAAGCUAUACAUGUUGGAUAAGACACAGUGAGAAAUAAAAAGGAAAACACUAAUUUUGAGAAUGGUUCGACAUAUGCUUCAAAUGAUUUCGACACGGAUACAUAUGAGCGGGAUCGGGUUGAGGAGAUUGCAAAAGCAGUUGAAGAAGAUCUUCGAGAUUGUCCUAAAAUGUUUGAGAGUUUGUUGAGUGAUGUAGAGAAACCAUUAUAUAAUGGUUGUACUAAAUUCACAAGACUGUUUGCGAUAUUAAAGUUGUAGAACUUAAAAGAGAUUAAUGGAUGGUCUGAUAAAAGCUUCACAAAAUUAUUUACACUCCUAAAAGACAUGUUGCCAGAUAAUAAUUAACUUCCCAGUCGAACCCUCGAGGCUAAACGAGUUUUGUGCUAUAUUGGCAUGAGUUAUGAAAGGAUUCAUGCGUGCCCUAACGAUUGUAUUUUAUUUGGAAACGAAUAUGAAUUACUAAAGGGGUGCUCGAAAUGUGAUGUCUCUCGAUAUAAGAAGAAAUAAUCUACUCCAACAAAAGUCGUGUGGUCUUUUCCUAUAAUACCAAGAUUUAGGCGCAUAUAUCACAAUGAAGAAGAUUCAAAACACUUGACAUGGCAUGCAUAUGAAAUAAUUAGAGAUGGAAAGUUUCAACACCCUGCAGAUUCUCCACAAUGGACAAAAAUUAAUCACGAGUAUCCUUAUUUCGGGAGAGAGUCAAGAAAUCCACGACUUGCACUUUCUACUGAUGGAAUGAAUCCACAUGAUCUUCAAACACUCUCACAACACGUGGCAUGUGAUUUUGUUGAUUUAUAACCUACCUCCAUGGUUAUCUAUGAAGCUUAAGUUUAUGAUAUUGUUUCUAUUAAUUUUUGGACCCAAACAAUCGGGGAAUGAUAUCAACGAACACUUGAGUCCUUUAAUUGAAGAUUUAAAAAAUAUGUGGGAGACAUGUGUGGAAGUUUAUGAUGGGUAUAAGAAAUAAUGUUUCAAUUUGAGGGCUAUGUUGUUCGAUACAAUUAAUGAUUUUCUAGCAUAUGGUAAUUUAUCAAGAUAUAGCAUUAAAGGUCAAUGUGCAUGUCCUAUAUGUGAAGAGAGUACAAAUUGGAUGCGGUUGAAACAUUGUAAGAAGAACGUAUUUCUUGGACAUCGUAGAUUUUUACCUUUUAGUUAUCAUUAUCGUGGGUGGAGAAAUGCAUUCAAUCUUAAAUCAGAGGAAGGUACUGCUCCUUUAGCACCGACUAGAUAUCAAAUAUUUGAAAAAGUGCAAGGUUUGACCAAUAAAUUUGACAAACUUUUGUGGGAGAGCUUGUCAAAACUGGGUGGAAGAAAAAGUCAAUUUUCUUUGAAUUUCCAUAUUGGAAGUCAUUGUAUAUAAGACAAUUUCUCGAUGUGAUGCAUAUUGAAAAAAAUGUAUUUGAUAUUGUUAUUGAUACGUUACUCAAUGUGUCAGGAAAGUCUAAGGAUGGCAUCAAUGCAAGAUUGAACUUGGUCGAUAUGGGAAUAAGAAAUGAAUUAGGCCCCGUAAAGAAAGGAAAUCGCACAUUUCUACCUCCAGCCGCUCAUACUCUAUUUAGAAAGGAAAAAAAAUUAUGUAAAUUUCUACACGAAGUUAAAGUUCUAGAACGACACUCUUCAAACAUUAAACAUUUAGUUUGUAUGAAAGACCUCAAGUUAAAAGGUUUGAAGACCCAUGAUUGUCAUGUUCUAAUGGAGCAUUUGCUAUCAAUAGGUAUACAUUCUAUUUUACCUGAAAAAGUUCAACGAGCCAUAACUAAAUUAUGUUUCUUCUUCAAGGAAAUUUGUAGUAAAGUGAUCGAUCCUCAGAAAUUACCAAACUUGCAGAAGGAAAUUGUUGUUACUUUGUGUGAGCUUGAAAUGUAUUUCCCACCCUCAUUUUUUGAUAUAAUGGUUCACCUUAUUGUUCAUCUUCUUAAGGAGACACAAUUUUGUGGGUCAACUUAUAUGAGAUGGAUGUAUUCGAUAAAACGAUAUAUGAAAAUAUUAAAAGGGUACGUAAAAAGUAGAAGUCGACUAGAAGGUUGUAUUGCUGAAUUUUCUACUGAAUAUCUUUCCAAUGUUGAAUCCAUAGGGCUUCCCAUGUCUCUUCAUUCGGGAAGAAUAACAGGAGAAUGGAUAAUUGAAAAGAGAGUAAUGACUUUAUCAAGGACAAAAUGGGAGAAGACACAAUUAUAUGUUAUGCACAAUGAUGAUGAUGUUCAAUCUUAUGUUACAAUACACAUGGAUCAACUAUCUAGUUUGUAGAUGCAUAGGAAUCAAAAUUGGAUAACACGAGAGCACAAUUGAAGUUUUAUAACAUGACUAAAAAAUCACAUUAACUCAAAGUUUGAUAUAGACCCCGGUUCAAUUUUCAUUGAGAUUGAGGUGGCUAGCAAAUGAUCCGAUUUUACAUGUAUUUUCUUACACCGGUUAUGUAAUUAACGGCUACACAUUUAAUACCAAAGAACAAUAUGAUAAAACCACUAUGCAAAAUAGCGGAGUCACUCUCAUAGUUGAAGCGAUGCAUAUCUCAAGUGCAAAAGACAAAACCUCAAUAUAUGCAAAUCUAUCAUAUUUUGGGGGUUAUUGAGCACAUAUGGAGUUAGAUUACACAAUGUUUCGUGUUCCCAUAUUUGGUUGCAAAUGGGUCGAUAAUAAUAAUGGCGUUCGGAAUGAUGAGUCAAGGUUCUUGCUUGUCGAUUUUAAUAGGGUGAAAUACAAAGACGAGCCUUUUAUUUUAGCAUCGCAAGCUCAACAAGUGUUUUAUGUCACUGAUCCUGCUGAUGAUAAAUGGUCCAUUGUCCUAUCGACCAAUAAAAUAAGUGAUGAUAACAAUAACGAUGAAGAUGUUGGUAAUGAUCUUUCCUUUGCAACAUCACAACCACGUGAAAUUUAUUCAACUGAUGAUGGUUUAUAUCUUAGAGAUGAUCAAGAUGAGGGAAUUUGGAUCAAUCCAUCGUUUUGUAUUGUUAAGGGACAAACAAAUGUGAAUCCCACCAGGAAUAGAAGAAGGGCAUCUUAAGGUGUUUGAGAGUUUUAUAUAGGCCAUGUAAUUUGAACUCAUCAUAUAAUUUAUACUAAGUUCAUGUAACCUGAAUUGCCAUAACUAAUUUCAUGUAAUUUAUACUUAGCAAUCUGUUUGACAUGCCAGAACUGAGCAUUUAGCAUUUAGCUUGAACUGUAUUUGAUUUUAUGCUUAUACUGAUUUUCUGCUUAUAUUGAAAUUGAACUAACUUGAACUCGAAAAAGCUAUGUUUGGCGGUGAAUUUUUCUUGAACUUGAAAUGAUCCCAAUCUAAACUGAUCGUGUAAUUUAGCAUUGAAAGAAAAAAAAUCCAAAUAUAGGUAUUUUGCAUAAACUUAACUUAAAUUGUAAUUUAGCAAUUAGCAUUGAUAUAUACGUAUUUAGCAUUUUACAGAAACUGAACUGAAAUUGUAAUUUAGCAUAUUUAACUUGAACUGAAUUGAACAUAACUUGUAAUUUUACUGCGCUUUUUGUCCAUAAGCACUGUAAAAGACUUUUAAAAAUUAAAUUACAAAUCAUUUACAGCGUUUUUUAUCUAUAAGCGUUGUAAAAUACUUUUAAAAUUAAAUUAUAAAUUAUUUACAACACUUGUUCUAUAAGCGCUUUAAAAGGCUUUUAAAAAUUAAAUUACAAAUUAUUUACAGUGUUUUUUGUCCAUAAGCGCUAUAAAAGGCUUUUAAAAAUUAAAUUACAAAUAAUUUACAUCGCUUGUUCUAUAAGCAUUGUAAACUUCUCAUAUAGAGCCUUUUAUAUAGUCUUUUAAAGCGCUUUUUAUAUAGUCUUUUAAAGCGCUUUUUGUAGAAGCGCUAUAAUACGUUAGGUCUUUUAAAGCGCUUUUUGGACAAGCACGGUUAAAUGGUUUUUAAGUUAACUGAUAAUAAAAAAUCGCUUCGUUUUCCUAUUCAUUACAUACUCUCCCUAAGAACUUGGUAAUGCGAAACCUCCUCAUUUUCCUCUUCAUUACUUACUCUCCAUUUUCUUUACACUCCAUACGAACCCUACUAACCCUCUUCUCCCUAAUGUGAACCCUCUUUACUACUAUCCAUACAAAUCCUCUCUAUACGAACCCUACUGAUACUCUUCUAACUAGUGCACCCUUUUCUCGUUGUUCCCUGCCAUUUCUACUUAAACAAAGUCGUAACCCUAAACUCAGUGAUUGUUGUUGUCAGGUAUAGUAUUUAUUAAUUUGUUGUUGUCACUAAACUGAAUGUUGAACUUAUACAGCUAUUUAGACUAUUUGAUGUUAAACUUGUUGAACUUAUACUGAACUUAUAAUUAUACUGUGUGAAAUGUAUAGAUAAAUGGAUUCCAAUAAUGAUUUAAAUCGUCAAAAUGAUGAAGUUGUCAAUACUAAGAGUUGUGAAAAUGAAGUUAAACGCGGGGAAACUAUUAUACAAAAGGUCAUCCAAGCAAGAAAUAAUGGAAUUAAAUUUGAGGUAUACUGUUUAGAUUUUUUUUUUUAUCUUUUCUGAAAACAUGCACUUACUCUAUGAGUUUAUUAGAUGGGAUGGAAUCAAAGUGGCCAACCAAUUGAGUCCAACAGUUCAAUGAUGGUAAGUUACAUUGGUGUAGUUGUUCGUCAAAAUAUCCCAAUAACAAUUGAUGAUUGGAGAGAUAAAGCUUUGAAGGAUGAUAAAGAUAUACUGUGGAAUGAUAUACAAGAAACUUUUUUACUCCACUUUUUUGUUACUUAGAAUUUUUUCCAUUGAAAUACUUUUACUCAAACUCUAUCUUUAUUUGGGUUGCAAUCUGUAAGACCCAUAAUUUUAAAGUACCAUUUAUGUAUUUUUGGUGUAUUUUGGAUUUUGGCUCGGAGGCUUUUAAGCCAAAGUUAAUAAUAUUUUGGAGUUUUAUAAUCAAAAAGAUAUUUUGAUGCCAAUUAAAAUUUCUCGUCGAUAAAUAAAUUGAAAUUAACUGCGGUAAAUACUUUACGGUUAAUUUAAGGCGUUUCGGGUGAAANNNNNNNNNNNNNNNNNNNNNNNNNNNNNNNNNNNNNNNNNNNNNNNNNNNNNNNNNNNNNNNNNNNNNNNNNNNNNNNNNNNNNNNNNNNNNNNNNNNNNNNNNNNNNNNNNNNNNNNNNNNNNNNNNNNNNNNNNNNNNNNNNNNNNNNNNNNNNNNNNNNNNNNNNNNNNNNNNNNNNNNNNNNNNNNNNNNNNNNNNNNNNNNNNNNNNNNNNNNNNNNNNNNNNNNNNNNNNNNNNNNNNNNNNNNNNNNNNNNNNNNNNNNNNNNNNNNNNNNNNNNNNNNNNNNNNNNNNNNNNNNNNNNNNNNNNNNNNNNCUCGCGGUACCGGAAACGCACGUUAAAGCUAACAUUAAGGUAAGGGCUCCUUCCAAACUUUUAGUUUGCAUUUAGGGACUUAUCUGUGGUUGUCUGGGAAGGAAUUUGUUAGGGUUUAAUGUAUCGAUUUGGGGAAAAACGAAUCUAAUGAGUUAUGGGUAAAACCUUAGAGUUAGGUUUUGGGAUGUAUUUGGGUGUUAUGUUGUGUUGAUUUGUGUUCGUCGUAUUUGGCGUGUUCAUACUUGAUGUUUGUUGAUUGAUGUGUUUUGGUGUGAAUUAUGGAUUGAAUGUGAGAGUAUAUUUGAGUUUGUUUCUGUGGAAUUUGAAAACCAUUAGAGUUAAACGAGUAUUAAAAAUGGGGAAUCUUUUAAUACCUCGGUUUACUUAAUGUGCGUUUGAGGAAAAUGUUUAAGUUAACUGGACGUUAAGAAUGGGGAAUCUCUUAAUGUCUCGGUUACUUAAUGCUUGUUUUUGAAAAUCGUUUCAGUAAAUGAGAAUUAAGAAUGGGGAAUCUCUUAAUGUCUUGUUUACUGAAUGUUUUGUAUGGAAAUCGUUUAAGUCACAAGUAUAUUAAGAAUGGGGAAUCUCUUAAUAUGUCUGUUUGCUUAACGUUUUGUUUUGAAAAUCAUUAAGAUAAAUCAGUAUUAAGAAUGGGGAAUCUCUUAAUGACUUAUUUAUUUAAUGUUGUUUUGAAAAUCGCUUAAGUCAACUGGGCGUUAAGAAUGGGGAAUCUCUUAAUGUCUUGGUUACUUAAUGUUGGUUGUGAAGGUCGUUUAAGUUAAAUGGGUAUUAAAAAUGGGGAAUCUUUUAAUAUCUGCAUUUGCUUAACGAUUGUUGUGGAUGGAGUCUGUGUAUGCUCAUGCAUUUCAUUUUGGUAAAUUGUGUUGACCCGUGAUAGGUGACACCUUGGUAAACUGUACUGACCCGUGAUAGGUGGUACGUUUACGAUUUACAUUUUNNNNNNNNNNNNNNNNNNNNNNNNNNNNNNNNNNNNNNNNNNNNNNNNNNNNNNNNNNNNNNNNNNNNNNNNNNNNNNNNNNNNNNNNNNNNNNNNNNNNNNNNNNNNNNNNNNNNNNNNNNNNNNNNNNNNNNNNNNNNNNNNNNNNNNNNNNNNNNNNNNNNNNNNNNNNNNNNNNNNNNNNNNNNNNNNNNNNNNNNNNNNNNNNNNNNNNNNNNNNNNNNNNNNNNNNNNNNNNNNNNNNNNNNNNNNNNNNNNNNNNNNNNNNNNNNNNNNNNNNNNNNNNNNNNNNNNNNNNNNNNNNNNNNNNNNNNNNNNNNNNNNNNNNNNNNNNNNNNNNNNNNNNNNNNNNNNNNNNNNNNNNNNNNNNNNNNNNNNNNNNNNNNNNNNNNNNNNNNNNNNNNNNNNNNNNNNNNNNNNNNNNNNNNNNNNNNNNNNNNNNNNNNNNNNNNNNNNNNNNNNNNNNNNNNNNNNNNNNNNNNNNNNNNNNNNNNNNNNNNNNNNNNNNNNNNNNNNNNNNNNNNNNNNNNNNNNNNNNNNNNNNNNNNNNNNNNNNNNNNNNNNNNNNNNNNNNNNNNNNNNNNNNNNNNNNNNNNNNNNNNNNNNNNNNNNNNNNNNNNNNNNNNNNNNNNNNNNNNNNNNNNNNNNNNNNNNNNNNNNNNNNNNNNNNNNNNNNNNNNNNNNNNNNNNNNNNNNNNNNNNNNNNNNNNNNNNNNNNNNNNNNNNNNNNNNNNNNNNNNACUAAAAACCUUCAGGAAAUCGAUUUGGAAAUCGAUUGGUAUUAAGUCAGGGGCUUAGUCAUCCUGUCAAUCGAUUGCCAAAUCGAUUGAUUCAGCCCAGGAUUCUGUUUUCAUUAAAAACCUUCACCCCAAUCGAUUUCCCAAUCGAUUGGCUCAGUGAAAAUCCUCAGUUUGAGUUAGAUGAUUGAUUACUCAUUAACUUAUCCAUGUCUUGUUUUGUUAUGUGUUAAUUAGGAGAUUGAGAACUUCAUUUUACUUUCAUUUUUAAUUGGCAAAGUAUUGUAUGAACUUUUCGCAUAUUGGAAAUCCUGUUAAGGUGCAUGCUUAGUUGAAAAGUUAUUUUGAGCAUUUAAAAACUUAAUUGCUAUGUGUUAACUGUUAUUUUUUGGUUGGUGACCCUUUACAACUAUUGUGGAAAUCUGGGCUUUGCCCUCAGAUGAGAGUCAGGACGGUCCUACCGGUUCGUACCCUACGGACGGGAAUGGAGAUGGGAACGCGUGACUGCAGUUACGUUAGGAGGAUCUCACGGGGCGCGUGGAGAUACUCAGGGUGUAUAGCUUUUUGGUAGGAUGAUCAGAUUAGGAUGAUGUAUAGGGACUAGGUGUCCUUCUUUUUGGUUUGGAGUAUUUUUAGUUUGGAAAAUUGUACUUAUACUAAUAUUGUCAGUUUGACAUCUCAUUUGAAUGGGUUACUUGUACCAUUUGUUGCUGUGUAAAUGGUUUGGAUUUAUAAUUGGAGAAACUUUUCCGCUGUUUGUAAAUAAUAAUGACUCAAUUAUUUAUCCAAAGACAUUUCUUUAUUUAUUUCUCUGUUUCAGUUUAAUUACUUUUGAAAAAAAAAAAAAUACACCAUCGCUUUGAAAAACGGGGUGUUACAUUAUGGUAUCAGAGCAUAGGUUUGGUUUUCUUUGGAGGCUGUGGAACCUUGGUUAUAGAUUGUAGGUCGACCUAUAAGUUGGGAAUUGUUAUCUGAUCAUGUGUCGGUUUAGGUGACUUGAGUUGUCAAGUCCAAUAUAAUUAUUAUGCGUUGUUAUAGUCGGACGUUAGUUUGGAAUUAUUUGAAGUAGUGUUAAGACUCUACUUGAUGAUGGUUUUAUAGGAAACCAUGCCGCCAAGAAGGAAUGACGCUCCGAGAGACAACGCUAAUAGGAAUGAUCAAAUGGCAGAGGCUAUGAAUAACAUGGCUGCUUCUGUCGCCGCACAGACUGCUGCCAAGACUCAACGGGAUCUUGAAAAGAGGGGAAGAGAGAUCCGUGCUGCAGAGUCAAGAGGGUUAGAAGACUUCCGUCGUUACAAUCCUCCUAAGUUCAAAGGGGAUGAGGGUUCAGAGAAGGCGGAUCAAUGGAUCCAAGAAGUGGAGAAAAUCUUUGACAUGAUAAAGUGUCAGGCGGGAGUGAAGGUCAGCUAUGCCACUUAUAUGCUGUUGGGGGAUGCUGAGUACUGGUGGAGGAGUGCAAGGUUAUUGAUGGGAGCAGCCCACGAGGAGGUGAACUGGGAAUCGUUCAAAAGAAAGUUUUUAGACAAAUACUUUCCGAUGAGUACCAGGACUAAGUUGGGUGACGACUUUCUGAAACUUCACCAGGGGAGCAUGACUGUGGGCGAGUAUGCUGCUAAAUUUGAAUCACUAUCGAGGCACUUCAGGUUCUUCCGGGAAGAAAUUGAUGAACCAUUCAUGUGUCAUCGUUUCCAAGACGGAUUGAAGUAUGAGAUUCAAGAUUCCGUCUUACCCUUGGGAAUUCAACGUUUCCAAGCGCUGGUGGAGAAAUGUAGAGAAGUGGAAGAUAUGAAGAACAAGAGGGCUAGCCGAGUAGGGAAUUUUAAUUCGGGAGGCCCUAGUCGGGCGAAUUAUCAGAACAAGGGGAAGCAAGUUGCUAAACCUUAUAAUCGACAAUAAGAGGGCUAGCCGAGGAGGGAAUUUUAAUUCGGGAGGCCCUAGUCGGGUGAAUUAUCAGAACAAGGGGAAACAAGUUGCUAAACCCUAUGAUCGACCACGAACUAACAGCGGUGGGCAGAAUCGCCCGGGGAACCAGAAUUUCGAGAGACAACUGGGACGAGUGGUCCGAUGUUUCCGUUGUGGGGAAGAGGGACAUUAUGCUAAUGCUUGUACCCCUAACACUCUCACCUGCUACACUUGCCAGAAGCCAGGACACAUGGCGAAGGAUUGCACGGCUCCAAAGGUGGAACCAGUUGUGAAUGCAGCUAGGGCUACCCGUCCUACUGCUAGAGGGCACAUUUAUUGUGUGAGUGCUGAAGAGGGGAAUCCAACUGGUAAUCUGAUUCAGCGUGACUGUGAGAUUGCAGGUAACACUCUAACUGCACUCUUUGAUUCGGGGCAACCCAUUCCUUCAUUGCUAUGGAUUGUGUGAAUCGCUUGAAGUUAUCUGUGUCUGCCUUACCUUUUGAUUUGGUUGUUUCCACACCUGCUAAGACUUUGACAGUGAAUUCUGCAUGUUUACAUUGUCAAAUGACUAUUCAGAAUAGGGAUUUCUUGGUUAAUUUAAUUUUUUUACCGCUACAAUCACUCGAGGUCAUCCUCGGUAUGGAUUGGAUGUCUUACCAUUAUGUGAUCUUGGAUUGUGCUCGUAAAUUGGUUCUUUUCCCCGAACCAGGAGUUGUUAAAUAUUUAACUGCUAACAAACUCCGAGUGUCGCUAAGUGAAGGGACUGAUGAGUUUUUGUCGCUGGCUAAUGUGGAGGCGAAGAUAAAUGUGAACAUAGAGGAUGUGAUGCUUGUCAAUGAGUAUCGGGAUGUGUUUCCGACGGAAAUCCCAGGAUUGCCACUGGUAAGAGAAGUGGAAUUCUUCAUUGAUUUGCACCCAGGAACGGGACCUAUUUCAAUGGCACCUUAUCGAAUGUCGCCAUUGGAAUUAAAUGAGCUCAAAAGCCAAAUUGAAACCAAGUGUAUCACCAUGGGGUGCUCCAGUUUUGCUAGUUAAGAAGAAGGACGGAAGCUCGCGCGUAUGUGUGGAUUAUAGACAGCUUAACAAGGCAACUAUUAAGAAUCGUUAUCCCUUGCCACGAAUCGAUGAUUUGAUGGAUCAAUUGAGAGGGGCCGCGAUAUUUUCGAAGAUUGACUUGAAGUCGGGUUACCAUCAGAUUCGAGUAAGGGAAGGAGACAUUCAGAAAACAGNNNNNNNNNNNNNNNNNNNNNNNNNNNNNNNNNNNNNNNNNNNNNNNNNNNNNNNNNNNNNNNNNNNNNNNNNNNNNNNNNNNNNNNNNNNNNNNNNNNNNNNNNNNNNNNNNNNNNNNNNNNNNGCGGUUCUUGCUUGGAGACAGCCUCAGACUGUCACUGACAUACGAAGUUUUGUGGGACUGGCAGGGUACUACAGGAGGUUUAUCGGAGGUUUUGCUAAGAUUGUGGCUCCACUGACACAACUUACCAGAAAAGAUCAACCGUUCGCAUGGACGGAGAAGUGUGAAGAAAACUUCCAGUUACUAAAGAGAAAAUUGACGACCUCACCUGUAUUGGUAUUACCGCAAUCAGAAGAACCCUAUGAAGUUUAUUGUGAUGCAUCUCACCAAGGGUUAGGAUGUGUUCUGAUGCAACACAAGAAAGCUGUGGCUUAUGCCUCAAGACAAUUGAAGAUUCAUGAGAGAAACUAUCCUACCCAUGAUUUGGAGCUUGCCGCAGUUGUUUUCGCAUUGAAGAUCUGGAGGCACUAUUUAUAUGGGUGCACAUUCACCGUGUUCAGUGACCAUAAAAGCUUGAAAUAUUUGUUUGAUCAGAAGGAGUUGAACAUGCGCCAGAGACGAUGGAUGGAGACUCUCAAGGACUUUGAUUUCACACUGCAGUACCACCCUGGGAAGGCCAAUGUAGUGGCUGAUGCAUUGAGCAGAAGAAGUGUAUCGGUGUCUUCAAUAAUUAUGGCUAGACAACAAGAGUUGUGGGAAGCUUUUAGAGACUUGCACUUGAACGUAGAAGCUUUUAGAGACCUACACUUGAACGUAGAGUUUGCACCGGGAAUUUUGAAAUUCGGAAUGAUUAAGAUCUCGAGUGGACUACUUGAGGACAUUGCAAAUUCUCAAGAUGACGUCUUAAUUCAAGAGAAGAGGAAUAUAAUAGUGCAAGGGAAGACGACUGAGUUCAAGAUUGGGGCAGAUAAUAUUUUGCGGUGUAAUGGUAGGAUUUGUGUACCAGCCAUUACAGAUAUGCGGAAAACGAUUUUAGAAGAGGCGCAUAAGAGUAAGCUGAGUAUUCAUCCUGGGGCAACAAAGAUGUAUCAGGAUUUGAGGCAGAAUUAUUGGUGGCCAGGAAUGAAGAAACAUGUGGCGGAAUAUGUAUCCACUUGUCUAACUUGUCAGAAAGCGAAGGUGGAACAUCAGCGACCUGUUGGGAUGUUGCAACCUUUGGAUAUACCUGAAUGGAAGUGGGACAACAUUUCCAUGGAUUUUAUAACCGGAUUGCCAAAGACAAGGAAGAAGAAUGAUUCUAUAUGGGUGAUAGUGUACCGACUGACUAAAUCUGCUCACUUUGUGCCGGUAAGGACCACCUAUAAGGUAGAUCAGCUAACAGAGAUUUACAUUGCUGAAAUUAUGAGGUUACACGGGGUACCAUCGAGCAUUGUAUCAGACCGUGAUCCGAAGUUCACAUCACAUUUAUGGGGAGCAUUGCACGAAGCAUUGGGAACGAAGCUACGAUUGAGUUCAGCUUACCAUCCACAAACGGACGGACAGACUGAAAGGACGAAUCAGUCCUUGGAAGAUCUGUUGAGAGCAUGUGUACUAGAUGAUAGGGGAAGCUGGGAUGAUGUACUUCCGUUGAUUGAGUUCACUUACAACAAUAGUUUCCACGCGACGGUGAAAAUAUGAUUGUCGGACCAGAGAUGGUGCAACAGACCACAGCUAAGGUAAGGAAGAUCAAGGAGAAAAUGAAGACUUCACAAGAUCGUCAGAAGAGUUACGCGGACAAGCGUCGCAGACUUUUGGAAUUCGAACAGGGUGACCAUGUAUUUCUGAGAGUCACACCUACUACUGGAGUAGGUAGAGCCUUGAAAUCGAAGAAGUUGACUCCGAAAUUCAUUGGACCAUAUCAGAUUUCUGCACGAAUUGGGCCGGUUGCUUAUCGGAUUGCAUUACCUCCGAUACUGUCCAAUAUUCAUGACGUGUUUCACGUUAAAGCUAACGUUGAGGUAAGGGCUCCUUCCAAACUUCUAGCUUGCAUUAGGGACUUAUCUGUAGUUGUGUGGGAAGGAAUUUGUUAGGGUUAAAUGUAUCGAUUUGGGGAAAAACGAAACUAGUGCGUUAUGGGUAAAAACCUUAGAGUUAGGUUUUGUUUAUAGUGAUGAAUGUUUCGUGGUAAAUGAAUUUGAAUGUCAUUGUGUAUGAUUAUGGGUAAAUGAAAUUUGAUGUAUCUGGGUGUUAUGUUGCGUGAUUUGUGUUCGUUGUAUUUGGUGUGUUCGUACUUGAUGUUUGUUAAUUGGUGUGGUUGUUGUGAAUUAUGGUUUGAAUGUGAAAGUAUGUUUGAAUUUGUUUCUGUGGAAUUUGAAAACCAUUAGAGUUAAACGAGUAUUAAAAAUGGGGAAUCUUUUAAUACCUCGGUUUACUUAAUGUGUAUUUGAGGAAAAUGUUUAAGUUAACUGGGCGUUGAGAAUGGGGAAUCUCUUAAUGUCUCGGUUACUUAACUAUCGUUUUUGAAAAUCGUUUCGGUAAAUGAGUAUUAAGAAUGGGGAAUCUCUUAAUGACUCGUUUACUGAAUGUUUUGCGAGAAAAUCGUUUAAGUCAAAAGUAUAUUAAGAAUGGGGAAUCUCUUAAUGACUCGUUUACUGAAUGUUUUGCGAGAAAAUCGUUUAAGUCAAAAGUAUAUUAAGAAUGGGGAAUCUCUUAAUGACUCGUUUACUGAAUGUUUUGCGAGAAAAUCGUUUAAGUCAAAAGUAUAUUAAGAAUGGGGAAUCUCUUAAUAUGACUGUUUGCUUAACGUUUUGUUUUGAAAAUCAUUAAGUUAAAUCGGUAUUAAGAACGGGGAAUCUCUUAAUGACUUAUUUAAUUAAUGUUGUUUGAAAGUCGUUUCGGUAAAUGAGUAUUAAGAAUGGGGAAUCUCUUAAUAUGACUGUUUGCUUAACGUUUUGUUUUGAAAAUCAUUAAGUUAAAUCGGUAUUAAGAACGGGGAAUCUCUUAAUGACUUAUUUAAUUAAUGUUGUUUGAAAGUCGUUUAAGUUAAAUGGGUAUUAAAAAUGGGGAAUCUUUUAAUAUCUGCAUUUGCUUAACGAUUGUUGUGAAUGGAGUCUGUGUAUGCUCAUGCAUUUCAUUUGGUAAAUUGUGUCGACCCGUGAUAGGUGACACCUUGGUAAACUGUGCUGACCCGUGAUAGGUGGUACGUUUACGAUUUACUUUUUGGUAAAUCGUGUUGACCCGUGAUAGGUGACACCUUGGUAAACUGUACUGACCCGUGAUAGGUGGUACGUUUACGAUUUACUAUUUAGUAAUUCGUGUUGACCCGUGAUAGGUGACACCUUGGUAAACUGUACUGACCCGUGAUAGGUGGUACGUUUACGAUUUACUAUUUAGUAAUUCGUGUUGACCCGUGAUAGGUGACACCUUGGUAAACUGUACUGACCCGUGAUAGGUUGUACGUUUACGAUUUACUAUUUAGUAAUUCGUGUUGACCCGUGAUAGGUGACACCUUGGUAAACUGUACUGACCCGUGAUAGGUGGUACGUUUACGAUUUACGUUUUUGGUAAAUUGUGUUGACCCGUGAUAGGUGACACCUCGGUAAACUGUACUGACCCGUGAUAGGUGGUACGUUUACGAUUUACGUUUUUGGUGAAUUGUGCUGACCCGUGAUAGGUGGCACCUCGGUAAACAGUACUGGUCUGUGAUAGGCGGUACGUUUACGAUUCCCGCUUUUUCUUUUAGUAAAUCGUGUUGACCCGUGAUAGGUGACACCAUGGUAACUGUACUGACCCGUGAUAGGUGGUACAUUUACGAUUUACAUUUUUGGUGGAUUGUGCUGACCCGUGAUAGGUGGCACCUCGGUAAACAGUACUGGUCUGUGAUAGGCGGUACGUUUACGAUUCCCGCUUUUUCUUUUAGUAAAUCGUGUUGACCCGUGAUAGGUGACACCAUGGUAACUGUACUGACCCGUGAUAGGUGGUACAUUUACGAUUUCCGCUUUUUCUUUUAGUAAAUCGUGUUGACCCGUGAUAGGUGACACCAUGGUAACUGUACUGACCCGUGAUAGGUGGUACAUUUACGAUUUCCGCUUUUUCUUUUAGUAAAUCGUGUUGACCCGUGAUAGGUGACACCUCGGUAAACUGUACUGACCCGUGAUAGGUGGUACGUUUAUGAUUUACGCAUUUUAGUAAAUCGUGCUGACCCGUGAUAGGUGGCACCUCGGUAAUUGGUACUUUGGCCUGCGAUAGGCGGUACAAUUAUGAUUUACGGCCCUUCGAGGAGGGUUUUGGUUUGGAAUUCCGAGUCCAUGCAUUUUGGCAUAUACGCAUUGCAUUAGGGUGCUUGGCACGCGAGUCGUAAUUGAUUUGAGUUUAUGAUUGAGUGAUUUGAAUUUUGAUUUAUCGUGGUAAUUAUGUUGAAGGUGCUAAGUGUUAUGUGUUGGUUAUUGGGUGUAAGUAUGAUGGUUGUCGAGAUCCCAAUUGCCGUGGUAAUUGCGUUGAAAAUGCUAAGUGUCGAGAUCCCAAUUGUCGUGGUAAUCGCGUAGGAAUCGCUAAGUGUUAGGUUGUGAACUUGAUUAGGAAUGACUUGGGUUAAUUCAUGAAUUUUUGGAAAAAUGAUGAGGGAAAUCGAUUUCCCAAUCGAUUGGAUGGAAGUCAGGGACUUGGCCAAAUGGACAAAAUCGAUUAGACAAAUGAUUUUGUAAUCAGUUUUCNNNNNNNNNNNNNNNNNNNNNNNNNNNNNNNNNNNNNNNAGGAAAUCGAUUUGGAAAUCGAUUGGUAUUAAGUCAGGGGCUUAGUCAUCCUGUCAAUCGAUUGCCAAAUCGAUUGAUUCAGCCCAGGAUUCUGUUUUCAUUAAAAACCUUCACCCCAAUCGAUUUCCCAAUCGAUUGGCUCAGUGAAAAUCCUCAGUUUGAGUUAGAUGAUUGAUUACUCAUUAACUUAUCCAUGUCUUGAUUUGUUAUGUGUUAAUUAGGAGAUUGAGAACUUCAUUUUACUUUCAUUUUUAAUUGGCAAAGUAUUGUAUGAACUUUCGCAUAUUGGAAAUCCUGUUAAGGUGCAUGCUUAGUUGAAAAGUUAUUUUAAGCAUUUAAAAACUUGAUUGCUAUGUGUUAACUGUUAUUUUUUGGUUGGUGACCCUUUACAACUAUUGUGGAAAUCUGGGCUUUGCCCUCAGAUGAGAGUCAGGACGGUCCUACCGGUUCGUACCCUACGGACGGGAAUGCAGAUGGGACAGCGUGACUGCAGUUACGUUAGGAGGAUCUCACGGGGCGCGUGGAGAUACUCAGGGUGUAUAGCUUUUUGGUAGGAUGAUCAGAUUAGGAUGAUGUAUAGGGACUAGGUGUCCUUCUUUUUGGUUUGGAGUAUUUUUAGUUUGGAAAACUGUACUUAUACUAAUAUUGUCAGUUUGACAUCUCAUUUGAAUGGGUUCCUUGUACCAUUUGUUGCUGUGUAAAUGGUUUGGAUUUAUAACUGGAGAAACUUUUCUGCUGUUUGUAAAUUAUAAUGACUCAAUUAUUUAUCCAAAGGCAUUUCUUUAUUUAUUUCUCUAUUUCAGUUUAAUUACUUUUGAAAAAAAAAAAUACACCCUCGCUUUGAAAAACGGGGUGUUACACAAUCAGCUUUUAACGAUGAUGUGCAAAAAAAUAAUGUGCUUAGAGUUUUCGGAAAAAUACAGAGGAUUUAGAUCUCAUAUAUCAUAUUGCUACUUAGAAGAUUGUGAUGGAAAUUUGAAUGUUGAAGCUCUAAAAUAUACAAACACUACAUAUCAAAUGAAGAGUGGAGCACUUUUGUAGCUAAACGUGCAGACCCCGCUUUUGUGGUAAUAUUAAUUUAUUACCAUUUGUGUUUUAUUCAUAAUCAUAGCGUAUUUUUUACAUGAUCGAUAAUAUUUUUUUUAUAUAGAGUAUAAGUAUGGCAAAUCGCGAGAGAGCAACAAAUCCAAUGCAUCCAUACAAAAAAUUGCAUUUGGGGUAUGCACAUUUAGAGCAAAAAAUUGUAAGUAAUCAUCACUUUUAUACAAUGUAGUAGAUUAUAAACUAUAGUUUUUAACUAAUAUUUUAUUUAUAUCUUAACGAAUAGAUUCAAGAGACAAAAUCCGAUCAACCAUUAGAUCGUCAUAUUUUAUGGAAGGAGACUCGUUUGAAUAAGGAUGGAAUAGUUGAUAAUGAAAAUGUUAUCACUUUAAUAAUUUUUUAACAUUAUCUUUUAAAAAUGAUAUUGAACUUAUCUUUUUAAUACUACAUGUAUUUUAGGAGAAUCUAGAACAAUGUUUUAAAAAUCCAGAGGAGAAUAAACAAGUUAGUUGUAGGGACAUACUUGAUAAGGUAUUUAAUGUUCCUGAAUAUUUUGGCCGUGUGAGGGGUACAUGAUUUGGCAUAACUCCAAAAUGUUAUUUUUCACAUGAGAAGCGCACAAAUUCAUCUAAUGAGGAAGUGCUAGAUAAGCUGAAAAUCCUAACAGAGCAAGUUGCAUUUUUGGUGAAAAAGAAUAAGGAAAAGCAACUUCCAGAGUGUCAGCUUGAAAUACAACUAGAUAGUGAAAAUGAUAGUUGCAACAUUGACCGUAAAAGUCCUCCAGAGGGAAUUAAUUACUUAGUGAAAUAAGAAAUUUAUUCAACCUAAUUGUUUCACAUACUUAUGUAUUAACCAUUGACUUAGGGUGUCUCAUCUUGUGUGCUAUAUUUAUCCUCCCUUACUCAUCGCAUGGUUGGAAAAGGAACAUUGUACAAUACCUUGGGAGAAGUAUUACACCAUAAUCUGAUCCCUAUCGGCCAUGUUAAAGUUUCACCUGUGAUUGCUUUAGAACCACUUGCACCAUUGCCUAUACCCGACAAUGAUGGAGAUAUGAAGUUUUUGGGAGAAGCAAUAUCUAGUUACGUAGCAUGGCCCAAAAAUUUUGUUGGCAUAGAUACAAUAUAUUUAAUCGAUAUGUAUGUGUAAUUGUAUGCUUAUGAUUGAUUAUGUUUCAUUGUUGAUUUUUCCGCUGUUAACUUUAAUUUCACAUUUAUUUAGAUUCUUACAAAGUCUAAAAGGAAUGAUAAAAAGAUUCCUCACAAAGAGUCAAUCACUUCACUAGAAAAUGUUUGAUUUAAGACCCUUAGUUUUAAAUUCUAAUUUAUGUAUUUUGGUAUUGAACUUUAAGGCUUUUUAGCCAAGUUAUUGAUAUUUUGUGAGUUUAAUGCCCAAAAAUAUCUUUUGAUGCCCCAAUUAAAAUUAUUCGUCGGUAAAUAAAUUAGAUUAAGUAAGGUGAGUCUUUUGUCGAAGAAUAAUUUAUUUAUGUUACGAAGAAUUUAAUACCGAGCAGUUUUGUUAAAAACAUCUCGGGUUGCUGAAAAUUUUAUCUAUCAAUUGAGUUGCGACGAGAGUAGAUAUUUUUAUCAAAAUAGUUUGAUUUAAUUAAUAUAUAUAUAUAUAUAUAUAUAUAUAUAUAUAUGAAAAAGAAAGAAAAGGAAAAAAGAAAGGAAACAAAAGAAAAAACAAACAUAACCUUUCUUCCUCUCCUUACUGCCUCGCGAAAUCCAUUAUUCAUUCUUCUUCUUUUGCUUCCUUUUUGCUUUCUUUUGCUUCAAGAAAAGAAACCCAAGGCUUGGUGGGUGAGAAAGAAAAGAGCUCCCAACAUUCUUCUUCUUCUUCUUCUUUGAUUCGAAAACGAAGAAAAACGGUGUUAGGGGUUUUCAAAACCGUCAAACACAAAUCUUCGCUUUUCUUCGACUUUUGAGCUUCAUUUUGAGAAAUUAUAGAAGAGAAAGUUGCUUAUCUCCCCGCUACGAUGCUAGUGAGCCAACUUGGGAAGGGACGACGUGAGCGGAGAUUUUAUUUGAAUUAAUCACGGUGUCGUAAUCGCUUGUUAAAGCUAUCGUUAAGGUAAGGGAUCCUUCCAAAUUUUUAGCUUACAUAUAGGAUGCUAUAUGUGUAAUUGUGGAGUUGGAAUUUUGGUGAAAUGGAUGUGUGAUUUUGUGGAAAAGGAAUUUAAUUCAUUUAUGUAUGUUUUUGAGGAAAUUAAAUAUGAUGUGUUUGAGGUGUGGUUUGUGAAAAUUAAUUUGGCGUGAUUUAUGUUUGAAAGUGUGGAAAUAUUUGGGUGAUUGAUGAUUGAGAUUGGUGUGGUUUUUGUGGAAUUUGAAUUGAUCGAAUUUAAUCAGAAUUGUGGAUUAAAUUUGAUGUGUGGUGGUGGAAAAUAUAUGUUUGAGUAUACUCUGUGUUGAAUUUGAAAAUCAUUAGUGUUAAAUGAGUAUUAAAAANNNNNNNNNNNNNNNNNNNNNNNNNNNNNNNNNNNNNNNNNNGUCAGAGUAUGUUCAUGCAUUUCAUAGUACAUGGUGACCGCGAUGGUUCCAUGGUGAUAGUGGUGGCCGUGAUGGGCCACGAGAUGAUGCCAUGUGAUUUGUUGGUUCAUCCUAUCCUUACAGGGAUUAUCGCGUCAUUUUGAUAUGUGAGAGAUUGCACUCUAGAAUGUGUUGAUCUAUGAGCGAUUGCACUCUAGAAAACAGUGUAAGGUCUGUGAUAGACGACACUUUAGUAAAUCGUGCGGGCCCGUGAUGGGUGGCACCUUGGUAAUUAGUACAAGGCCUUGAUAGGCGGUACAGUUACGAUUUACGCCCCUUCGAGGAGGGUUUUUGAUUGGAGUUCCAGAAAUUCAUGCAUUUUGGCAUAUACGCAUUGGAUUAGGGUGCUUGGCACGCAAGUCAUGUUUGAUAUAAUGUGAUAAUUGCGUGUGUAUACUCAGUUGUUGUUGUGAUUGUGCCGUAAUUGGUAAGUGUGAUUGUUUUGGAUUUGUUUGUAAGUGUUGAUUGAUUGCGAAACCAUUUCGAAACUAAAUUCUGCAUUUUUCUACAGUUGUAUUCGAAUACAAUAAGGUUGUAGUCGAAUAUAGUUGUCCUGAUUUUGCUACUGACAUCUGAAACAACAUUGUAUUCAAAUACAAUAAGGUUGUAGUAGAAUACAGUUGUCCUGAUUUUUCUGUAUUCGAAUACAAGGAUGUUGUAUUCAAAUACAGUUGUGUUGAUUUUUCUAUUAACUUGUGAAUUAGCACUGUAUUCGAAUACAAGGAUGAUGUAUUCAAAUACGACAGUGCAGUUUUGUUAAAAACUUUAUUUUUCAACUUGUUUAUGAAUGUUUCACAUAUGAAAACCCUUUCAAGGAGUAUGCUGAUGAAAGGUUAUUUUGUGCAUUAAAAAUUUAAAUGCUAAGUGAUAUUUGUUAAUUUCGGUUGGUGACCUUUACAAUUAUUGUGGAAAUCUGGGCUUUGCCCUCAAAUAAGAACCAAGAUCGUCCUACCAGUUAGUACCCUAGAUAUGGACACGUAGUUAGACAUACUUGACCGGCCCUGUGUCAGAAGGAUCAUGCGGGGCGCGUGGAGAUCACCUGAGUUGUAUAGUUUUUUGAAGCAUGAUCAGAUUAUAUGGUUGUAUUAGGGAUACAUGUCUUUCUUUUGUGGAUGUAUUUAUUUCAAUUUAGAAGAUUGUACCUAUACCUCAUAUUGUCAACUAGACUUUUAUUUUGAUGGGUCAAAGUACCACUUUUUGAUGUGACAGUGUUUUUGUACAGGUGUCUGCCGAGAAUACCCCAGGGGUAUGAGCUAUGUCUGAUAGGCCUCAUAGCCCGGGUGUAUUUUGCUAUUUAAAUACUUUGGAUUUUUGUUUCGAAAACUAUUUCCGCUGCUUGUAAAUAUUUGUUGACUUUUGUCUUUAUGUUACGACUUAAACAUUUCAUCCAAAAGUAUUUCUUUCUUAAUAUUUGAAAUUCAAUUUUUGUAUUGUUUUUUUUUAAAAAAAACGGGCUGUUACAUUUGACAUAUACAUCAAUUGUAUACGAAAUGAUUAGCUUACUGUAAUAACUAACAAACUGAUCAACCUCAUUUUUAUAGAUUCAAGCAAAACCUUCUGAAAGUGUUAAGAAAGUUGAUUCAAAAAAUAAAUUUGCUGCACCGCAAAUGCAGGUUCAUGGUAAACUAUUUAUUCAAUCACUAAUUUAUUUAGUUGGUUCUCCUAAAAUAAAUAUGCCAAAAAUCAACAUGCUUCUCCUAAUCCUAAAUAUGUUUCUCCUAAAUCUGCCAGAAAUCCGCUGCACCGCUAAUGUAGGUUUGUGGUAAAAAUAAAUAUGCCAAAAUUCAAAAACAGGAUUGUGGAAAAUCAGUUGCUGCUCCUAAAAUAAGUCAACCACGUCUUCCUCGAUUUGAGUCGUGUCUUGACAUACAAGUAAAAAUGAAUAUGGAGGGCAAUGAUGCACGUAUCAUACACAUGGAGAAAGAUAUUUUCGGAGAUGAGUACGAAGGAUUACUUGAUAAAGAGCACAUAUAUGAACUUCUCAAUAACAAUGAGCUGAGUGCUACUGUCAUCAGAUUUACAUUAGAUAAUGUAAAAUACUUUAUUUAAGAUAAAAAUUACUUUUAAUUGCAUCACUGCCACAUUUAUUGGUAAUUAAUCUAAUUUUAUAUUUUCAUUGAAAGUAUUUGUAUGAAAAGUUGGUUUGCAUGUGCAAAUUGACAUAUAGAUUUUCAUUCUUAUCUCCCCAUAAGAUAUCCAUAUUUAAACAUGAUCCAAUUAACAUAAAAAAAAUAUGUCGUUGAUAUACUUUUGGAAAAUAAAAAGAAGGAUAAGUUGUUUCUAGUGCCAUAUAAUUUAGGGUAAUUAGACAUUUUUUAUCUAUUUUUUUUUUUUUAAUUUAUGAUACUUUGUCAGUUGUGUAAACAGAUUUGCCAACCAAAUUUUUGUUGUUGUAGGCAACAUUGGGUGUGGUUUGCCAUCAUUGCCACCUCUGAAAUUAUGUACUAUUUGUAUCCAAUGCAUGGACAUUAUAACAAUGACUCGGAUAUAAAUAAUAACUUCGAUACGUAAAUAAUAUUCAUUUAUUUCUUACAUAUAUAAAUAAUGUGUUUGACAAUUGAAUAAUAAUCACAUUUAUUUGAUAGUGCUUUACAAGUUUUAUGCGCUCAAAGGGGUGCUACUGUGUCGAAGUAUUAGUCAAACAACAUCACAUGGAUUCCAAUAAAGGUUUGAAAUUAUUGUUAUAGAACUUAAUUAUAUGCCUUUAAAAUUUCAUUUACAAUCAAUGCAUAAAUAUUUAUUGGUGUACAUGUUUUAUUUUAUAGUGCCCUUGCCAAACUAUCAACAUAGACUGCGAAUACUAUAUAUUGCGAUUCAUAAAGGAGAUUGUUGAUAUGAAUCAAAAUAUAAUUUCAUAAAUGGUACGUUAUUUUCAUUAUAUUUUGAUUUUCAUAUAUAUAUAUAUAUAUAUAUAUAUAUAUAUAUAUAUAUAUAUUUGAUUCUAACUUAUUUAUGUUUAAAUAUUAUAUCGCAUAGUACUUUGACAACUCCAAUUCAAUAUACUUUGAAAAUGAUCUAACUGAAAUAAAGGAAGACUGGUGCCACAUUGUAAACUAUUAUUGUAUAUUUUUGUGUGAACUGAUCAAUAUUCUAAUUAGUUUAUUUUAUUUUUUUUACAGUAAGGUAAAGUAAGAAAUUGAUGGGAAAUUGACAUGCUGGAAAUUGCUACUGGCAUGAUAUUGUUGCUGUGAAUAUGUAAUUGAUAUUGUGAAUAUGUUGCUACUGAUGUUGAUAAUAGUAUUGAUGUAAUUGAACUUGUUGUUGUGAAUAUAUAGUACUGAUGUAAUUGAACUUGUUGUGAAUAUACAGUACUGAUGUAAUUGAACUUGUUGCUGUGAAUACUUAUUGUGAUUAUGUUUGAAUUAAAAAAUUGCAAUUGUGUCAAUAUGUGCUUGAUGAAUAUGAUUUUGGAAUAAAAUUGAAAUCUCAUUUAAAGACAACGCUUUUUAAAAAAAUGCCAUUAAAUACCUGUUUAUACAAACCAACAUUUUACAUUGUUUUUUAGAAUAGAUAAACAACACAUUUUAAAAUAUGCCUACUACAACGUUUUUUUGAAAAAAAAAAUGUUGUAAAAUUAGUAUAAGAAUGCAGCUAUUACAACGCUUCUUUAAGAAAAAUGUUGUAAAACUAGUCUAAGAACCGUUUAAAAUUAUUUAUUAGAGUAUAAUUUAAUUAAGUUACGAAAAAAUUUAUCUGUCAUUUGAGUCGCGACGAGGGUAGAUAUUUUUAUUAUAUUAGAUUGAGAAGUGAGUGAUGUGAUGUGUGUAAGAAUAUAUAUAUAUAUAUAUUUAUUUUAUAUGUGUAAGAGUGUUUAGAUGUUAUAAUGAUAAUUUUAUAGUAUACCUAAUUAUUUAAUAAUAUAUUUAUAUAUAUAUAUGCACGUGAGCCUGCCAGGGAAAGGAGUUUUUCCUUCAAUUCCUCAUCACCUCCCUUCUUCUUUCUCUGUUUUAAAAAAAUGAUAAUGUUGGUGUUAGGAAGGAAAGUUACUCCCCUCUACAAACGGUGCUUGUGAGCUAAUUUAUUUGAGGUGAAACACUUACUUCUUCCUCCUUUUUCUUAAAUUCGUAAACUUUAUACUGUGGGGGGUAUGAGUGAAAUUUUUGAGUUCUUAACAAAUCCUUUGUUGUUGUGUUGUUGUUGUUGUUGUUGUUGUUGUUGUUGUUGUUGAUGAUUUUGUUAGUAAUGUUUAAAAAAAAAUUUGAUUUUUGAUAUAUUUGAGUUAUGUAAUGAGUUAUUUUCAAAUAAAUGAGUUUGAACUGAAGUUGAAGUUUUACAAAAAAAAAAAAAAACUUAGAGUUGUUAAAGUUGUGAAUAGUUCAAAUUUGAACUAAGUUAAAGAGUUUGAGCAAAAAAGUUAGAUUGCAAUUAAAAUGUUUAGAGUUAAAAAUGUUACUAUUUUAAUUACUCUUGGAUUGAGUUUAAAAAGAAAAAAGUUUAGAGUACUUUAUUAACUCAAAUUUUUGGUACUUUAAUAAUUGAGUGUGUGUAUUUUUGAUUUGGAAAAUAUUUGUUUUAUUUAGUUUUAACUAAAUAAUGUAGAUUAUUUGGUUUUAAAAGAUUGGUGUGUGAAAAAUAUAUAAUUUUGAAAUUUUGUUGUGCUUGGAUAAAUUUUAGUUGUUGAACAAAUUGUUAUAAAUAUUUAUAUUUAUGUAGUUAGCUCCUUGAGUCUCGACAAGGAAUCGAGACCGUUGGCACCGAGUUAGCGGUGAGAAGAACUCUGAUAUAUUAACGUUGUUGUGGUGAUUAAAGAAAAAUGAUUUUUCUUAGUUUAUGCAUUUCCAAAAAUAGUUGUUAUGAUUGAUGAUCGGGAAUGUAUACAUGUGGUUAUGAAAUUUUUGAACUUGUGAUUUAAGGAAAGUUAGUGAAUUGUUAUUUCAAGUUUUUAUAUGCAUACUUUAAAUUUUUUUAAAAAAGUUUGCAUGAUUGUAAUUAAAGUUCCAAGUUUAUUAAGUGAAGGAGUUUAUUAACAUGGUGGGAAUUGUACAUUUUCUGACAAGUAGUUGAUUAAUCUCUUGUGGUGUGUAAGAGGACUGGACGUACCCUUGGUUAUAAGGGGAACCAGGAUAAAUCUUAUCGUGUUCAUUUACUUACUGCACUUGUUAUUAAGCCUUGUUCUUAAACUCAGAAAAUCUGAUUACCAUAUCACUAAAAACAAGAAAAUUUACUAACACCUAAUUCACCCCCCCCUCUUAGGCGUACUUCUAAACUAACAAUUGGCAUCAGAGCAGGUUAAGGUAACUUAUUCCUCGAUCAAUUACUCAUGGCUUCCGCACAACCUGUCUUUAGAGAUGGUGGUAGCAGUACCAAGCCACCAUGUUUUGUUGGAGAGCACUACGAUUUUUGGAAAAUCCGUAUGCAAGCAUAUCUCGAAGCACAAGGAGAUGACAUAUGGGAUGCCGUUGAAAAUGGUCCUCAUAUUCCAAAAACUGUCAUCAAUAACAAAGAAGAAAUAAAAAUAAAAAAUUCUUGGACGGAUGAGGAUAAGAGAAAAGUGCUUUUCGAUAAAAAGGCUAAGAACAUAUUACAAUCUGCACUAGGAAUGGAUGAGUUUUUCCGCAUAUCUCACUGUAAAACAGCAAAAGAAAUAUGGGAUACGUUGGAAGUAACUCACGAAGGCACCAUUGAAGUAAAAAGAUCCAAACUCAACACACUAUCACAAGAAUAUGAGUUAUUUCGCAUGCAGCCCGGAGAAUCUAUUUUAGAUUUACAGAAAAGGUUCUCCCAUUUAACCAAUCAUUUGACAGCACUUGGAAAAAUCUUCACAAAUGAUGAACUAAAUCUAAAAGUACUAAGGUCAUUGACAAGGGCAUGGCAACCAAAAGUUACAGCAAUAUCAGAAAAGAAAAGCCUAUCCAAGAUGUCUCUUUCUGCACUAUUUGGAAAACUUCAAGAGCAUGAAAUCGAACUCGGAAGGCUAGAACAAAAUGAAAGUCAAGAAAAGAAGAACAAAAAUAUUGCGUUAAAGACUGAAUCAAGAGAACAAAGCAAAGAGAAUGAUUCAGAUGAAGAUGAAAAUAUUAUCCUUCUUGUUAAGAAAUUUGGUAAAUUUCUUAAAAACGACAGAACAUUCAAAAAGAAAAGCUUCAAGAAGAAAGAUAAUUCUACAUCAAAUCAAAAUUUCACUUGCUUCGAAUGUGGAAAACAAGGACAUAUUAAAGCAGACUGCCCAAAUAUUGCUAAGAAGAAUUUCAACAGAAAGAAAGACUUCAAGAAAGCAUACAUAGCUUGGGAAGACAAUGAAGUAAGUUCAUCUUCAGAAACAGAAAGUGAAGAAUGCGCCAAUGUUGCAUUAAUGGCCUCGCAUCAAUCAGAUGAUGAAGAGGUUAGUAAUAUAGACUCUCCUCUUUAUAAUAAGACUAAUACUGAAUUAAUUAUAGAAUACAAUGAUGCUCAAAACGCAAUAAAAGAAUUACUCAUUGAAUGUAAAAAUCUAUGUAAACUAGUAUCAACACAAAAGAAACAAAUCUCAAGUUUACAAGAAAAAGUUGAUAUUAUGGAGAAAAAUUCUGAAAAACUAAAACAGAAUUCUGCAUGCAAUAAAUGUGAAUCCCUCUCUUUCGAAAUUGUUCAAUUAAAUAGAGUAAUUGAACGAUACGAAAAGGGACAAUUAGGAUUGGAAAAUGUUCUAAACAUGCAAAGAUACUCAAAUGAUAAAAGUGGUCUUGGAUACUCAAAAUUUGAUAAACCAAAUUUGAACAAAACUAUUUUUGUUAAAGCAGGUAGUCAAUCUAAUCAAGAUAAGAUUAUAGUUAUGAAAAAGGAUGAUCUUUAUAAUAAGAAAAUUAUUCAAAAUAAAUCUCAUACAUAUGUUACUAAUAGUAGAUUUAAUCCUACUUGUUCUUAUUGUGGUCUUCAUGGUCAUACACCUAAUACAUGUCAUAUUAGAAAUAUUAGUGUUCCAAAAGGUCAUUUCAUAUGGGUAAAGAAAGGUACUAACCAUCAAGGACCCAAAGCACAUUGGGUACCUAAUAAAGUUUGAUUUCAAUUUUGUAGGUAAGCAAACAAAAGACUUCAAACAUGUGGUACUUGGAUAGUGGCUGCUUUUAACACAUGACGGGGGAUAUAACAAAAUUUUCAGCUUUAACACUUGAGUCAAAGGGACAUGUAGUAUAUGGAGACAACAACAAAGGAAAAAUUUUAGGCAUUGGAAAAGUUGGUACAGCACCAUCUCCCUCAAUUGAAGAUGUCUUAUAUGUUGAAGGUCUAAAACAUAAUCUCAUAAGCAUCAGCCAGCUUUGUGACAAAGGAUACAAGAUAGUUUUUAAUAAAGAUGAGUGCGUCAUCCAAAAUGAAGCUACAAAUGAAACUCAGUUUGUUGGUAAGCGUUUCAAAAACAUUUUCAUACUUAAUUUUGAAGAUUUAUCCUUGAAAAUGAAAUGUCUUUUGGUAAGCGACAAUAAUGAUGCUUGGCUAUGGCAUAAGAGAUUUGCUCAUAUUCACAUGGAUCAUUUAAACAAAUUGGUCAAGCAUGAUCUUGUUGUAGGCUUACCAAAAAUAAAAUUUAUAAAGGAUAAAUUAUGUGACGCUUGUCAAAAGGGCAAACAAACAAAAAGUUCUUUCAAACCUAAAAAUGUUAUUUCAACUUCUAGACCGCUACAAUUGAUACAUAUGGAUUUGUUUGGUCCAUCAAGAACCAAAAGUCUUGGUGGAAACUCAUAUGGACUAGUUAUUGUUGAUGAUUACUCAAGGUUCACUUGGACCUUAUUUUUGGCAAAUAAAAAUGAAGCUUUUAAGGCAUUUAAAAACUAUGCCAAGCUAGUCCAAAAUGAACAAUCUAUCAAAAUUGUAUCAAUUAGAAGUGAUCAUGGAAGGGAAUUUCAAAAUACUUCGUUUGAAGAAUUUUGUGAAGAAAAUGGUAUUUUUCACAAUUUUUCUACACCAAGAACACCACAACAAAAUGGGGUCGUUGAGAGAAAGAAUAGAUCCUUAAUAGAGCUUGCUAGAACUAUGCUAAGCGACUCAAAUCUACCAAAAUACUUUUGGGCAGAUGCUGUAAACACAGCAUGCUAUGUUUCCAACCGGGUAAUUAUUAGGCCAAUUCUUAAGAAAACUCCAUAUGAACUUUACAAAGGUAGAAAACCCAAUAUCUCUCACUUUCACAUUUUUGGAUGUAAAUGUUUUGUGUUAAAUAAUGGUAAAGACAACCUUGGAAAAUUUGAUGAAAAAGCUGAUGAAGGUAUAUUUCUCGGUUACUCUUUAUCUAGUAAAGCAUUUAGAGUCUUUAAUAAAAGAACCUUAUUAGUUGAAGAAUCAAUGCAUGUAACCUUUGAUGAAACUAACCCCAUAAAAGAAGAAAAUAUUAUUUCUUGUGAUGAUGAUGAUGUUUUUGAAAGUAAUGAUCCAAGCAAAGAACUUCAACAAGAAAGUGGAGUCAAUAUUGAAAGGCAAAGUGAUGAUCUUCCUAAAGAAUGGAGAACCCAUAGAUAUCACCCUAUUGACAACAUCAUAGGUGAUAUAAAUAAAGGAGUCACAACAAGGUUAAAAUUGCAAGAUGCCUGCUUAAACAUGGCGUUUGUUUCUCAAAUCGAACCCUCCAAAAUUGGUGAAGCACUUAAAGAUGAUCAAUGGAUACUUGCCAUGCAAGAAGAACUCAAUCAAUUCGAAAGAAGCCAAGUUUGGGAACUUGUUCCUAAUCCUGGAAAUAAACACAUCAUUGGUACAAAAUGGGUGUUCAAAAAUAAACUAGAUGAGAAUGGCAUAGUUGUUCGCAACAAAGCUAGAUUGGUUGCUCAAGGAUACAAUCAAGAGGAAGGGAUAGACUUUGACGAAACAUUUGCUCCGGUAGCAAGACUAGAAGCCAUACGUCUACUAUUAGCAUAUGCUUGCUCCAUGAAUUUUGAGUUAUAUCAAAUGGACGUGAAAAGUGCAUUUCUCAAUGGGUACAUAAAUGAAGAAGUUUAUGUCAAGCAGCCCCCUGGAUUUGAAGAUUCCAAAAAUCCCUCACACGUUUACAAAUUGAAAAAGGCUCUUUAUGGUCUAAAACAAGCUCCAAGAGCUUGGUAUGACAGAUUAAGCACCUUUUUAUGUGAACGAGGAUUUGACAAAGGAGAAGUUGAUAAAACGUUAUUUGUCAAAAGAGAAAAUGGUCACACAUUAUUGGUUCAAAUUUAUGUUGAUGAUAUAAUAUUUGGAUCAACCAACAAGGACAUAUGUGAAGAAUUCUCUUCAAUAAUGCAAGGAGAAUUCGAAAUGUCCAUGAUGGGAAAAUUAAACUAUUUUCUUGGACUUCAUAUCAAGCAACUUGAGCACGGCAUCUUCAUCAAUCAAGCCAAAUAUUGUAAAGAAUUACUAAAGAAAUUUGAAAUGGAGAAUUGCAAAGAAAGUACAACUCCAAUGGGCUCCGGAACAUAUGUUGAUAAAGAUGCAUCAGGAAUUUCCAUCGACAUAUCCAAAUAUCGAGGUAUGAUUGGAUCAUUAUUAUAUCUAACGGCCAGCCGGCCAGAUAUCAUGUUUAGUGUUUGUUUGUGUGCAAGAUUUCAGGCAGAUCCGAAAGAAUCACAUCUAGUAGCUGUUAAAAGAAUUAUGAAGUAUCUGAAAGGAACAACAAAUGUAGGCCUAUGGUAUCCUAAGGGUAGCAUAUGUAGCCUAGUAGGAUACUCUGAUUCGGAUUAUGCGGGAUGCAAAACAGACCGUAAAAGCACCAGUGGCACAUGUCAUGUCUUAGGAAAUGCCCUUGUUUCAUGGUCUUGUAAAAAGCAAGCUUGUGUUGCACUUAGUACUGCUGAAGCUGAAUAUAUUGCAGCAGGAAGCUGUUGUGCCCAGAUUCUCUGGCUCAAACAGCAAUUACAUGACUAUGGAGUUGAUCUCGGAUGCAUUCCCUUAAGAUGUGAUAACACAAGCGCAAUAAACAUCUCAAAGAAUCCAAUCAUGCACUCCAGAACUAAACACAUCGAUAUCCGACAUCAUUUUCUACGGGAUCAUGUACUUAAAGGUAAUGUUGAGGUAACAUUUGUUGAUACACACAAUCAAUUGGCCGAUAUUUUUACAAAACCGUUACCUAAAGACUCAUUUUAUAAAAUCCGAAGAGAACUUGGUAUUUUGAGUGAAUUUGAUCUUUAACCAUUGCAUGAUAUACAUAGUUUGCCAUAUCUCUUAUGUCUUAUUGAUUAUUUCCUUUUGAUAUAUGAAUUUGUGUAUUACAUGAUGCAAUUUUCAUAAAAAAACUGAGUUUUUAAGCAAAACUGUACUUACGUAGUCGAAUACAACUGAUUGUAUUCGAAUACAAACUUUCCCAGAAUUCCUGUAUUCGAAUACAAAGGAUGUGUAGUCGAAUACACGUUCCCAGAAAAAUGUGUAUUCGAAUACAAGAAGGUGUAGUCGAAUACACCUUCGCGUUUUUGCCCAGAUAUAAAAGCUGCUACACAUAAGUUAGGGUUAUUUCAGUUGGUAUUCGAAUACAGCCUCAGUUCCUUCUCUCAUCUCUCUCAAACUCAUCCAUCCUCCUUCCACUUACUUACCCAUUCACUCAACCUAACAAAAUCCAUUACUCUUUACUUCCUUCUUGUCAUCCCUCUUCAAAUCUCUCACAACUCUCACAUUUUCUCUAAAACCCACUUUCACCAAAAAUACCCUUUCUCACCAUGGAUGCUCGCAAACGAGGACCACGCACCAAACAUGCCGCAGUAGGUCCCUCACGAAAACGAACCAAGACUCCCAACAUCACGGAUCUAUCCCGGCUUCUACACACACCGGAGGAAAUUGAUCGUUUUCGCACCUUCUACUCGGACAAGCGCCUUAUUAUCCCCAAAUACGGUACUUUGGACUCUUUUUCUGAUUUUAAAUUUCCUGCGUUGCUUAAAGCACAACAUGUUGAAGAGUUUAUAGGCUACAAUGGUCCAGUUUAUCCAGAUUUGGUUAGGGUUUUUUAUUGUAAUCUCAUACAAGAGGGCAAACUGCUAGUCUCGCGCGUUAAGGGUAAAGUUAUUCGUUUAAAUACCAAAACCAUUGGCGAAAUUCUGAAUAUUCCUUUUAAUGGUGAACAAUUUUGUCCAAACAAUUUAUGUGAAUGGGGUGAUAUUUCUAAGUAUGAUGCGUAUGUCUCUCUCUGUCGGUUUGAUCGCCGCACCAUGGAACAAAAGAGAGCUCAGGCAGGUUCCAAAUAUGCCCAGCAACGGUAUGGUGUGGGAAAUCUUACUGUUGAUUAUUGGCUUCUACACUAUUUCCUUAGCUACAUUUUGGUUCCGAAGGCUGGAAAUUACUCCCAAAUUUCGGAGUUUGAACUGCAAAUUAUGAAUUUCAUGUUUGAAGGUCGUCAACUUAAUUGGGCAUUUUUUGUGAAAUCUAUCAUGCUUGGAUCUCGCGAAGCAAUUGGCUUACCAUAUGCAAAGGAAGUUUCACGAAUUUUGGAACACUUUGGUGUGGACUUUGCUGAUGAGGUUAUGUUUACUCCCACCAAAGAAAAUCUGUUGGAUUUAGGUGUCUUGCCUAGCAUGAGGAUCGUAUGGAAUGAUGAGCUUGAAGCCUUUGUGCAUAAAGGUGAUCAUGGUCCACCUUCUGAAGAUGCACCGGCGGACACUGCUGGACCAUCCAACACUGCUGCUCAAGGAGAUGAAGAUGGCGAGGAAACUGCAUCUGAUGAUGAUUAUAUCUCCAAUCAAAUGAUCAUGACUCGCCUUGAUUCUUUCCAAACUUUCUUCCAAACUCAAUUCGACAAGUUGACCACCUCUAUCGACACUCGCUUCACCACCAUUGAAACUACUAUUGCUCGCAAUCAUGACGCACUAUCUCAAGACAUUAGUCAAUUAUCCGACAAACUUGAUCAUUUCCACAUUCCGACGGAAUUUGAUUAAGUCUUUAAAUUGUGUACUAAGUUCACUUUUUGUAUUCUGUGUUAUUGUAAUAUUUGCUUUAUGAACUCCUUUUGUCGUUUUAAUUCUGGUGUAUUUUGUAUUACUCGUUUCGGGACUUGUUAUGUAUUCACUUCUAUGAUAUUCUGACUUAAUUUCCAUUUCUGCUAUUCUUGUUCCCUUAUAUGCCUUUUGUGUAUGAUUUUGCUCGCAACGUGUAUGUCUCUUUUUCUUUUCUAUUCUUCUUCUUUUUGAUCAUGUCAAAAGGGGGAGAAAAUUUGGUGUUGUUGUUGCAUUUCAAACCUUGUAGGCACUCAAAAACAAUUUUCAAAUCAUCACAUACAACGGGGGAGUAUGCACCUAUUACGGGGGAGCAAAGAUUUCAACAUCACACUCUCUUCACAACAACAUUUUGUCAUAAUCAAAAAGGGGGAGAAUGUAAACUACAUGUUUUUGAUGACGACAAGACCACCAACUAUGGACAAUGCAGCAAGAUCAAAAAGAAGAUCAAACCAUCUUGAAUGAGCUUCCAAAUCCAAAUAAUAAAUGAGUAAAUAUAAAGGUAUAUGAUACAAAUCAAUAGUUCAAAUACUUGAGAACAAUUCAUAUUUACAUAUGCAUUUAACAUGUUUUCAAAAAUCAAAAACAACAUUAACAAAUCAUUUAAAAUCAUAUUUUUGACAAUUUGCAUAAGUGUAUUCGAAUACACCAUGUUGUAUUCGAAUACAACUUAAGUCAGAAGCAAAACGUUAAAUGGUGUAUUCGACUACACCCAUCUGUAAUCGAAUACAAGCUAAGUCAGUGGCCAAGUGUAUUCGACUACACCCAUCUGUAGUCGACUACAUGCUAAGUCAGUAGCCAAAUGUAUUCGACUACACUCAUAUGUAGUCGAAUACAAGUUAAGUCAGAGGCUAAAAUACAUUGAUCUGUAUUCGACUACACUGAUGUGUAUUCGAAUACAAGGUGUAAAAUUCGAAUUUUUUAAACGUUACAAAGAUGUGUAUUCGAAUACACAUAUACUGUAUUCGAAUACACCUGGAAACAUUACAAUUUUUCAGAUCUGGAAUGCCUCUAGAACAUUGUAAUUUUUCAUCAAACCUCUUGGAUCAAUGGCCACGAAUCUGAAAGCAUGUUUUAUGGAGUAUAAAUACCCCAUAACUUCAGAUCAAAAAUUAACGAUCCUUAAAUUAAUUUAUUUGAACAACUUUGAACAAAAUUCUGAUUUUUCUAAGUACUUGCAUUAGAUUUUCAUAUCAUUCUAAAAAGUUCUCAAGUACUUGAAUUACUAUUGAGUUGUUUAUCAAUAUACCACUUCUUAGAUUUAUUCAAACCUUAUUGUAUCAUUUGUACAAGUAAGAUAGUGGUGUGCUAUCUUAGAAAGAAUUGUUAGAAGUUUUGUAGCAAGAAUCCCAGGGUGGGAAUUGUACAUUUUCUGACAAGUAGUUGAUUAAUCUCUUGUGGUGUGCAAGAGGACUGGACGUACCCUUGGUUAUAAGGGGAACCAGGAUAAAUCUUAUCGUGUUCAUUUACUUACUGCACUUGUUAUUAAGCCUUGUUCUUAAACUCAGAAAAUCUGAUUACCAUAUCACUAAAAACAAGAAAAUUUACUAACACCUAAUUCCCCCCCCCCCCCUCUUAGGCGUACUUCUAAACUAACAUAAGCAUUGCAUUAGGGUGCUUGACACGUGAGUCAUGUUUGUUACAAUAUGAGAAUUAGAUGUACAUACUCUGUUAUUGUUUGUUAUCAUGUCGUAAUUGCUAAAUGUUAUUGCUUGUCUUUAUGACGUAAAUGUUAAAUGUUAUUCGUUAAUUUCGGUUGUUGACCCUUUACAUUAUUAUGGAAAUUGGGGUUUGCUCUCAGAUGAUACCCGAGUUCGUUCUACCGACUGUUACCUUAACGACGGAAACAUCAUUAGACUUCCCUGACCUACAUUCGCCGACUGCUUGGGUAUAUGACCCCAUCUCAAGCAGGACUACUUAUAUGGGGAGGGUAGUGAGGACAAGUAGUUAAGCUGGGACAUUAUAUCUCGUGGAGUUCACUCACGAGAGGAUCGACUAUCCAGUACCCUCAGGAUUGGUGCUCGAGAUGAAUGGAGCAUAUGAUUCCCCAGUUAGAGUUGAGGCAGAGGCCACCGUAGGAGCUAGGAAUAUAGUGGUUGGGCCGGGGAUUGGGGAUAAGGAUAAGGGGUCGAUGCUAGUGGAAAGAUAUAUUGCAGGACCGUGUAGGCGGGUCGAGCCAGAGUUUCCACUUUCGGUGAAUGAUCCUUUAUCGGCUGUCACUGAAGUAAUCGACUGUUUUGAGAUUCCAGCGCCGCUGAAGCCACAUAUCUCGUGGGUGGAUAUGACUUCUAAGGAGACUGAUCCUUCUAUGGGUGAUGAUGAGGAGGAAGUUACAUCGAGGAGAGAUAUUGCGUCAGAAGGAACUUGCGGAGUGUGUGGAGGUCACCCUUGCUAUUGUAGUUGCUUGUGGAUGAUCAGAUUAAUUUUUGUUGUAUAGGGACUUAGUGUAUUUCUUUUGGUUGUUGUACUUAUUUUGUUUUAGGAUGACUGUAUGUAUAACAUAUAUUGAGAGUUGACUAAUGUUUGGCGGGUCCAUGUUCGACUUUUUUUGACGUGACCAUGGGGGGAUAACAUUCUUGGAGCAGCACUUUUGUGCAGGUGUUUGCCGAGAAUACCCUAGGGGUAUGAGCGAUGUCUAAUAGGUCUUAUAGCCCUGGUGUAUUUUCUAUUUGUAUACUGUAGACUAUUGGCCCAAAAACUAUUUUAGCUUGUUUGUAUAUAUGAUCUAAUUAUUUAUGACUCUUGUUGUUUGUAUUAUGACAUGAUAUUUUAAUAAUUUAUUUUAAAAAAAUGCACUCGCUUUGUUAAAAAUUGAGGUGUUACACUGGAAAAUGCUAUUUUGGCGUAGUGUAUGCAAUAAAUCAGAAGCAAGAUCAGAUCUGAGAAACGAACAAUGUUCUAGUUAUUAAAUAUAAAAAAUGAAGAACAUUAAGGACAACAUUCUAAAAAACGAAGAUCAAUUUAGACAACAGUUUGAAAAACGAAGAUCAUUUUGGACAACAGUCUGAUAAAUGAAGAAUGUUCUCGUUUUGACAGCAUUAAUCCAAGAACAUUAUGGUUUAUUGAUAGUGUUUCAGCAAGUGUAAUGGAUCGUUGCAAGUAAUAAUUAAAACGGUAGUACCGAGUGUCGAACUAAAGGAUUGUUUUUUAUUAUUGAAUUAUAUUUAAUAACAAAAAUUGAACAAAAAGUUUCUGAUUUGAUUGAAAUAAUAUUUAAAACUAACAACGAUAAUAAAAUUGAUCAUUUGUAAUAAGAAAAAUGUCAGGGAUGCGUUUCACUUCGAAUCCAACCUUGGUGUCUUAUUUGAUCCUAGUUACUGAAUUCAUUUAUUGAAUUAUUACCGAAUUAUCUUUAUUAUUCUUGCCCUAAUGUCUUAGUGACAGUACCUUUAAUUCCAAAGUAACCCCUAAUUCCUUAGUGGAUUUAAGAUUAGAAUUAAGCAUUACUGUAUAGGAAUUCUCUUUUUAAACUAUUGCAUCUACAGCUAAUAUAAUUGGUUUCAUAACUUGCAUCUAUCCGUAGACUAUACAUUCUUGAAUUUCUCAUCUCAAACAUUCGUAAAGUCCACUUCCGUUUCAAAAUACGAAUCGUAGAACAUUUUAAUGUUGAUCAAGCAAUAAAAAUUAUUAAGCACAAAGAUGAGAAAAAUAAUUCAAUAAACUCAUUCAUAUAACUAGAAAUCAAAUCAGAAAAAUAAGGGUUUCAUCUUGUUACACUCAUCCCUAACAAACAAGGUUUAGUUACUCAUCACAGAGAUAAAAAAGAUAGAGAUUAGAGAAGGAUUACAAGAAAGAUUCAUGAAUGAUUCUUGAUAAAACUGCUCCAAUGGUGUUAGAAACGGUCGUAUUUGAGUUUUAUGCUAGGGCACAAGUCUUCAAACUCCCCAAUAGUCAAAAACAUGCCUAUAAAGUAAAAAAAAAAAAUGCACUUUAAUGAAUGGUUCCGUGUGACAUGCGCUUCAGGCGCGGAAUUUGCGCUUCAAGCGCAACUCAACAGAUUCAAAAGGGGGGAAAUGUGCCCCGGGCGCAGCUGUUGCGCUUCAGGCGCACAACAUCUUAUGUUUGAUGUUUUCUGCAUUUUUAUCCUCUUUUAAUUCUGAAUGGGGUUCCAGUGUCUACAUGAAAGUUAUAGUUAUAGAUCUUAGUUUUCAUUUUCACUUGGUUUGACUCCAAUUGGAUAUCUACAACUCCAUAUAUGGCCGAAAAACCACACAUAGUUCAUGUUGAUUUCUCACUAAAAUUCAGCACUGCACUAAAGCAAAGAAAAUACCCAAAACUACGAAAAAUCUCUACUUAACCAAGGAAAUAAGAACAUAAAUAUUUCAUUAAAUCAAAGAACUAAAACCAAUAAAAUAUAUCAAAUAACUCUUCAAAUUAGCUAAUGAUUAAAGAUAGAUAAGACUAAAAACAAUGAAACAUAUGCAUAUGAUGAAGAGUCAUCAUUUAUAAAGAACAAAGUCUUCUUUAAUUCAAGAUCGAUUUGGGUUAUGAAAAUAAAUCAAUCUACAUUACGAAUCACCAAUAUUUAUUACAAAGGAACAUAAUUAUAUACUCAAGAUCAUUUUGGACAGGUUAUUUCCAUAAGAUCAACAAAAAGCAAAGCAAUGCCUCAAGAAUAAAAAGCAAGAUUAAUCCCUAAAGUUGAUGGCUAAAAGUAAGCAAGUACAAACUGGACAGAAAUGAUAAAGUCACUGCAUCAUUGACACACGUACAUAACAAAAAAGCUUGGCAUGCAACAGUUUUCAAAAUUGUCAAAAUCCAGCAAUCACCCAAAAUGGAAACGAAGAACAUUCUCCGUUUUCACAACUUUAAUCAAAGAACUUAUGGGUUACAAAGAGAAAAACUGUUGUAGUUUAAGAUCGAUAUAAACUACGAAAGUACAUUUAUGUACACUAAAAAACAUCAGUAUUCAUUACAGAAGAAUUUAAUAAUCUACACAAGAUUGUUUUAGAUAGAUUCGAUCAAAGGGGAUCAACAAAGGCAAAGCAAAAUAUCAAGAUCAAUAUCCAAACUGAUGAGCUAUGAGAAAGGACAACGAUGACAACAUGGAUAUUGCUCUUGUAUCUUUUUGCAGAAAGCACAUCAUGUUUAUGACACUAAUGACUAACACGUAAUAGUUGUCAAAGUUUAGCACUCAUACAAAAUAGAAACAAAGAAUGUUCUUGUUUUUACAAAAGAAUAUUUUGGUUUUAAUUAUCUUUUAAAGACAUAAUUAAAACAUAUAAUUUUCCACAGUUUAAACCACAUGUUAAUGAGUAUCAAGACUGCUUAAAUCAUUGGUGAAACCAAUAAAUCGAGAUCAAUAACCAAAGGUUGAAAACAACCUCAAGAUUGAUCUCCAAAAUGAUGAGUUGUGAGCAAGGAUACAAGUACAUUGUACUUACAAUAUUCUGCAGAAAGUUCUACAUAAAUCUAAUUCAAAAUAGUGCCAACUAACUUGCGACAACUCAUUCACUCGUUCAUUCAUGUUUUCCAUGAGACCCCAAAGCUAAAAUGUUCUCCGUUUGUCAAGAACGUUAUGCACAACAAUAUAAACACAUGUUUAAUUGCUUUAAAAUAUAUCUGACACUUGGGAAGGGUGUCCAAUGACUAUAAUCAUUUUAAAAUGAAUAUUCAAAGCCUUUUAUCAUCUAUAAAUUAAAGAUCAAUUGGAAGAUGAAGAUUGUAACAUAUCAAGGUUGAUCUGGACUGGUGGUGUAAAAAUCAAGAACGUUCUUUGUUUUGAACACUUAGUGAACAAUCUCACAUUUAUGAGGAUUGGACGUAACCCGGGUUGGGUGAACUAUCUUAUAUCUCUGUGUGAUAUCUCUUCCCUUAUAUCUAUUUGUUUCUACUCUUUUGAUUAUCAAUUUAAAUAGAUAAGUUAAAUUGUGUGUUUUUCACUAACCAAGAUUGUUCUUCGUUUUCUAUUUUCAUAACCAAAAUUAAUCUUGAGUUAACUUCUUAAAGUUUUAAUAGUAAAUUUUAAAAAGGUGAAAUCACAAUUCAAACCCCUUUUUCUUGUGAUUGACUUUGCUACUUCAAUUGACAUCAGAGCACUGCCUCUAAAGUUGAGCACCUACCAAGUGCUAGAGGAAAAGAUUAAGGAAGAAGAAGUAAUGUCAGAAGACAACAUGUGCUUAGUGGAAAACAUUGAAAAUAAUGAGGUAAUCAUCUCUAAACUUUGUCCUUUAUGUGAAUAAAUGAUAAAAGAAUUUGACAAUCUUUUUGUAAUUCAAAUUUUCUUGCUCGAAAAUGUAGUUUAUUAAAAGAGAAAUUCCGUAAAGAAAAAGAAAUGCCCAAGCUAUGAAUGACGAACACAGAAAGGUCAUUCAAAGCAUGGAGCAGUCUGAUUUAGAAAUGUUUGAGUAACAUAAGAUUUUCAAUGAGAUACCCAUACAAAAUCAUCUUCUAGAAUGUUCUGAAACUAAGAAAGAAAAUACCUCUUUAAAAAUAGAAGUUCAUGAAUUAAAAAAGUACUUAACCAACUUGGUAAAUACCACUGAAACUUUUCAAAAGAACAUGAUAUCUGAAGAAGAGAUAUUUGACAAAAAUGUUUUACGAUUCAAAAAUUCUCAAAAAGAAAAGCUUUAUGAAAAUGUUUUUGUAUAUAAAAAAAGAAGACCGAGAAAUGUAAUAAAAAAUGCUUAUAUUGUAACAAAAUUGGACAUCUUGAUUCCAUAUGUUUUUUCAAAAAAAGGGAUAAAAAAAUUAAAGCAAAACGAUUUUCUAAAACCGAAGAAUGUUAUUGUCUCAUACCAGAACAUUCUCCAAGUACCAAUCUAUUAUCAUAAGAAAAAAUAUUCUAGAAAAAGAUACACUAACCAUCAAGGACCCAAAUAAAUAUGGGUACCAAAAUCAUUACUAACUUGUGAUGCAGGAACAUCGUCUAACAAUCAAGAAAGAACAUUGAUACAUGAACAACACAUGCUUAUUACACAUAAAUGGAAAAGUAUGGUGCCUCCUCUGAUUACAAAAAUUUGGAAUGUCUAUAACCUUUGGAAACACUAACAAAUCAAAGGUACAUGUAUCAUUAGUUGAAAUAAUUUUACUUAGAUUAGAGAUGUUUGAUAUGUGAAAGACAACUUUGUAAAAUUGAUUUUAAAGUUAUUUUUUAAAACCCCACAUGGCUGAUGUAAAAUAAACAUUCUCAUGUUUUAGUUUGUAAAAAAAAAAAAACUAUUUUGUUCAUAACGGAGAACGUUCUCCGUUUGAAUCUGUUUUGACAAACAGCCCCAGAUGAUUCUUCGUUUCUUCAUCAUGAAGAAGUUGAAAAAUCAGCUUUUCAAAUUGUACCUUCUAUCACUCAUCUAAAAGUAACGGUUAUCCAUGUCCAUUACUACCACAUCAUCUCCAACCAAAUCAUGUUUUUAAGAGUUUUAUAAAAGGAUUCUCAUUUCUAUAAGAAACGAUCAAGGGAAAUUUGAAACAUCAUUAUUCAAAUCAUUCUUUGAUGAAAAUGAUAUUUCACAUGAUUUGCUUGUCAAAGAACUUUCUGUAACACCCCGUUUUUCAAAGCGAGGGUAUAUUUUUUUUUUCAAAAGAAUUUAAAAUAAAGCAGAGAAAUAAAUAAAGAAAUGUCUUUGGAUAAAUAAUUGAGUCAUUAUAAUUUACAGGCAGCGGAAAAGUUACUCCUAUUAUAAAUCCAAACCAUUUACCCAACAACAAAUGGUACAUGUAACCCAUCGAAAAUAACAUGUCAAGCUGACAAUAUUAGUAUAGGUACAGUCUUCCAUUUUAAAAUAAAUGCAAUACAAAAGAAAGGCAUCUGAUCCCUCUAUGCCAACCUAAUCUGAUCAUUUUACAACACAACUAAACACCCUGACUAAUCUCCACGCGCCCCGUGAGAUUCUCCUAACGUAGCUGCAGUCAAGCGUUCCCAUCUCCAUUUCCGUCCGUAGGGUAAGAACCGGUAGGAUCGUCCUUUACAACCAAGCAUGCACCUUAGCAGGAUUUUCAAUAUGCGAAAAGUUCAUACAAUACUUUGCCAGUUAAAAUGAAAGUAAACUGAGGUUCUCAAUCCCCUAAUUAUAACAUAACAAAUCAAGACAUGGAUAGUUUCAUGAGCAAACAAUCAUACAACUAAAACUGAGGAUUUUCACUGAGCCAAUCGAUUAGGCAAUCGAUUGGGGUGAAGGAUUUUAAUGAAUUUUUGAAUGCUCAAAACAACUUUUCAACUAAGCAUGCACCUUAACAGGAUUUUCAAUAUGCGAAAAGUUCAUACAGUACAUUGCCAAUGAAAAUGAAGGUAAAAUGCAGUUCUCGAUCUCCUAAUUAACACAUAAUAAAACAAGACAUGGAUAGAUUCAUGAGCAAUUAAUCAUACAACUAAAACUGAGGAUUUUCACUGAGCCAAUCGAUUGGGCAAUCGAUUGGGGUGAAGAUUUUUAAUGAAAAUAGAAUCCUGGGCUGAAUCAAUCGAUUUGGCAAUCGAUUGACAGGAUAACGGAGCCCCUGACUUAAUACCAAUCGAUUUCCAAAUCGAUUUCCUGAAGGUUUUUAGUGAAAUUUUGAACUCUGGCUUGAUUCAAUCGAUUGGGCAAUCGAUUGACAGGAUAGCUGAGCCCCUGACUUAAUGGCCAAUCGAUUGGGCAAUCGAUUUCGUAAGGGAUUUUUCGAAAACUGAUUACAAAAUCGAUUGGCUAAUCGAUUUUGUUCAUUUGGCCAAGCCCCUGACUUCCAUCCAAUCGAUUGGGAAAUCGAUUUCCCUGAUCAUUUUUCCAAAAAUUCAUGAAUUAACCUAAGUCAUUCCUAAUCAAGUUCACAACUUAACACUUAGCAAUUUCUACGCGAUUACCACGGCAAUUGGGAUCUCGAUAACCAUCUUACUUACACACAAUAAUCAACACAUAACACUUAGCAUUUUCAACGCAAUUAACACGAUAAAUCAAAUUCAAAUCACUCAAUCAUAAAACUCAAUCAAACACGACUCGUGUGCCAAGCACCCUAAUGCAAUGCGUAUAUGCCAAAAUGCAUGGACUCGGAAUUCCAAACCAAAACCCUCCUCGAAGGGCCGUAAAUCAUAAUUGUACCGCCUAUCGCAGGCCAAAGUACCAAUUACCGAGGUGCCACCUAUCACGGGUCAGCACGAUUUACUAAAAUGCGUAAAUCAUAAACGUACCACCUAUCACGGGUCAGUACAGUUUACCGAGGUGUCACCUAUCACGGGUCAACACGAUUUACUAAAAGAAAAAGCGGGAAUCGUAAACGUACCGCCUAUCACAGACCAGUACUGUUUACCUAGGUGCCACCUAUCACGGGUCAGCACAAUUCACCAAAAAUGUAAAUCGUAAAUGUACCACCUAUCACGGGUCAGUACAGUUUACCAAGGUGUCACCUAUCACGGGUCAACACGAUUUACUAAAUAGUAACUCGUAAACGUACCACCUAUCACGGGUCAGUACAGUUUACCAAGGUGUCACCUAUCACGGGUCAACACGAAUUACUAAAUAGUAAAUCGUAAACGUACAACCUAUCACGGGUCAGUACAGUUUACCAAGGUGUCACCUAUCACGGGUCGACACAAUUUACCAAAUGAAAUGCAUGAGCAUACACAGACUCCAUUCACAACAAUCGUUAAGCAAAUGCAGAUAUUAAAAGAUUCCCCAUUUUUAAUACCCAUUUAACUUAAACGACUUUCAAACAACAUUAAUUAAAUAAGUCAUUAAGAGAUUCCCCGUUCUUAAUACCGAUUUAACUUAAUGAUUUUCAAAACAAAACGUUAAGCAAACAGUCAUAUUAAGAGAUUCCCCAUUCUUAAUAUACUUUUGACUUAAACGAUUUUCUCGCAAAACAUUCAGUAAACGAGUCAUUAAGAGAUUCCCCAUUCUUAAUACUCAUUUACCGAAACGAUUUUCAAAAACGAUAGUUAAGUAACCGAGACAUUAAGAGAUUCCCCAUUCUCAACGCCCAGUUAACUUAAACAUUUUCCUCAAAUACACAUUAAGUAAACCGAGGUAUUAAAAGAUUCCCCAUUUUUAAUACUCGUUUAACUCUAAUGGUUUUCAAAUUCCACAGAAACAAAUUCAAACAUACUUUCACAUUCAAACCAUAAUUCACAACAACCACACCAAUUAACAAACAUCAAGUACGAACACACCAAAUACAACGAACACAAAUCACGCAACAUAACACCCAGAUACAUCAAAUUUCAUUUACCCAUAAUCAUACACAAUGACAUUCAAAUUCAUUUACCACGAAACAUUCAUCACUAUAAACAAAACCUAACUCUAAGGUUUUUACCCAUAACGCACUAGUUUCGUUUUUCCCCAAAUCGAUACAUUUAACCCUAACAAAUUCCUUCCCACACAACUACAGAUAAGUCCCUAAUGCAAGCUAGAAGUUUGGAAGGAGCCCUUACCUCAACGUUAGCUUUAUCGUGCGUUUCCGGUACCGCGAGUAAUUCCGGUAAAUUUUCCGCUCGCAACGCCGCUUCCAAAUUAGUUCACUAGCACCGUAGCGUGGUGGUGAGCAACUUUCCCUUCUAUCUCUUCGAGAAAUGAGGUUUGGAUCUAGGAGAAACGGAGGGGUUUGUGUUUGGAUCUCAAAACCGUCUUUCUUUGUUUUCGAAUCAAAGAGGAAGAGUGGAGUUGCGAAAACCUUGAUCUAACUCACACCCAACCUUGGGUCACUAGCUUUGAAGAAAAUGAAGCAACGAAAACGAAAAAUGGAGAAGGAUGGAUUUUUGGUUUUCUUGCGUGAACCUGAGGAAGGAGAUGGAAAUUGGAAAUUUCCUUCCUUUCUUUUUCUUUCCUUUGUUUUUCCUUUCUUCCUUUUUCCUUCCUUCCUUUAUAUACUAUUUUCUUUUCCUUUUCCUUCCUUCUAGUUUUCCUUUUUUUUUUCCUCCAAACAAACAUAUAUAAAUAUAAUAAAUAUAACUUAACAAAUAUCUCAAAAUCUAGAUAUUUAUUAAAUUACCGUUUCACCCGAAACGCCUUAAAUUCUCCGUAAAGGAUUUUCCGCAGUUAAAUUCAAUUUAUUUAUCGACGAGAAAUUCUAAUUGGCAUCGAAAUACCUUUUUGAUUAUAAAACUCCAAAUUAUUAUUAACUUUGGCUUAAAAGCCUCCGAGCCAAAAUCCAAAAUACACCAAAAAUACAUAAAUGGUACUUUAAAAUUAUGGGUCUUACACUUUCCAACAAUAUGAAAUUGUAUUAAAAGAAUAUUAGUUACAAGAAAUUACUAGAACAAUUUUAAAUGAAUCAAGUGUUGAAAUAUAAUUUUAGGGAGAAGCCAUCAAAAUUUUUUGCUAUAUUUUUAAUCUUAGCUCUAUUAGAAAAUGUCUUUAACAUACCUUCAUAUGAUUUUUUGAAAUAUAAGAAAGAAAAAUAUAUCAUACUUUAACAUUUUUGAAUGUCAUUACUAUGCUUUGCUUGAUAAAGAAAGUAUGAGAAAAAUUUGUUUUAAAAUGUCAUCAAAGUAUAUAUUCUGAAUACUCUACAUUGUAUAAAUAUUAGAGAAUAUAAAAUCUCAAGGUCUAAGCUAUAGAUAAAAUUAUGCAUUUUAUGUUUGAUGAAUAUGUUGAUUUUCAUGAUAAAAGAUAGGAUGGUGAAGAAAAAUAAUUAUAAUGUUAAAUUUAGAUAAAUCACAAAGUUGAUAAUGUUUAAAUAUCAUCCAUGAAAACUCCAAAGUCUGAUCAUGGAGUGGCAAAAAAAAUCUAAGAGAAAGAUCAAUUCAAGCAAAAAGGUUCAUACCAGAACAUUCUCCACAAAAACAGAACGUUCUCCAAAAGAGCAGAAUGUUUUUGACAGUGAAUAUGUUUCAUCCAAUCAAAACUAAUGUUUCAUAUUAUGAUGAUAUUGUUGAAGAAUAUCAACAAGUUCUAAAAUUAGUUCAAACCAUUUGUUUUUGGCACUCCUACACUUACCUCACUUCUUACUUUUCCUCCAAAACAUCUCAUCGUGGUCAAAUUAUUGGAAGAACAAGUUGGAGGGAUUUGUUACUGAUACCAAAAUUGAGGCUGGAGGUAUAACUAUAGUAGUUGACAUGCCUCUGAACAAUCAUACAAGAAUUGUGUAUAUUGUCGAGGAUAUGGCAAAAAAGGGAAUUAUGUGCAACAAGUGCUUGACUAUGGUGAGGCUGUUGUCAUGCCUGGUUUAAUUAAUGUGCAUUUACAUCUUGAUGAACUUGGAAGAACUAACAACAUUUAAAGAAAUCAUCUUUGAGCAAUAUCACUAAAGGAGGUACACUUAGUCCCAAUUCUUAUGAUAUUUGCAUCAUGAUAAGAAUGAAUAUUUUGUAAUGAUAUUAUGUGAUUGAUUGGGUGCUCUUAAAAUUAAGAAUGCAUACUUUUUUUUUUAUGCAAGUAUGACUUUAAAGUUUAAUUGAUUACAUCACUCUUUGUCAUUACUUGUACAUGUAUAUGCCUAAUUCUUAUCCUAAAUCCAACAUGUUUUCACUCUUUGUUCUUACACUUUUUGUGAUGGUAUAAUCAAGUGUGAAAAUCUAGUUUGAUGUUCAAAAUUAUUGUCUUUAAUAAUUAGACAAAGGCUGAUUUGUCAAGUCUAAAUCAUUAAAUGUAUUUUUCACACUUUGCACAAUAACAUCUUUCAUAGUAUCAUGAUAAAAUGAAUUAACAUCAUUUUCUACAAAUUCACCUCUUUUCGUCCUUAAAAAUAUUUUCUAUAAUGAUCUCAAAUUGUUUUUGCAUAUAUUUACUAGUCUAUACAUUGCUUAAUGAUAGAGUAUAAUUUUUUGAAUAUGGCUUCUAAUGUGACUUUUGAUAAAGAUCCUUCUUCAACAUAUUUUAAAUAUAUAUCCUUGUUUAUGAUUUAUUUUUGAAGGAUUUCAACAAGAUAAUAUAUUUUGGUAUUCAUGAAAAUGAUUUGUGUUUCUUGUUGCUUUAAAACUCAAAACUAAUCCAAAAAGAUUAUGGCAUGAAGUCAAAACUUGAUAUUUGAGCAUUUUGAGGCAUAUUAAUAUAUAUCUUUGCAAAUGAGUCUUAUUUGUUGCUUAUUUCUUUUGUGAAAAUUGAUCUCAAGUGCUUAAAUAUAUUUUAAGCAUGAUAGAUAGAAAUAACAACAAUAAAAAACCUCAUGCACACUUACAAACGAAAGUAACCUUGAACAUGUGCCUUAUUGUUAAUUUAUGUUGUUGCAAAAUUGUUGUAACAAAACAAUUUUUUUUUAAUGUGAGCAAAUUUCUUGGCAUAUUUUUAUCCAUUAAACAAAAUUAUUCUUUGAAAAAUACAAACAUUAUUAGCAGAACAAUAUUUUGUAAAGACAGAAAUUAUAUUUGACAUGAUAUCAUAUUCAUCUUAUUUCUCUUCCAUGUAUGCGCUCAUUCUCUCUAGUUUGAAAAAUGGAAAAUGGAUGUAUUUAUAACAAGUAUGAUCAUGUUCAAAUUAAAAUGUUGCCUCUUGGAAAAUAGGAAAAAGAGAAAAGAGGCAUCUUACUUGUUUUAUAGAACUUUGAAUUAUUAAAGGAUAUUAAUUUCAUAAUAUUCAGGGGGAGUUUUUAAAAAAUAUUUUUUUUCUUAAAACCGAAGUAAACUCAUUUAAAAAAAAUGAGAAAAUAUAUAUUCAUUGAAAGAUUUUCAAGUGUGUUAAAAUGCUUGCAUAUAAUUAUGUCAUAUUUCUUUUGUUAUCAUUAUCCAUAUCUUGAUUGAGAUAUUGACUAAAAUAAUUUUUGAUCAUCAUACAUGCUAUGUUACUUGAUGUUACAUGCAAACUUGCAAGUUUGAUAUAUGAAUGCAAUGAUCAACCACAUGAUUUCUAUGUGAAGUAUACUCAUGCUAUUGCUCCCUACAUUUUUACUUCAAUUUUUAUUCCCCAACCUUUUUGAUAGAUGCCAAAAGGGGGAGAGAAAUAUAUAAUGGAUAUAGGAUGGAAGUAAUUAAUGAAGAAUGUUAAGAAUUAAUCUCUUGCAUAUAUUUAGGGAGAGUUUAAUUAGAAUAACAAGAAUUAAAAUCUUGCAUGUGUUUAAGGGGAGUUUAAUUACAUAUCUAUAAACAUUCUUCCAUUUUAUUUAUAUCCAUCCGUAAAACUUAUGAUUUAUUCAAAAGGUUUGUCAUUAUCAAAAAGGGGGAGAUUGUUGAUGCAAAAAUCUUUUUGAUGCAUGUGUUUAAUGACAACAAACUUUAUGUUAUGAAUAGUGAUCUACUAAUGAGUGCACUUAAAUUUUAUUUAAGGAAGAUGAAUUGCAUAAUCAAACAAGCAAGAUCAUUUGAAAGAAGCAAGAUCAAAUUUGAGAAAACAGAAAUGGAGAAUGUUCUGGUCAUUAAACAUAAAAACGAAGAACAUUCUUGACAUCAGUCUGAUAAAAGAAGAUCAAUCUGGACAACAAUCUAAAAAACAAAUAAUGUUAUGGUUUUGACAGAAUUAAUCAAAGAAUAUUCUAGUUUAUAAAGAACAAAGUCUUCUUUAAUUCAAGAUCGAUUUGGGCUACGAAAAUAACAUCAAUCUAUAUUGCAAAUCACCAGUAUUCAUUACAAAGGAACAUAAUUAUUUACUCAAGAUCAUUUUGGACAUAUUAUUCCCAUAAGAUCAACACAAAUCAAAACAAUGCAUCAAGAAUAAAAAACAAGACUAAUCCCCAAAGUUGAUGGCUAAAGUAAGCAAGUACAAACUGGACAUAAAUGAUAAAGUCACUGCAUCACUGACACACGAACAAAACAAAAAAGCUUGGCACACAACAGCUGUCAAAAUUGUCAAAAUCAAACAAUCAUUCAAAAUAGAAACGAAUAACGUUCUCCGUUUUCACAACUUUAAUCAAAGAAUAUUCUGGUUUACAAAGAGCAAAAUUUGUUGUAAUUUAAGAUCGAUCUGGGCUACAAAAGUACAUUUAUCUACAGUACAAAUCAUCUGUAAUAAUUACAGAGGAAUUUAAUAAUCUACACAAGAUUGUUUUGGAUAGACUCGAUAAAAUAGGAUCAACUAAGGCAAAGCAAAACAUCAAGAUCUAUCUCAGAAUUGAUGAGCUAUGAGCAAGGACACCCGUGACAGCAAGGACACCCGUGACAGCAAGGACACCCGUGACAGCAAGGACAUUACUGUUGCACCUUUUUGUAGAAAGCACAUCAUGUUUCUGAGAUAAAUGACUGACACACAAAAGUUAUCAAAAUCCAACACUCUUACAAAGCAGAAAACAAAGAAUGUUCUCAAAUAAGUGUAGAGAAGUUUCAAGAUCUCAAACACUUUUAACAUACACAUCAUUUGUAACUCAAGUAUAUCUUUUAUGUUAGAUUGAGUGUGUGUUUGUAAAAAUCCUUUUAAGACUGAAAGGUGAUUGUAAAAAUCAUUUAUAGGUUGAAAGGUCAAGAUUGUAAUAUAUCAAGCUUGAUCUGGACUGGUGGUGUAAAAACCAAGAACCAUCUCCGUUUAGAACCCUUAGUUAAAAAUCUCACGGUUGUGAGGAUUGAAUGUAACCCGGGUUGGGUGAACUAGGAUAUAUCUCUAUGUGAUAUCUCUUCCCUUAUCUCUAUUUAUUUCUAGUCUUUUGAUUAUCAAAUUAAAUAGAUAAGUUAAAUUGUGUGUUUUUCACUAACCAAAGAUGUUCUCAGUGUUCUAUUUUCAUAACCAAGAUUAAUUUUGAGUUAAAUUCUUUAAGUUUUAAACAGGAAAUUUAAAAAGAUGACAUGAAAAUUCAAACCCCUCUUUUUUGUGAUUUGUAAGACCCAUAAUUUUGAAGUACCAUUUAUGUAUUUUUGGUGUAUUUUGGAUUUUGGCUCGGAGGUUUUUAAGCCAAAGUUAAUAAUAUUUUGGAGUUUUAUAAUCAAAAAGAUAUUUCGAUGCCAAUUAGAAUUUCUCGUCGAUAAAUAAAUUGAAUUUAACUGCGGAAAAUCCUUUACGGAGAAUUUAAGGCGUUUCGGGUGAAACGGUAAUUUAAUAAAUAUCUAGAUUUUGAGAUAUUUGUUAAGUUAUAUUUAUUAUAUAUUUAUAUGUUUGCUUGGAGGGAAAAAGAAAGGAAAACUAGAAGGAAGGAAAAGGAAAAGAAAAUAGUAUAUAAAGGAAGGAAGGAAAAAGGAAGAAAGGAAAAGCAAAGGAAAGAAAAAGAAAGGAAGGAAAUUCCCAAAUUUCCAUCUCCUUGCGAGCGGAAAAUUUACCGGAAUUACUCGCGGUACCGGAAACGCGCGUUAAAGCUAACGUUGAGGUAAGGGCUCCUUCCAAACUUCUAGUUUGCAUUAGGGACUUAUCUGUGGUUGUGUGGGAAGGAAUUUGUUAGGGUUUAAUGUAUCGAUUUGGGGAAAAACGAAACUAAUGCGUUAUGGGUAAAACCUUAGAGUUAGGUUUUGUUUAUAUUGAUGAAUGGUUCGUGGUAAAUGAAUUUGAAGUCAUUGUGUAAGAUUUUGGGUAAAUGAAACUUGUGUGUUUUGAGUAGUGGAUUGUGUCGAUUUGUGUUCGUUGUUUUUGACAUGCUCUUAAUUGAUAUUGAUGAAAUUUGAUAUGUGUAUGGUUGGAUUUGUGAAUAAAUGAAUUGAUAUGUUUUGAUGUGAGAAUUUGUUGAGUUUGUGUUGUGUGAAAUUUGAAAACCAUUAAGUUAAAUGAGUAUUAAGAAUGGGGAAUCUCUUAAUGUCUCGGUUACUUAAUAUUUUGUUUUGAAAAUCGUUUAAGUUAACUGGGCGUUAAGAAUGGGGAAUCUCUUAAUGUCUCGUUUACUUAAUGUGCGUUUGUUUGUGAAAAAUCGUUUAAGUUAACUGGGCGUUAAGAAUGGGGAAUCUCUUAAUGUCUCGUUUACUUAAUGUGCGUUUGUUUGUGAAAAAUCGUUUAAGUUAACUGGGCGUUAAGAAUGGGGAAUCUCUUAAUGUCUCGGUUACUUAAUAUUUUGUUUUAAAGAAAAAUCGUUUAAGUUAACUGGGCGUUAAGAAUGGGGAAUCUCUUAAUGUCUCGGUUACUUAAUAUUUUGUUUUGAAAACCGUUUAAGUUAACUGGACGUUAAGGAGGGGGAAUCUCUUAAUGUCUCGGUUACUUAAUAUUUUGUUUUAAAGAAAAAUCGUUUAAGUUAACUGGGCGUUAAGAAUGGGGAAUCUCUUAAUGUCUCGGUUACUUAAUAUUUUGUUUUGAAAAUCGUUUAAGUUAACUGGGCGUUAAGAAUGGGGAAUCUCUUAAUGUCUCGGUUACUUAAUAUUUUGUUUUGAAAAUCGUUUAAGUUAACUGGGCGUUAAGAAUGGGGAAUCUCUUAAUGUCUCGGUUACUUAAUAUUUUGUUUUAAAGAAAAAUCGUUUAAGUUAACUGGGCGUUAAGAAUGGGGAAUCUCUUAAUGUCUCGGUUACUUAUUAUUUUGUUUGGAAAAUUGUUUAAGUUAACUGGGCGUUAAGAAUGGGGAAUCUCUUAAUGUCUCGGUUACUUAAUGUUCGUUUUUGAAAAUCGUUUCAGUAAAUGAGUAUUAAGAAUGGGGAAUCUCUUAAUGUCUCGGUUACUUAAUGUUCGUUUUUGAAAAUCGUUUCAGUAAAUGAGUAUUAAGAAUGGGGAAUCUCUUAAUGACUUAUUUACUGAAUGUUUUGUCUUGAAAAUCGUUAAGUUAAAUGAGAAUUAAGAAUGGGGAAUCUCUUAAUGUCUCGCUUUUUUAUGUGUGUUUCGGUAAAUCGUGCUGACCCGGGAUAGGUGGCACCUUGGUAAACAGUACGGGCCGUGAUAGGCAGUACGUUUACGAUUUACGUUUGGUAAGUCGUGCUGACCCGGGAUGGGUGGCACCUCGGUAAACAGUACGGACCCGUGAUAGGUAGUACGUUUACGACUUACGUUCCUGAGGGAAUUGUGUUUGGUAAGUUGUGCUGACCCGGGAUAGGUGGCACCUCGGUAAACAGUACGGACCCGUGAUAGGUAGUACGUUUACGACUUACGUUCCUGCGGGAAUUGCGUUUGUCCGUGAGAGACUGCGCAGGGGUUUGUCCGUGAGAGACUACGCCCUGGUUUAAGUUAGAUGAGAAUUAAGAACGGGGAAUCUCUUAAUGUCUCGUUUACUCGUGUAUGUUUUGGUAAGUUGUGCUGACCCGGGAUAGGUGGCACCUCGGUAAACGGUACGGACCCGUGAUAGGUAGUACGUUUACGACUUACGUUCCUGAGGGAAUUGUGUUUGUCCAUGAGAGACUACACCCUGUUGAUUUGUGAACUGUUGGUUCAUUUUGUUUGUGUAGUAAUGUGUUAUAAAUGCUAAGUGUUAUGUUUUGGAAUUUGGUGAUAACAUGUUUGAUUGCAAUACCAUUUCGAAAUCCAUGAUGUCGUAGUAAUUGUGUUAUCAGUGUUAAGUGUUAAGAAUUGGGAUUAUGCAUGAAUGUGAUUGAGUUAGUUUAUGAAUUUUUGAAAGAAUACACAGGUAAAUCGAUUUCCCAAUCGAUUGGAUAGUAAACAGGGACUUGGCCAAAUGGACAAAAUCGAUUAGCCAAUCGAUUUUGUAAUCAGUUUUUCGAAAAUCAUUUACGAAAUCGAUUGCCCAAUCGAUUGGCCAUUAAGUCAGGGGCUCAGCUAUCCUGUCAAUCGAUUGCCCAAUCGAUUGAAUCAAGCCAGAGUUCAAAAUUUCACUAAAAACCUUCAGGAAAUCGAUUUGGAAAUCGAUUGGUAUUAAGUCAGGGGCUCAGUACUCACUCAAUCGAUUUCCCAAUCGAUUGAUUUCAGCCCAGGAUUCUGUUUCAUCGAAAUCCUUCACCCCAAUCGAUUGCCUAAUCGAUUGGCUCAAUGAAAAUCCUCAGUUUUAGUUGUGUGACUGUUUGCUCAUGAAACUAUCCAUGUCUUGAUUUGUUAUGUUAUAAUUAGGGGAUUGAGAACCUCAUUUUACUUUCAUUUUAACUGGCAAAGUAUUGUAUGAACUUUUCGCAUAUUGAAAAUCCUGCUAAGGUGCAUGCUUAGUUAAAGUUAUUUUUAGCAUUCAAAAACUUAAAUGUUAUGUGUUAACUGUUAUUUUCGGUUGGUGACCUUUACAAUUAUUGUGGAAAUCUAGGCUUUGCCCUCAGAUGAGAGUCAGGACGAUCCUACCGGUUCUUACCCUACGGACGGAAAUGGAGAUGGGAACGCUUGACUGCAGCUACGUUAGGAGAAUCUCACGGGGCGCGUGGAGAUUAGUCAGGGUGUUUAGUUGUGUUGUAAAAUGAUCAGAUUAGGUUGGCAUAGAGGGAUCAGAUGCCUUUCUUUUGUAUUGCAUUUAUUUUAAAAUGGAAGACUGUACCUAUACUAAUAUUGUCAGCUUGACAUGUUAUUUUCGUUGGGUUACAUGUACCAUUUGUUGUUGGGUAAAUGGUUUGGAUUUAUAAUAGGAGUAACUUUUCCGCUGCCUGUAAAUUAUAAUGACUCAAUUAUUUAUCUAAAGGCAUUUCUUUAUUUAUUUCUCUGCUUUAUUUUAAAUUCUUUUGAAAAAAAAAAUAUACCCUCGCUUUGAAAAACGGGGUGUUACAUGAUUGACAUUGCUACUUCAAUUACUAGAAGCAUAUACUAUUUUUUUCUUUCAAAUAUGUCUUUUUCGCUAUUACUAAUUUAUCUUGGAAGGUAAAAAAUUAAUAUUAAAUACAUUUAUAUAUAAUGAACAAUUUAGUAAUAACAACACACAAAAUGUACACAUUAAAUCAAUAAUUUUUAAAUCAUUAAUAUAUGUAAAACACUCCUAUAGAUACUUAAAAAAGAUGUAAGGAGUAUUAAUUGUCAUUUAUUUUGUUCCAUAUAUUCUAACAAAAAAAUAAUUAUUUCAUAAUAUAAUAGACAAAAAUAAAUAAUGACUCUCUUUUACCAUAAAAAAUAUUAUAUUCUACUUUUUUUUACAAUAUUUUCUAAUAUAAUGUUAUAUGAAUUCUGACUAAUUUGAAAAUUUCAAAACUUCUAGAUGAAUUCUGAUUUCAGUCAUAAUAAACAAAAUUCAAACCCAACUAAAUUAAUCAACUCAUAGAAAAUUUCAAGUCAUUGACUACACAUAUUAUUACUAUUAAAAUGAUAAAUAUGUUAAAUGAGGAUAAACUAUAAUUGAAGGAAAAUUAAUUAUUUCGUAACAUAAUAGUAAAAAAAAAAUUAAUUAAUUAACUAAUUUUUAAACAUAAAGUCAAUAAUAAUAUAAUAUAUAACUGUUUUUCUUUUACCAUAAAAAAUAUCAUUUUUUCCAUCAAAGAGACAAUCAAAACACAUCAAAAUUAAUUGAUUCAUUUAUUAUUUUAACUUUUCGACUGUUUUUUUAUAUAUAAUUAUAGAAAAUUAUGACUCAUUGAAUAUAUCUAUUAAUAUUAAAAAGAUAUAUAUCAUAAAUGAAGAUAAAAAAUACUAACGUAAACAAUAAAAAUACAUUAAAAUUUGAAUCUUUUCAUUAUACAUAAUAUAAUCUUUCUUAUAAAAAAAAUUCUCUUAUAAAUAAGAUGAGAUAUUGCAUUUUGUUAUCAGUUCAACUCUCUCCUCUUGUGAACAACAAUGUAGAUUUCACUAUUUUUGAGUGUCUUGGCAGUUUUAAUAUUGGGAAUAUAUUCAGAAGUUAACAUUCCAGCACCAUGCAAGCGGAUUGAGUGUCCGAUAUAUGACGUCAUCGAAAAUGGAAAAGACUAUCAAAUCCGACGCUACAAUUCAUCUGUUUGGAUUUCCAAUCCUCCCAUUCGACAAUUUUCUAUUGUUACAGCUAAUGCAAAUGGUGUCGCAAGGUAACUUUUUUAAAUCCUAUUUUAAAACAAAUUAUUUUUUGUUUUACUAAUUUUUGCUGCGAGUGAUUGGAAUAGUUCAAACGUCUCACAUGUGAUGGUUGUAAAAUGAUCAUGAAUGUGAUUGUAAUUAAUUAAAAAAAUUCUCCUCCGCCAAUACUUUGGUUUUUGAAAAAGUAAUUAUUGGAUUGCCGAUUCAAAUAAUAAAAACUAAACAAAUAAAAACAAUUUUGAUCUAUAAAUGGAUGAAAAUUAUAAAAACAUUUUCUAAGUGUGUCUCUUGUUAACAAUUUUAUAGAUAUUCAUGAAAGAUAAAUUGAAGAUUGAUGACUAACCAACGAAAGACAUAUUUAAAGACUAAAUUAACCAAUUUAUAUACGUUUUUUAAUUUUGAUAUAUUCAAAAAUUAUUAUGAUAACGUCUCACAUAUAAAAACCAAAAUGGAAAUUUCUUCAUAACUAAACUUGAACAAUCUUUUACUUUUUUUCUCAGACUAUUUAGUUAUAUUCAAGGUAAUAACAACAACAAACAGAAAAUAGAGAUGGCAGGACCAGUGCUAUCUGAAGUGAUACCUAGUGAUGGCUCCUUUUUUAAAUAUUCAUAUAUUGUAAGCUUUUAUGUGCCUAAAAAGAACCAAGCAAAUCCACCACCUGCAAAGGGUCUUCAAGUUCAAAGAUGGAAAAAUGUGUAUGCAGCAAUUAGACAGUUUGGUGGACAUGUGAAUGACAAAAAUGUUGCGAAACAAGCUGCAGCAUUGAAGGAUAGUAUCAAUGGUACUAAAUGGCUAUCUGCUAUUGAAAAAAGUCAUAAAGCUUCCAAGUUCUCUGUGGCUCAGUAUAAUUCCCCUACUGAAUUAUUUAAUAGAGUGAAUGAGAUAUGGUUUUUGUUUGAUUUGUAAAAUUAUGCUAUGUCAAAUAUAAUAGACAAUAAAAUCAUUAUGAAAAAAUAUGGAUUUUUGUAGUUUUUGUUUUGCACCGAUUCUUUACUUUUAUGUUGGUGUUGGAGGUGUGAAGUAUUUGAGGAAGUUUUUUACUUGUGUUGAG
rnacentral:lncRNA from 1 species